CCCCCACCACCUUACCAUUAUUCCUCACCACCACCUCCAGUGCAUUCACCCCCACCACCACCAGUUUACAAGUCUCCGCCACCACCUUACCAUUAUUCCUCACCACCACCUCCUGUGCAUGCACCUCCACCACCAAUUUACAAGUCACCUCCACCACCUCCUCCUCCAGUUUACAAGUCUCCACCACCACCUUACCAUUAUUCCUCACCACCACCUCCAGUGCAUUCACCCCCACCACCACCAGUUUACAAGUCUCCGCCACCACCUUACCAUUAUUCCUCACCACCACCUCCAGUGCAUUCACCUCCACCACCACCGGUUUACAAGUCACCUCCACCACCUCCUCUAGUUUACAAGUCCCCGCCACCACCUUACCAUUAUUUCUCACCACCACCUCCAGUUCAUUCACCCCCAUCACCACCAGUUUACAAGUCUCCGCCACCACCUUACCAUUAUUCCUCACCACCACCUCCAGGGCAUUCACCCCCACCACCACCAGUUCACAAGUCUCCGCCACCUCCAGUCUACAAGUAUAAGUCACCACCACCUCCUUCCCCAAUUUACAAGUCACCAUCACCACCUUCUCCAGUAUACAAAUUACCUCCACCACCUCCUCCAGUUUACAAAUCUCCACCACCAUCAAUUUAUAAAUACAAGUCUCCUCCACUACCUCCUCCAGUGUACAAGUCAUCACCACCACCUGCUUACAAGUCUCCACCUCUUCCAGUUUACAGUUCCCCACCACCACCAAUCUACAAGUCUCCACCUCCACCCUACCAUUACUACUACAAUUCUCCUCCUCCUCCUCCUCGUCACUACUAAGCAAUUGUAUGCAAGUUUUUGAGGUAAUAACGCUUAACCAAUAAACUAACUUUCGCAUGAUAAAACUUAUCUCUAUCAAGACAAACUGCCAUGUGUAUCAUGCCAAAUACGUACACCUAGAUCCAUGAAAAUGAAUGGUAGAAAAUUUUCUUAAGAACUAAGGAACAGCAUUAGUAUUCCCUCUGCUUCCAAAAACUUGUGUAUUAAAUAGAUUAAUGAAUUGUUUAACAUGCUCAUUUACUUGAAAAUACACAAUACCCAUAACCUACUGAAUUUUUUGCAGGAAAAGGGAAAGACAAUCUGUGUUUGAGAGCUUCAUGAAGAUGUUGAAGAAUAAGAAUAAAAGCCCAAUGCGAGGAUGUUUCAAGUUUUUCUAUGUUUCCACUUUAAUUUGUAAAUUGAAUUUUGUGACUCAAUUAAUUCCCUGUUUGUGGGGUACGUGUUGUUUUACGUACCAUGCCGUACAGGUUUGUAAGGAUUUCUAUCCUAUUGGCAAAAGUCGGUUCCAUACAAUUAAUCAAUUCAUUUCACUUCUAUUGGCUCUACUAUUUAUGCAUGUUACGACAUUUUUUCUCUCUUUCCCUUAUAUUUUGCCUUUAAUAUUAUUGAAUCAAUAUUAAUAAUGGGCCUUUUUCUUAAAAUUAUACUAUUAUACAUAGGUUGUUUGGUCUAACGCUAAAUUCAUGUUUGUCUUUCUUUUAUUCCCUUUACAUCUCAAAGUAUACUAUAGUUUGUAAUCAUUGUGGUGAUGAUAUUGCCAGCUGGUACUUAUAGUUUAAGGCAGAGACAUGAUAUUAACAACUAUCUCAUUGAAACAUAAAGAAAAAUCAUGACAAGUGUGAGUCUUGGUUAAUGCACAAUUUGUUAGUGGAAUUUAUAUUUAUAAAACUCAAAAAAAAAUUUUGACAAUGCUAUUACUAAUUAAUUAAGGACUUUAUUGCUAUAAUUUAUCGCUUACUAGUUUAAACUAUAAAUGAUCUCAAUACUUUUCUCCAUGAUGUCGAUUUCUUUAGAUUACGAAAGGGAAAAAUUAGUGACAUAUCCCUUACUGAUUACAACAUCAGCAAAAAUUAGUUAUAAAUUUUUCCGGUGGUUUUAAAUCCCUCGGGCACUAAGAUUUUUUGCACAUCGAGUGAAUUGAGGAACAUAGGCAAUUCGUUCUGCAUACCAAGUCCUUGUUUAAGAUGCAAGUACUAAAAUGCAUCCACUUCAUUAAUUUGGGAAAUUGCCAUAGUUUUUUUUAAGCAUUUUGAUUUUUUACAUGAUUCAAAAUUUUCUUAUUGGAUACAAUCACUUUGUAUCAAGAACAUUUUCAAUCAUCCUUUUUAUCUUCUCAAUAAGAAAAUAAAAAUUUAUUCAUGCUUUUCUAACAUAUCCAAUCAUUGAUCUGAAAAAUAAAGAAUUUAAAAAAAAAGACAUUUUCAAUCAUUGCUUACAGGGCAACUUCCCCAUGUGAACCUCUUCAAACAAAGCCAAUAAUAUGAAGGAACAUCUAAAUACACUUUUGCCCUAAAGGCUGGUUGCCUUGGGGUCAAAAUUUAACCUUCGGGAGUAUAAUUACCCUGCCAAAUUUAUUAUUUUUUAUGGGUAUAUAGUUCCAAUUUUUCCUCCUGUUAAGCUUAUAAAUAUAUUAUCACCCAGAAAAUAAAGGAAUCUUGAAUACUAACAUGUCCAUUUACUUGAGUUGUCAUCAAUUUGGCUACUUCGAUUCCAUGAGGGCAAUCCAAUUCACACUUGCUAGAGAAAAUGGUGAUAAAGGCACAAAGAAAAUUAUAUGUAAUAUUGAUUGGUAGUAACCACCUUGUAUUGAUCCCACUAUUGUGGAUACUCGUGCUCUUAUGAAAAAAAAUUAUAAAAAAUUAGCAAAAUUUAAAAGAACAAAGUAAAUUUAUUCGUACAAAUCAGUCAAAGAAGUAGCAUUUUAAAGACCAUGAUGAAAUUAAUACUUUCAAGGUCUCUAUUAGGAAGACUUCCUUUGUUGGUGAAACUACACUAGGUACGGUUACAUGCAGAUGUUUACUGUUUUGGUACCUAAUUUCCUUGCCUUGAGUUGGGUGCAGAUGUUUAUAUUACAAAUAGAUGGUAUCAUAAAUUUGUUGUAUUAACGUCUGUUCUUUUUUUUCUUCCUUAAGUUUUUUUCUUUAUUCUCGUGACUUCAAAAAUACGAACUCAAGAAAUUAACUGCUUCGACAUUAAGGUAUAACUUCACAACUAGAGCCAAUAGAAAUCGUCAAAUGAUUUUUUGACAUCCAAAUUAAGCAAUAAAUUUUGUUUUCAUUUCACGGGAGAUUUUAUAGUUUCUUUUGGGUAUCAUACCUACAAGUGAUAAUUGUCAUUGGAUAGUGAAAGAAGUGUUAAUGAUUGUAAGAUUAAAUAUUGAAAAUUUAAACUAUUUAUCUUUAUUGAGAGAUACAACUUAAAGAAUCGUAUCCAAAAGAGACUAUAGAAUUUUCUCUGUUUUUCAUCAUCUGUAGACAUAAACUUUCUACGGUUGAUGUACUAUAAGGAAAUUUUGCCUAUACAAUGUGAUACCAUUUUUUCAAAAAGACAAGAUGGCAAAUUGCCCCCUUGAACGGAAAAAAUCAUGAUCUUUCCUCAAACUAGUCUACUUGUCAAUUCUUUGAAAAAGAAUACACUGCCCCGCAGAAUUCUAGAAAGUUAGGCAAAACUAGACAAGUUGACAGCUAUAAUCAUACCCAAGAUCAGGAACAAGCAGUUACACAUUUCAAAAUUCGCUGCUGCAACAACUAAUUUGAUGACUUACAACACUAAAUGGUCAAACUUUGAAUGGCAAUGAAUCUUUUGUUGUACAUCAUGAUGUAAUUUUCAUGUUACAUAAUAGAUUGAUAUCUAUGUUCUUUAAAUUAUCAUAAUAAUUAAAUUUAACUGAUAAAAAGAACACAUAUCAAUACACAAAAGUGUGUAACGUGAAUGUUAUAUUAGUGUAUUGCAGAAGACCUAUAGUCUCUUCACAUCUCUUCCUGCAUCUUUUAUGUUUUAUUACCUCCAAAAGCCUUUACAGGGUCUUUACCCUAAAAAUCAAUUCACCGACUCGCAUUUGAUGUCAGAAAUUCUUAAGACGAAUUCUACUUUACUCAAAGAUUGACUGUUAAUAAUGAGACAACGACCAUUUUGUAUUAUUACACCGUCCUUCUUGAUAGGCAAAAGAAAUAGAGAGGAAAGCGGGUCCGUAUAUGGUCUUUUAUUCAUAGAUAAUACAACAUUACGCCAUCGAGCAUUCACACAAUAUUUCAAAGUCAUUGCAUGCCUAAAGCCCCGCUUGAUAAUCCAAUUUCAUACUUAAAUUUAAUGGAUUCAAAUUUUAACACAUUCAAAUUGUUUGAUAACAAAAAAUUGAACGUCUAAAUUAAUUAAGUAACACUAAAUUUUUUAGACAAAACUUGCUCCCAAAAUUAAGUGAUAAGCUAUAUCACUUAUCACUGAAUGUGAUAUGCAUUCAAAUGUAUUAUAUUUAAUACUUAAUAAUUUAAUAAUUUAAUGGAUUCAAAAUUCAGAUUUUAGAUUUCAGUUUUAUCAAACAUACCCUAAGUUGCAAAAUAAUACCAAAACUUGUUAUUAUAUAGCUUGAGAUUCAAAAAUUUAGAGCAUAAUUCUCAACCUAACACAAUUGAAUAAUGAAUAUUCACGAUUGUCAAAUCUAUCAAAGUACAAUUUGAGGACAACCCAUUCCAACGCGUACACAAUUUCUCACUUUUCUAAAGUUGUUGAGAGCUGUUAAAAGAGAUUUACCAUGUUUACAUCUUCCAAGUCUUGGGAGUAAAAAAUGAAGCCACCGAGUGCUAUAAAAAGGGGGCUAGAGGCUGCCUAGAAGCAUAUCAGCCUAAAACAAGAAUUUGUAGUAACAAUGGGGAGCAAAGCAAAAGCAACGGGGUCUAGGCUGACUCCUCUUCUUACCACUGUUUUAGUGGUAUUUGUCGCCCUUGGCUUGCCCUUGGAAACUGCAGCUGAUUAUUACAAGUAUUCAUCUCCUCCUCCUCCUCCUUACCACUAUUCUUCACCACCACCUCCAGUGUAUUCACCUCCACCAACCCCUGCUUAUAAGUUACCCCCACCAUCUCCUCCAGUUUACAAGUCCUCACCACCACCUUACCACUACUCACCACCUCCGGUGUAUUUACCUCCACCAUCUCCAGUUUACAAGUCACCACCACUACCCCCUCCGGUAUACAACUCCCCGCCUCCACCAGUGUACAAAUACAAGUCCCCACCACCACCUCCUCCAGUUUACAAAUCUCCACCGCCACCAGUUUACAAAUACAAGUCACUCCCACCACCUCCUCCGGUAUACAAGUCUCCUCCGCCACCUGUUUACGAGUACAAGUCUCCUCCACCACCUCCUCCAGUGUACAAGUCCCCACCACCUCCAGUUUACAAGUACAACUCACCUCCACCUCCUCCCCCAGUUUACCUGUCUCCACCUCCACCCUAUCAUCACUACUACGGUUCUCCUUCUCCUCACCACUACUAAGCAAGUGCAUAAGUUUUGAGGUAAUAAUACCUAUCCAAAACUUUAUCAACACAAACUGCCAUGUAUAUCAUGCUAAGGACGUACACUUGAUCCAUGAAAAUGACUAGUAGAAGAUUUUUUUUAAGAACCAAAGAAAUACAUUAUUUUUUCGGUCUGUUUUCAAGAAUUUGAGCAGUAUACAGAUUAAAGAGUGUUUUUUUUUUUGUAAACUUGCUUGUCAACUUAAAAAUGCACAUAGCUGAAAGCCAACUGAAUAUUUGCAGGCAAAGGAGAAGGCAAUCGGUGUUUGAGACCUUCAAGAAGAUGUAGAAGAAUAAGAAUAAAAGCCCAAUGCGAGGAUGAUUCCAAGUUUCUACGUUACCAUUUCUACAUCUAAAUUGACUUUAGCUCCUGAGUUCCAUGUUUAUGGGGUUUGUACCGUUUUACGUACCAUGCAGUACAUGCUUGCAAGGUUUUCUGUCCUGUUGGCAAACUGCAGGUCCAUAUAAUAAAUGAAUACUAUUUACAUUACGACACUUUUCUCUUUUUCUCUUAUAUUUUGUCUUUAAUAUUGUUGAUCAUUUUUUUUUUAUCAAAAGCAUCAAAUGCUUAGGUAAUUUGGUCUAAUGCUAAUUGUUUUACUUUUAUUUUUCACCUACACCCCUUUUCAACUCAAAGGAUGCUAUAGUUUGUGAUAAUUGUUUAAGACCGAAGCAUGAUACUAAUAAAUAUCUCAUUGAAAGUCAAGGAAACUAACAUUAGGAAAAGUUUAAAUCUUGAUUUGAUGAAACUAUUUAUUCGUGGAAUUUAGAGAUACAAAACUCAAAUUGUGACGGUGUUGUUGCUAAAUUAUUAAGGACAUUAUCACCAUUAUUUUUCCCUGAUCACUAGUUUCAACUGCAAUGAUCUCAAUCUUUUUGUGACUAAUUCUUUCCUUAAUAAUUUAUAAAGACAAAACUCACAAAGAAUAUGUGACUAAUUCUUUCCUUUCGUCUUCUAAAGAAAAUGCCAACUGUUAGUUUAUCAAGGGGAAAAAGGAUCGACAUCAGUUAUUAUUGAAACUAGUAAGGAAUAAAUAAUGGUGAUAAUGUCCUUAAUAAUUUAACAACAGCACCAUCAGAAUUUGACUUUGAGCUUCGGUCUUAAACAAUGAUCACAAACUACAGCAUCCUUUGAGUUGAAAAAGGAAGUAGGUGAAAAGAAAAGUAAAAAAUACAAUUAGCAUUCCCUCAAAUUGUAGAAAGUUAGGUAGCAUUAUAGACAAGUUGAUAGCGGCAAUUUUACAUUUCAAACUUCACCUAUUCAAUAACUAAUUCGAUGGCUUGCUACAUGGUCAAUCUUUGGACCCCUUCCUGCCUCCAGAUAUCCCUUUCCUCAAUCAGGGGCUUCUACAAUUACCAGUUUCAAUUGUAUGGUAUAGUGUAAAUAUCAACAAAUUAGAUGUAGAUGCUAACAUAAUAAAUGUGAAUGCUAAGACAGCAACAUACAAUCGAACCUGCAAUUGUAUGAACCCCAAUCUCGCUUCCUAGUCCACCAUCUUUCUCUAGGUAAUAAUCUCCCUUCUAAUUUAUUCACAAAAUGCACCUUUCAUCACCUCCAAUAGCGUCGACAUGAUCUUUACCCUAGAAGACUAUUCACCGACUCUCAAUUGACGUCAGAAAAUCUAAGAGUAAUUCUACUUUACCCUAAGAUUGAUAUCAACAAGACAAGGACAAUUUAGAAUUAUUACACGCCUCUUCUUAAUAGGAAAAAGAAAUAGAGAAGAAAGUCAGGCCAGGUCUAAUUUCUUUUCAAAGGCAAUACAACAUUACGAAAUCAAGCAUUCAUUCAUACAAAUAUUUCAUAGUCACCGGUUUGCUGAGUAGAAAAAUUUAGACAAAAACUUAAUAUUAUAUUGUUUAAGAGUUAACAAUUUAGAGCUUAAUCUCCUUGUACUUUGGAGUUAACAAUUUAGAGCUUAAUCUCCUUGUACUUUGGACUAAACUUGAACGUGAAAGGAAAUCCCAAAACCAUAUUGGGCAUGAAUUCACACUUAAUAUACCCAAUAAAAGAUGGCGACUGGUGAAAGGCAGUGGAGACUGGUGGAGAGAUUUGAGGAAUAGAAGCAGACGGAAAAGCAACAAAUUUUUGCCGAAAAACGGUCACUUUCAUGGUUAAUUUUGCUACUCUCCAAUUGUACUUGACCAAUUACAACAAUUUCAUGGAGUUUGAUACGUGAAAAGAAUUUUUUAUAAAUUUUAUUUUGAUCCAUAAUGUUAUCUUUACAUAUAUAAAACAUUUUACAAUUUUGAUUUUGGCGCAGCUAACUUUUGGUUAACAAAAAUGCUCAUGUUUAAAAAACCAGAAAUAAAACAAAACAAGAAACAAAAGAAAUAAGAGGGUAGCAUAGACAUUUUGGAUUUUUCCGUUAAUUUGGAUGAUUUCCACCCACGUUCUAAUUUAAUCCAAAACACAAAGGAAUUACGUAGAGGUUUUAAAUAAUCAGGGAGCUUCAUGAUCGAACCCCAAACCACGUGAUAGCAUACAAGAGUUCUAUUUCACUAUCGGUAGACAAAGACUUUCUAUGGUUGAUGUACCGUAGGAAAAAAUCUGCCUAUACAACGUGAUAGCAUUUUUUCAAAAACACAAGAUGGAAAAUUGCCCCCUUAAACGUGGAAAUUCAUGAUCUUUCCUCGAACAAAGAAUACUCACGCCUAUUCAAGAUGGAAAAUUGCCCCCUUAAACGUCUAUUUGUCAAUUCUUGAAAAAAGAAUACUCACGCCUAAAACACGGCCUCUUCAUCUGCAGAAUUCUAAAAAGUUACGUAAACUCUAUAAACAAGUUGAUAGGUACAAUCGUACCCAAGAUCAAGUACAGAUAGUUGUACAUUCACUGCUGCAAUAACUAAUCUGAUGACUUACAAACAUAUCAUGGUCAAUCGUUGAAUGGUAAUGAGUCUUUUGUUAUGCAUUAGUAUUAGUGUGUACACUCUAAUAGAUUGAUACUUAUACUCUUUAAAUUAUCAUAAUAAUACCCUUAAUUAACUUUAACUCUUAAAAAGAAUACGUGUUAAUACACGAGAGUGUGUAACCUGAAUUGUUACUUAUACAUUAGUGUGUAAUAGAUAGGGAUGGCAGUGAGGGCGAGUGCCCGCGGGGGGCUCUCGGGGCGGGGGCGGGGGAGAAUUUUUUCCCCCCGUUUAGAAACGGGGCAGGGGACGGGGGAGUAUACCCCCGCCCCAUCCCCCGCCCCGCCACCCGCAAAAAAAAUUAUAUAUAUAUAAUUAUAUAUAAUAUGUAAUUUAAUUAGUUAUAAACUUAUGAUAAUGAUAUUAUUAGUUAGAUGUAUUAUAUAAUGUAUAUUAGUGUAUGUAAUAUAAUUAAUAUUAUCAAUUAUACGAAUAAUUAGACAUGUCCACUAAUAGAGUUUAUUAAUUAGUUAUACUAAAUUUACUAAUACAUUUGUACUAAAUUUCUAAUUACACUUAAUAGAAUAACACUUUUUUCUAAAAAAAAAAGCACAAACACAAUAAUGAAUUAGUGAUUGUAUUUGUACCAAAAGUGAAAACUUAACUAUUUUAGUUGUAUUUAUUUCAUCAUGUUGGAUUGUAUUCAAAUAAUUUUUGUUUGAUUGUUUUUAUGAGUUUCAAUUGUAAAAUUAAAAUGAAUAAUAACUUGAUGAUGUGUUGAUAUUUUAGUACUUGAUUAUUUAUUGAUUUAACUAUAAUAAAAUUUUAUUUUAUUAAAAUUUAACUAUAAUAAAAUUUUAUUAACCAAACGAGUUAUUAAUCCCGCGGGGGCACCCACGGGGGAAGCGGGGCGGGGCGGGGGAGUGGGAGGCGGGGGACGGGGCGGGGGUGGGGGGAGUUGUAGGUAGCGGGGCGGGGGAUGGGGGAGGGGUCCCCCGCCCCAACCCCGCCAUCCCCCGCCCCGUUGCCAUCCCUAGUAAUAGACUGGCAAGCAUUGUGGUGGUCAUUGAGAACUUACUGGAGAAAUAGUCCUAUAAGCUGUUCAAUGAGCAAUCACAACUUGCUAAUUGGAUGACUAAUAUAGCUCUAGCUGUAAUGUUUUAAUUAAAUUACAUCACUAACGUUGGGAUGACUUUUUAACCAAAAAAAAAUGCCUUAGUUCAAGCUUUUCCCUUUAUUGUGCAUUUUUUAAAGCAUUUGAUAGGCACUGCAAAUCUGUCAUUUUGGACAUUUUAUUAUUGACUAACAAUGAAAGCCGUGACGUCUACCCAUAACCAACACAAGAUUAAAUUAAUAUUAGAAAAAAUAAUUGAGUAAUUGGAAAAAAAAAAAGAGACUCAUUUUCAUUGAAACCCACCGACAAACUAAACGUGUCCAUGGCUUUUGAAUAGUGCAUUCAACGUUUAAUUGUAUAGUCCAGUUCAUUGCAGAUUACAUGGAGUAAAGAUUGUGCUCUUUCCUUUUUCACCCCUUUUGGAAUCGAUACUGUGGAGAAUUGGGUUUUUCCCUUCUUUUUUUCUUUUCUUUCCUUCUGUGCUUUGCAAAACAUAGGUAAAAAUAUGAAAUCCGAAGCAUUCUUUAAUUGGGAUUAAGUAUUGUUGUUGAAAUUAAAAAGAAAAAAGAAAGAACAACAAAAUUCCCAAUCUGGGUUGAUUGUUGAGCUCUAGAUUGGUUGCAUCGUGCUUCCAUAGAAGCUCUCUUAGUGUGAUACACUGCUUUCAAUCAGUUUAACACGGGAAAAAAAAAAAAAGAGAUGAAAAGCAAAUUUGGUGGGGAUAAUUUCAGAAACCUCCCCUGAAGAUUUUGACUAUUCUACUGGUCUCCCUUCAGAUUUUAAAAAUUACACUAAUCUUCCUUGAAGUUAAUUAUCUUGUAACAUUUAAAUUCAAUCAAUAAUUUAAAAAAUGAUAUUAUGAGAGAGAAAAUAAUGAUUUUAUCAUUGCCCCCCAUCUUACUACAUUAUUUAAUUAAUUUAAUAGCAACCCACACAUUAAAGAAAAAUAUUAAAAUUUGUUGUUUAUCAUUAAAGAUCAAAUCGCUUAUAACAUCAAAUAAUAGUAUAUUAUUUAUAUUUUUCACUCAAUAUAAUAUCCAAAUUACUCUUUUCAAUUACAUACCCAUUGUUAGACAAUCAACAACAAAUAACCAAAAAAUUUGCAACCAAAAUAUUACAAAAAAAUAAACUUUAACAUAUAAAUAUUCUUAUCAACAUAUUAAAGUUAGUUACUGAAAUUUUUAUGCUGUUAAACUUCACUCUUUUUGGUUACAGAUUUUUUUGAUUAUUUGUUAUUAAUUAUGUUUGAUGAUGGAUUUAUAAUUGAAAAGAACAAUUUGAAACUUACAUUAAGUAAAAUAUAUAGAGUGAUAUACUAUUUUUUAUAACAUAUGUGAUUCAAUCCUUCUUGAUAGGAUUGGUAAUAGAGGUAGAGGGGGGAGCCGGCUGCAUCCGGUCUACUUUUCAUAGAUAGUACAAUAUUGCGAAAUCGAUCGCAUUCACGCAAUAUUAUUUCCAAGUCAUUGCAUGGCUAAGCUGCAAAAAAAGUACGAACACAUGUUAUUAUAUAGCUUACGAUUCAAAACUUUAGAGCAUAACCCUCCACCUAACACAAUUGAAUAAUGAACAUUCACGUUUGUCAAAUCUGUCAAAGCACAGUUUGAGGACAACCCAUUCCAACCUGCAAAAGAUUUUUUACUUUUCUAAAGUUGUUGAGAGCUGUAAAAAGACUUACCAUGCUUGCAUCCUCCGAGCCUUGGGAGUUAAAAAUGAAGGCACUGAGUGCUAUAAAAAGGGGAAUAGAGGCUGCCUAGAAGCAUAUCAGCCUAAAACAAGAAUUUGUAGUUAAGAUGGGAAGCAAAGCAAAAGCAAUGGGGUCUGGGCUGACUCCUCUUCUUGCCACUGUUUUAGUGGUGUUUGUUGCUCUUGGCUUGCCCUCACAAACUGCAGCUGAUGAUCACUACAAGUAUUCAUCUCCUCCUCCUCCUUACCACUAUCCCUCACCACCACCACCAGUGCAUAUACCUCCACCUCAUCCUGUUUACAAGUACAAAUCUCCACCACACCCCCAGUACAAGUAUAAGUCACCACCACCACCUCCUCAUCCGGUAUACAGUCUCCUCCGCCACCACACACCCAGUUUACAAGUACAAGUCACCACCACCACCUCCUCAUCCGGUACCACACCCAGUUUACAAGUAUAAGUCUCCUCCGCCACCAGUUUACAAAUACAAGUCUCCUCCACCACCACCUCCAGUGUACAAAUACAAGUCUCCACCACCACCAGUUUACCACUACAAGUCUCCACCACAGUUUACAAAUACAAGUCUCCACCACCACCCCCAGUUUACAAAUACAAGUCUCCACCACCACCAGUUUACCACUACAAGUCACCACCACCUCCUCCCCCAGUUUACAAAUACAAGUCUCCACCACCUCCUCACCACUACUAAGCAAUUGCUUCUGAGGUAAUAACACUUGUUCAAUAUACCCACUUCUGCAUGAUAAAGCAUAUCUCUAUCAACACAAACUGUCAUGUCUAUCAUGCUAAGUGCCUUCACUUCAUCCACCAAAAUGACUGCUAGAAAAUUUUUUUUAUGUUACCAAAGAAAGGCAUCAUUUUUUCCCUCUGUUAUCAAGAACUUGUACAGUAUAUAGAUUAAAGAGUAUUUUUUUAACUAGCUUAUCAACUGAGAAAUGCAUAUAGCUGAUAGCCAGCUGAAUAUUUGCAGGCAAAGGAGAAGGAAACCAGUGUUUGAGACCUUCUUGAAGAUGUAGAAGCAUAAGAAUUAAAGCCCAAUGUGAAGAUGAUGAUUUCAAGUUUUUCUACGUUACCAUUUCUUUAUCUAAAUUGGUUGUAGCGCCUUAGUUCCUUUGUUUAUGGGAUUUGUAUCGUUUUACGUACCAUGCAGUACAUGUCAUGUUUGUAAGGUUUUCUAUCCUGCCGGCAAACCGCAGGUUCCAUGUAAUAAAUCAAUACUAUUUAUAUUACGACACUUUUCUCUGUUUCUCUUAUAUUUUGUCGUCUUUAAUAUUCUUAAUCAUAUUUUUAACAAAAAUAUUCAAACACUUAGGCAAUCUGGUCUAAUGCUAAUUGUAUGUUUUACUUUUCUUUUUCACCUGCUCCCCUUUUCAACUCAAAAGGAUGCAAUAGUUUGUGAUCACUGUUUAAGACGGAAGCAUGAUACUAAUGAAUAUCUCAUUGAAACUCAAGGAAACUAACAUUGCGAAAAGUGUAAAUCUUGAUUUGAUGCAACUAUUUAUUCGUGGAAUCUAUAGUUACAAAACUCAAAUUCUGACUGCGCCAUUGAUAAAUUAUUAAUGACGCUAUCAUCAUUAUUUAUCCCUAACUAGUUUCGACUACAACUGAACCCAAUAUUUUCCCCAUGAUAAAAGUUUUUGACUAUUUUACUGGCCUCUCUUCAAAUUUUAAAAAUUACACUAAUCUUCAUUGAGAUUAAUUAUCUUGUAACAUUUAAGUCCAAUUAAUAAUUAAAAAAUGAUAUUAUGAGAGAGAAAAUAAUAUAAUUUUAUCAUUGCCCCCCAUCUUGCUAUAUUAUUUAAUUAAUUUAAUAGCAACCCACACAUUAAAGAAAAAUACUAAAAUUUGCUGCUUUUCAUUAAAGAUCAAAUUGCAUAUGCCAUAAAACAUAGUAUAUCAUUCUAUAUGUUUCACUUAAUGUAAGAUCCCAAUUGUUCUUUUCAAUUACAAACCCAUUGUCAAUAACAAAUAACCAAAAAAUUUGCAACCAAAAUAUUACAAAAAAAAACUUCAACAUCAUAAAUAUUCUUACCACCUCUAGUGCAUUCACCCUCAUAAAAUAAUUCAAGACCCUACUGUCAUAAAAUGACUGAUCAACUCCCGUAAACCUAAUUUGACAACAUUUAAAUGGAGAACUUUAGCUAAAAGAAUUAUGGUCAAGCUAAAGAAAAAACCAGUUAUUUUCCAACAUAUGCAAUCAUUGAUCAGGGAAAAAAAAAAGAGCAAAAAGACAUCUUCAAUCAUUUAAUAGCUUACAGGGCAAAUUAACCCCUAAGCGAAAACUGGUUGCUCUAGAAUCAAAAUUUUACUUUAGUUACCCAGGCAACUUUUUUGUUGCUUUUUUUUUUUUUUUCCUUUAGUUUUGCCCCCUCUGUCAAGCUUAUAAAAUUAUUAAGAUAAUAAAAGUGCCUUGAAUAGUAUUAAUAUAUCCAUUGACUUGAGCUGUCGUCAGUUUGCGAUUCCAUGAGGCCUUUUCAAAGUACUCAGAAAAUGGGGAGUCAUGAAAUCCAUUUGUUCUAUUCAUUGCUAAGAUGCUUUUCUCUAUAAAGAGACUUCCUAACGAAAAUACUUUGUAGAUUUCUUUACUCCAAGUGGUGCAUGGAAAAUUAAUAUUUUCAAUUAUCAAAUAAAAUUCCCUUUUUUCGGCGUAGAUUUCAUCCAUCCAGCUGUUAACACAUUCUAUAAAUCCGAAUUGACUAAUCUUUUCGUUUCCAUUUUCCAACUUGCGAAUACGGCAUAUAGUGUCUGCUAAACACUAUAUAUUCUCUGCCAAAUAUGAAUACAUAUCACUUUUCUGAGCAAGUGCAGAGUCAUUAUCAUUUUUAUUCCCACCUAACAAAUUAGGGAUAAAAAAGUUAAUAAUCUUUACAUGCUAUCAGGUCACAAGUUAAUAAUCUUUUAAAGAACAUGUUAAAUUAAUUUAUUGGUAUGAAUAGUAGUCAAAGAAGUAUGUUAAAGUUAGUAAUCUUUAAAAUAAUAUGUUAAAAUCAUUCGUACAAAUUAGUCAGAGAAGUAGCAUAAACACCGCGAUGCAAUUAAUACUUUCAAUCUCAAGGUCUCUAUUAUGGAAAUUUGCAUCGGUCAAUAUACACUUGGCAUAAUAUAAUCUCCCAACUCAUUUCUUUACAAAUGCACCUUUAAUCACCACCAAAAGGUGUGGACAUGAUCUUUACCCUAGAAAACUAUUCACCGACAGGCAAAUUGACGUCAGAAAUACUGAGGAAUUCUAGUUUCCUUCGGGUUCAUGCCAUGUUGUAUCCUUCAACUGUAACUCGAUUUCUAAGCUGUAAUUUGUGACAUAAUAGUCCUUAAACUAUGAAACCCUUCUUACUUAAUUACAAUGGUUAAUACAAUGCCCGUGACUAGACAAGUAUGAAGCAACCAUAACAGAAAAAAAAUCCAAAAUUAGAGAAAAGAAAGAAGUUUCGCGACCACCACCAGUUUACAAGUCACCUCCACCACCUCCUCCAGUUUACAAGUCACCUCCACCACCUUACCAUUAUUCCUCACCACCACCUCCAGUGCAUUCACCCCCACCACCACCAGUUUACAAGUCUCCGCCACCACCUUACCAUUAUUCCUCACCACCACCUCCUGUGCAUGCACCUCCACCACCAAUUUACAAGUCACCUCCUCCAGUUUACAAGUCUCCACCACCACCUUACGAUUAUUCCUCACCACCACCUCCAGUGCAUUCACCCCCACCACCACCAAUUUAUAAGUCUCCCCCACCGCCUCCCCCAGUAUAUAAGUCACCACCACCACCUCCUCCAGUAUACAAAUCACCUCCACCACCUCCUCCAGUUGACAAAUCUCCACCACCACCAAUUUAUAAAUACAAGUCUCCUCCACUACCUCCUCCAGUGUACAAGUCAUCACCACCACCUGCUUACAAGUCUCCACCUCCUCCAGUUUACAGUUCCCCACCACCACCAAUCUACAAGUCUCCACCUCCACCCUACCAUUACUACUACAAUUCUCCUCCUCCUCCUCGUCACUACUAAGCAAUUGUAUCCAAGUUUUUGAGGUAAUAACGCUUAACCAAUAAAUUAACUUUCGCAUGAUAAACCUUAUCUCUAUCAAGACAAACUGCCAUGUGUAUCAUGCCAAAUACGUACACCUAGAUCCAUGAAAAUGAAUGGUGAGGAGGGCCAUUUAGGCUCGGAGCGCCCUAGGCCUAGUUCCCCACCAUUUCCUGAAGUGCCGCCUCGGGUAUUAUCCUGGAAGGCGAUCGCGGCCCAUUUACCACCUCGGCUACAAUGUCAGGUCGUAACACCGAGGUGGACAUUGAAUGACAACUACGAAAAGGGGAGAUGUGAUCUCUGACACCUGAGCAAAGGCUGCUCUGACCCGCCGCCUGAAUCUGACAGAAUGUCCCAUCACGUCUCUUCAUGGAGACCGGUCAAGUCCACCUGAUCCACUGACUAUCUCAGAUCUUUUGGGACCCGUGCAAACAUCUCCUCUCUCCUAUCAGUCCCCUAUAAAUACACGAUACUUCUACUGAAAAAGGAGAUGACCAAUUUCUGGUAAAACACACUCCACUCAUUAUUUACUUCUCUAUAUCCGAACUGACUUAAGCUUCGGAGUUAUACCGGGGGAUCCAGCCCCUUUCUUAUCCAAGCAGGUGACUUCGUCCAAGAGAGUUGCCCAAGGUAAAGAUAUUCUUCCAAUUGAGGUGACUCACUCCUGCGGGUCGAAAAUCACCUCUUCAAUUGGCGCCGUCUGUGGGAACCGCAAAGAUAUUAGAAGAUGAAGCCUGCGCGUUCUAGAAGCAGAAAAGCUCUCACUAUCGAGGCUGGGCAAAGCAAUGCAGCUCAACAAGAAAAUAUUUCUGAAGGGCAGGAGUCCCCAAGGACUCAGCCCGCAAACGAAAAAGCCAUAACCCGUAUGGCCGAGUUUGUGACCGAGAACCCCAACAUCUUUGAAGAGUUGGGAAGAUACCUGAAGAGGCAAGGCAAACAAAAGGCCGAGUCCUCUAAAAGGAUGUCAGAUGGGUCUCUUGAGGACUCAUCUGAGGAGGAGUCGGAUGGAAGGCACUUAAGCCGAAGUGCCUCAAAGCGAGCAUUUUCUAAGGCCACUUCUAAGGUAGCCUCCCUGACCAAGGCGUUUUCCCGAGGGCUCUUGGGCCGACGACCCGAGGAAGAACCUCGGCCCUUGGGAAUACCCGGGGUGGACUGCAUGAGGGCUCCACCGUUCACGGAUGAUAUAAACGAGGAAAGGCUUCCUCCCAAUUUUAAGCUCCCCGCAGUACAAUCUUACGAUGGCCGAGGUGAUCCCGAGAAUCACAUCCAUACCUUCAUCUCGGCCUUCCAAAUAUACUGCAUCCCAGACCCUGUCAUAUGUCGGGCCUUUCCAGUAUUCCUCAGAGGAACUGCUCGAAAAUGGUUCUGAGCUCUAGAACCUAGGAGCAUUUCGACCCUGGGUGAAUUAGUGGAGAAGUUUCUCCACCGAUUUGUCUCCUCCCGACCUACGACUAGGACCUCGGCUUACCUGCUCACCGUGCAGCAGAACCCGGGAGAGUCACUCCGGUCGUACGUCCGGAGGUUCCAUGAGGAAAGCGUUCAGAUACCUGACCCCAAUGAGCAGGUAACCCUCGCUGCCUUUACCCAUGGACUCGUUGCCGGGGAGUUCAAUACGGGGAUCCAUAAAAAAUACCCCCGCACACUGCAUGAAUUGUGGUUGAAGGUUGAAAAGGGCAUACAGGCCGAAGACCUCCAUCGCAUGAAGAAAGAGGUCCAAGCCACCCGUCCAAGGGCUGAGCCCAGAAAGGGAAAAGACGCUGGCCGAACUGAAGUAGGGUCGGGAAGUGGCUUCCGAAGUCCUGGCCGAGACCGCCGCAGCGUGUUCGACAGGAUAUCCAAGGGGAAGUCACCUAUUCCCGAGUCCGAGUUGACUCCUUUAAAUACUACCCGAUCUCACGUGUUGUCCGUGAUGGAACAAAACAACCUCGGCAAGGGCCCGCCGAGGAUGUUUGGAAGCAGAGACAAGAGGAACUCGAACCUCUACUGCUUGUAUCAUCGUGACAUUGGUCACGAAACUGAGGAUUGCAACGAUCUCAAGAAGGAGAUCGAGAACCUCAUUAGACGGGGACACUUGAAACAGUUCAUCCGCAGAGGUGGAGGUCACCAACGUGACGAAAACCGGCAUGACAAAUGAGGUGACCAACGCCGAGAUGAGCGGCGGAGCUCCAGAAGCAGUUGCCGACCUCCUGAGGAUCCCAGGGAGACGAAAAGGCCUCCCCCAGACGGAUCUUCGGGACAUGGGCCAACCAUUGCCCGGGUCAUUAACACCAUUGCCGGAGGUCCGACGGGAGGGGACAGUCAGAACUCCCGGAAGAGAACCUAUAAGCAGGCUAACCCGGAUCAGGCCGAGUCGAGUUCUCGCCUGUCCGAGGUGAUCACCUACGGGCUCAGUGAUCCCAUCCCAGCUGCAUCCAGCAGUCAUGAAACCUUGGUGAUUGAAGUCCUCACCAAUAACUACAUUGUGAAAAGGUCUACAUAGACCCGGGAAGUUCAGUUGACGUCAUGUACCUCCGUACCUUUGAGAGCCUUAAAAUGGCUAAGGGGUGCAUGACCCCGCUGAGAACCCCUCUUGUAGGGUUCGGGGGACACGUGGUGCACCCCGAAGGGAUGGUGACUCUGACAGUGACCAUAGGGCAUCACUCUCGCUGUAGAACCGUCCCUGUCAAUUUUGUGGUGGUUAAGGCUGACUCCCCAUACAACCUACUUUUAGGUCGGCCUACGCUCAAUGCCUUGCGGGCGGUCUACUCCACCUACCACCUGAGCUUCAAGUUUCCUACCCCAGCAGGGGUGGCCGAGGUCAGCAGCGACGUCUGUGCUGUCCGGGAGUGCUACCUCGCCACCCUACAAGCAGCCUCCCCGUCUACCUCCGGUGCGAGGUCCGAGAAGAGGUCAAAUAUCCUCUCAAUAGAUAGCAUCGAUCCUCAGUGAGCUGAGAAGGUCCCGAGGCUGGAGACUGGGGAUGAGGUGGAAGAGAUUCCCCUGGACCCCACGAAACCUGAUCAGACAGUUCGCGUUGGUACCCGAUUGCCCGGUCCUAUCCGAAGAGGUAUGAUGGACCUCCUCAGGGAAUACCGGGACGUCUUUGCUUGGGCCGCCGAAGAGGUCCAAGGAGUCCCGCACCAUCUCAUGAUGCAUGACUGAACGUCGACCCCCAAGUCCGUCCGGUCAAACAGAAGAGAAGGCACAUCGGCCCUGAGCGCAGCCAAGCUGUUGGUGAGGAAGUGGACAAGCUUUUACCCGCUAAAAUAAUCCGAAAAGUCCAAUACCCGAUCUGGUUGUCUAACUCGGUCAUGGUCAAGAAGGAUACGGGGGCUUGGAGAAUGUGCGUCGAUUUUACCGACCUCAACAAAGCCUGCUCCAAGGAUUGCUACCCCUUGCCCAAAGUCGAUACUUUGGUAGACUCAGCAAUGGGCUACGAGAUCCUCUGUUUCUGGGAUGCAUUCAAAGGCUAUCACCAAAUUGGGAUGAGUCAAGAAAACCAGGAGAAAACGGCCUUCUACACCGACCGCGGCACGUACUGUUAUACUACCAUGCCAUUCGGGUUGAAGAAUGCCGGAGCCACUUAUCAACGCUUGGUCAACCAAGCAUUCAAGUCUCAAAUCGGCCGGAAUGUUGAGGCCUAUGUAGAUGACAUCCUCCUCAAAAGCCAGACGAACUCCACCUUCCUGGCCGACUUGAAGGAGGUCCUUGACAUCCUGCGGAAGGUGAAAAUGAUGCUGAACCCCAAGAAAUGUGUUUUUGGGGUCACCUCGGGGAAAUUUCUAGGUUACCUCGUCUCAAGGCGAGGUAUCGAAGCAAAUCCGGAUAAGGUGCGAGCCAUCCAGGAGAUGUCUCCACCCCGGUGCGUCCGCGAUGUCCAAAGGCUGACAGGGCGAUUAGCCGCCCUGAAUCGGUUCUUAUCGCAGUCGGCAGCUAAAGCACUGCCCUUUUUCAAAGUGUUGAAGAAAGCUGACCAUUUCUCCUGGACGGAAGAGUGUCAACAGGCGUUUGAGCAGUUGAAGGAUUACCUUCACUACCUUCCAACGCUCACCUCACCUCGUCCGGGGGACAAAUUAAUCUUAUACCUUUCUGCUGCGGCCGAAGCGGUGAGUGCCGUGCUGAUAAGGAAGGAAGGGGUCCAAAUGCCCGUCUACUACGUUAGCCGAGUCCUCCGAGGUCCAGAGACCAGGUACACACAAGCAGAGAAACUUGUGCUAGCCCUGAUCCACGCCGCCCGCAGACUCAAGCCCUACUUCCUAGCUCACCACGUCUGCUUGAGGACUGAUCAACCACUUCGGCAGAUUUUGACACGACCAGAGGUUUCGGGACGUCUUACCAAAUGGGCCAUUGAGCUGGGGGAGUACGACCUAACUUAUGAGCCUCGCACAGCGAUCAAGGCCCAGGCUCUCGCAGACUUCGUAGCCGAGCUCACCUUUGACGAGGUGCAAGGAUCCGUCCCGGCUGCCACAUCGGCCACAGUUGAUGUGGCCACCACUGGGCUCCAGCGGUGGAUCCUACACGUGGACGGUUCGUCAACAGUGAGGGUAGUGGAGCAGGCUUGCUCCUCGAAGACCCCCAAGGAGAAAUAUGCUAAUAUGCCUUAAGAUUUGACUUCGCUGCUUCAAACAAUGAAGCUGAAUACGAAGCCGUCAUUGCUGGACUGCAGCUAGCUCGCAAGCUCGGGGCCGCACACAUCUUGGUUUAUAGUGAUUCCCAACUCGUCGUGUGCCAGAUAUUAGGUGAGUACGAAGCCAGGGACGAGGUGAUGCAUCGUUACCUCUCCAAGGUCCUCCAGUUGGCGACUCACUUCGAGUCUUUUGAAAUUCAAAGAAUACCGCUAUCGAAAAACAGAAGGGCUGACGCCCUCUCCCGGCUUGCCUCAACCUCUUUCUCUGACCUGAACAAGACGGUUCUCGUUGAAGUUCUAGCCGAACCAGGAUAUGUAGCCGAGGUAGUAUACCCCGUCUACCCUGGGGACACCUGGAUGGGUCCCCUGACUCGAUUUUUCAGCCAGGGUGAGCUCCCCGAAGACCGAGCUGAGUCACGGAAGCUCCAACGAAAAGCAGCACGGUACAUUCUCCGACAAGGCCUUUUAUACAAAAGGUCUUACCUCGGCCCUUAGUUGCGAUGUAUCACGCCCGAGGAAGGCCAGAGAAUCCUCCAAGACAUACAUGAGGGGCUCUGUGGUGCUCACGUCGGCUACAGAAUGCUGGUAAAAAAGGCUUUGUUACUUGGGUAUUUUUGGCCCACUAUGAGGAUAGAUGCCCAGGUCAUGGUCCUUUGCUGCCCCUCCUGCCAGCAUCACGCUCCUGAGCACCACCAGCCGACCAAUUUAAUGAUCCCUAUCACCUCGUCAUGGCCAUUUGAGCAAUGGGGAACGGACAUAAUUGGCCCCUUUCCCAGAGCUCCAGGCAAUUAUACCUACGUGGUGGUAGCAGUGGACUACUUCACCAAAUGGGUCGAAGCUGAACCCCUAAAAAAUAUCACUGGUGCGGCAGUCCAGAAAUUCUUCUGGAAGAAUGUGGUUUGCCGCUUCGGCCUACCCCGGGUGAUCAUCUCGGAUAAUGGCCGACAGUUCGCCGAUAAUCCUUUCAAGGCCUGGUGUGAGAACCUCGGGGUCAAACAGCAUUUCACUUCGGUGGGACACCCCCAAGCCAACGGACAAGCCGAAAACUUCAAUCGCACGCUCCUCCAUGGCCUCAAGACCAGGCUCCACCAGGCUGGAUCGUUUUGGAUGGAAGAGCUCCCCAGUGUGCUGUGGUCCUACCGAACUACGCCGAGAUCAGCAACCCAGGAAACCCCGUUUUCCUUAACCUACGGGUCAGAAGCUGUUGUUCCAGCCGAAUUCAUCACCCCGAGUCCACGAAUGGCCGCAUAUGCUGCCGAAGUCAAUGAAGAAGAACGGCGAGUUGACCUCGACCUCGUCGAAGAGAAGCGUGAUAUGGCCGCGGCCAAAGUUGCUGUUUACAAAAAUAUCGUAGCUGGCUACUACAACGCUCGGGUUAAACAUUUGCGGUUCAGUCCGGGAGACCUGGUGCUCAGGAAGAACUCAGUCAGCCGGGCUGAACCUCAGGGUAAACUAACCCCCAAGUGGGAGGGACCAUACCGUGUUGUUGAGUCCAGCCAAAAUGGAUAUUGUAAAUUGGCAUACCGAGAUGGGUCUCUGAGUGCCCCGAACUUGGCAUGCUGAAAAUCUUAAGUUGUACUACCCUUGAGGGUAUGUGCUUUUAAUCUUGAGUUAUUUCACACUUAUUUUCAUUUCAUUAUAAGUGAAAAAUAAGGGGACAAAGUAGCAGUAAAGAGGAAAACCGAAUUUAAUUAAAAAGAAAGCAAGAAUAUGAACUCAAUUCCAUUGAAUUACAUAAAAGUAGAAAGCCGAGGUCACCUUUAAUUAGGAAGAAAGCAAGAAUAUAAACUCAAUUCCAUUGAAUUACAUAAAAGUAGAAAGCCGAGGUCACCUUUGACCUCGGCCUACAAUGACAAAAAAAAAAACAAGUGCCUCUAGGCACUCCCUACCCUGACAUCCUGGCCCCCCGUGGUCGCGCCACCCGUUUCGGCACCCUGUCCACCCUCAGCUCCUCCACCGGCCUGGUCGUCUUCAGUACCAUCUAGUUCAAACUCCUGGAGCCAUUUGUUGAAUUCGGCUCGGACUUCGGUUAGGUCUUUCUCAGUCCGGAUGCCCUCAGCCAUGCUGUCGCAUAGCUCCUUGGCAUCCUCGUUAUAGUGCGAAGUGCUCUGAAGGGACUCCAGUUGUUCAGAGGGAAGAAAGGAUGCCGCGUCAUUAAUAGCCGACGUGUACCCGAACAUGAAGCUUGGCCGGGUGAGCUCGCCGAGGUCACGGAUGAAGGACUCUGACGUCCGGAAGGCUUCCACAGCAGUGACCCCGGCCUUGUCCAUGGCCUCCCUGUUUGACUGUUCUUCUUGGGCCCUCCUUUUUUUCUCCUCAUCAAGAGCAGUCACCAGGGAAUUGUUCGCGACCUCGGCCCUUUUGUUAGCCGCCUUGGCCUUGUCACGCUCCAACUCGGUUGCCUUCAGUUUUUCUUCCAACUCGGCAAUUCUCUUCUGGAGCUCGGCAGGAGGCUCAUAGUUUUCCAUGAACUUUCCAUACCGUUGAAUCAUCUCGACAAAAAAAGCCGUGGUAGAGGCCCAUGACACCGAGGCGCUCUGCAUCAACUCCCCUGCGGAGAGCUUCCUAGCAUAAGUGCUAUCUCGUGGCAGCACUGAAUGCACCAAGAGCUCCUGAGCGACCAAAGGGUUCUUGCAGCGAUCGUUGAAAUUAAUCUCCCACUCUGGACACCAGUGUGAUCCGGGGUGUCUCUUGUCCUCCUCAGCUGCCUUGAAAGGCACAUGAUGGAGUUUGAACAAAGAUGACCCCGUGACGGGGUUCUCCGGAAAUAUGGUCACACCCUGACCCCGGGGGGGAGUGGCAAUCGUGACCCAGCGAGAAGGGAUUCCCACCGGAAUUGCCGAGGCUCGGGAACCUCCCGGAGUGGCCGAGGUGUGCGAGCCCUCGCCCACGAUCACCACGGCAGGCUCGCGGUCGCCCGACGCCGCGGUGGUUUUCUUAGCCGGCCUGGAAGAGGACCCUGCAGUGUCCUUGCGCUUUUUGGGAGCUCUUUUGACCACCUCGACAUCUCCCGAGGUUAUCAGGUCGAAAAUCUUCGUCACUGCAAAGUAGGAGACGAAGUCAGUUAGAAUUCAAGAGGGAUAAACUAAAAGGGAAGAAAUGGAAAAAUACAAAGUCUGUGAAGCCUAGUCGAGAGUAAGACAGGCUGGUCAGAGCUCGUCAAGGCUCAACUGAUCCCGCCUUCCACGAGCACCACUUCGGGAAAAUCCCAGCAGUUUAUCCUGAGGCCCGACCCCGUUAACUUCUGGAAGUUACGCUCUUCUAACUUCCCUGGAGAUAUCUCCUUGAUCGAGGUGGGAGGCCUCCACCAGAAUCCGCGAGGGAAGUCAUCGGCCGAGACGAAGAAGAAGUUUUGCUUCCACUCCUUUAUUGAGUUCGGAGCAUCAACCACCAACUUCGGAACUUUGUUUCCGAAGUAGAACCAUCCUUUUUCACUUCUGCUGUUCUUGAGUGAGUAACAGCGGCGAAAGAGGUUGACCUAAGGUUGUAUCUCCUGAUGUCGGCAAAGUAGCUGGAAGCCAACGAGAAUGCGAAUAGCGUUAGGGGUGAGUUGAGUGAUUCUCACCCCCCAGUACCUCAGGCAGUCCCGAAGAAACCUCGUCGUGGGCACUCUGAGUCCGGCCUCCAGCUGUUCCUGAUAGAUAGUCACCUUGCCCUUUGGUGGCAGUGCGGCUGACUGAUGCGGUUGGGGUAUGUAAAUACUAUAAUCCCUUCUCCAGGGAUACCUGCGGACCACCUCGGCUAUUGAGGCUUGUCCCAUACCACUACUGAAGAACGGCAUCUGGCCGUAGUCGAGAGUUGCCACGUUUGGAGGAGUGGAAGGUUCUUGUACUCCCUCGUCUCUAGGGAUCUCAAUCCCGAGGUCAUCGUUGUAUAGGACCUCGGGCUGGACCUCGAUCUCCUCGGGCUGCACCUCAACCGCCUCAGCUCGGCGUGAUGCCUCGGCACCUCCACCCUCAGCUUGGUGAGAUGCCUCAGCACCUCCGCCCUCGGACGCGGUCCUUUCCUGGGAGGGGUCAGGCCUCUCUGCCUCAGUGAGGUCAGGUCUCACUGUCUCUUUGUGCGUACGAGCUGUUCUAGCCAUUGUAUCAGAAGGGGAAGAAGUGAACUUACUUAGAAUCUGCGACUGGAAGAAGAUGCCGAAGUAGACGUGGUUUAGAAAGGUUGCCGAAGUGAAAAGAGAAAGAAACAGAGUUCUGGGGUGAUUCUUGAUUUUUGGUGAAGAGUAAAACGGUGAAAAAAGACCACUAUUUAUAGGCCACCAGGGUGAAACCCAAGAGACGGCACCCUCUCUCUUCAUUAAUGGGAGGACUGUUCGUCUGCCAACACAGCUGACAGCCGUCCCUUCAGUUAUCACUCAGUCCCAUCUAUGCGGUCAUGACGUGUCCGUGUUCCGUGUUUUAUACGCUUCUCAGCUUCGGGAAGUAACGACCACGGCGGAUGCCCAUCUCGCCCUUCUCAAAGCUUGGGGGGCUUAGUGAGGAGGGCCAUUUAGGCUCGGAGCGCCCGAGGCCUAGUUCCCCAUCAUUUCCUGAAGUGCCGCCUCGGGUAUUAUCCUGGAAGGCGAUCGCGGCCCAUUUACCACCUCGGCUACAAUGUCAAGUCGUAACACCGAGGUGGACAUUGAAUGACAACUACGAAAAGGGGAGAUGUGAUCUCUGACACCUGAGCAAAGGCUGCUCUGACCCGCCGCCUGAAUCUGACAGAAUGUCCCAUCACGUCUCUUCAUGGAGACCGGUCAAGUCCACCUGAUCCACUGACUAUCUCAGAUCUUUUGGGACCCGUGCAAACAUCUCCUCUCUCCUAUCGGUCCCCUAUAAAUACACAAUAUUUCUACUGAAAAAGGGGAUGACCAAUUUCUGGUAAAACACACUCCACUCAUUACUUACUUCUCUAUAUCCGAACUGACUUAAGUUUCGGAGUUAUACCGGGGGAUCCAGCCCCUUUUCUUAUUCAAGCAGGUGACUUCGUCCAAGAGAGUUGCCCAAGGUAAAGAUAUUCUUCGAAUUGAGGUGACUCACUCCUGCGGGUCGAAAAUCACCUCUUCAAAUGGUAGAAAGUUUUCUUAAGAACCAAGAACAGCAUUAGUAUUCCCUCUGCUUCCAAAAACUUGUGUAUUAAAUAGAUUAAUGAAUUGUUUAACAUGCUCAUCUACUUGAAAAUGCACAAUACCCAUAACCCACUGAAAUUUUUGCAGGAAAAGGGAAAGAGAAUCUGUGUUUGAGAGCUUCAUGAAGAUGUUGAAGAAUAAGAAUAAAAGCCCAAUGCGAGGAUGUUUUCAAGUUUUUCUAUGUCCACUUUAAUUUGUAAAUUGAAUUUUACAACUCAAUUAAUUCCUUGUUUGUGAGGUACGUAUUGUUUUACGUACCAUGCCGUACAUGUUUGUAAGGAUUUCUAUCCUAUUGGCAAAAGUCGGUUCCAUACAAUUAAUCAAUUCAUUUCACUUCUAUUGGCUCUACUAUUUAUGCAUGUUACGACACUCUUUCCCUUAUAUUUUGCCUUUAAUAUUAUGAGUCAAUAGUAAUAAUGGGCCUUUUUCUUAAAAUUAUACUAUUAUACAUAGGUAGUUUGGUCUAACGCUAAAUUCAUGUUUGUCUUUCUUUUAUUCCCUUUACAUCUCAAAGUAUACUAUAGUUUGUAAUCAUUGUGGUGAUGAUAUUACCAGCUGGUACUUAUAGUUUAAGGCAGAGACAUGAUAUUAACAACUAUCUCAUUGAAACAUAAGUCAAAAUCAUGACAAGUGUGAGUCUUGGUUAAUGCACAAUUUGUUAGUGGAAUUUAUAUUUAUAAAACUCAAAAAAAAUUUUUGACAAUGCUAUUACUAAUUAAUUAAGGACUUCAUUGCUAUAAUUUAUCGCUUACUAGUUUAAACUAUAAAUGAUCUCAAUACUUUUCUCCAUGAUGUCGAUUUCUUUAGACUACGAAAGGGAAAAAUUAGUGACAUAUCCCUUACUGAUUACAACAUCAGCAAAAAUUAGUUAUAAACUUUUCCGGUGGUUUUAAAUCCCUCGGGCACUAAGGUUUUUUGCACAUCGAGUGAAUUAAGGAACAUAGGCAAUUCGUUCUGCAUACCAAGUCCUUGUUUAAGAUGCACGUACUAAAAUGCAUCCACUUCAUUAAUUUGGAAAAUUGCCAUAGUUUUUUUUAAGCAUUUUGAUUUUUUACAUGAUUCAAAAUUUUCUUAUUGGAUACAAUCACUUUGUGUCAAGAACACAUUUUCAAUCAUCUUUUUUAUCUUCUCAAUAAGAAAAUAAAAAUUUAUUCAUGCUUUUCUAACAUAUCCAAUCAUUGAUCUGAAAAAUAAAGAAUUAAAAAAAAAAGACAUUUUCAAUCAUUGCUUACAGGGCAACUUCCCCAUGUGAACCUCUUCAAACAAAGCCAAUAAUAUGAAGGAACAUCUAAAUACACUUUUGCCCUAAAGGCUGGUUGCCUUGGGGUCAAAAUUUAACCUUCGGGAGUAUAAUUACCCGCCAAAUUUAUUAUUUUUUAUGGGUAUAUAGUUCCAAUUUUGCCUCCUGUUAAGCUUAUAAAUAUAUUACGACCCAGAAAAUAAAGGAAUCUUGAAUAGUAACAUGUCCAUUGACUUGAGUUGUCAUCAAUUUGGCUACUUCGAUUCCAUGAGGCCAAUCCAAUUCACACUAGCUAGAGAAAAUGGUGAUAAAGGCACUUAGAAAUUUAUAUGUAAUAUUGAUUGGUAGUAACUGAUAAGUAUAUAUUUUACGUGUUUUAAAUAUGUUUUAUUAGUUAGUUUUGGUGUGUUUUAACUACUUUUAUAACUAAUUAACUAGGAAUCUAGUGAAAAUAUGCAUUUUGUGGUUUGAAGUGUGAAAAUUGUAUUUCUAUGGAUUUUAAUGGUGAAAACUUCAUGUUUUUGUAGGUUUAAUGAUUCAAUCAUCAAAUGACAUGAUUUGAGAAGAUAAUUAGAUGAUUGAUGAUGUUUUGAAGUGAUAAAAAGAGAAUACAAAGUGCAAGAGAGGAAAUGCAAUCAAGAAUAAAAGAAGAAAAUUUUUGUAGCUUUGACAUAUUGUGGUAUUUUGGCAAUAUAUUGAGCUACAAUGAUUGGAUUAAGGUGAUUCUUAAACCAUUUGAAGCUAAGAUAUAGAUCUACAUUUGGUAUGAAGGCAUCGAAACCCAUGUCAGUCAUUUUCCUUGUCAAAAUGUUGAAAUACAGAAGUGCAACUCUGUUCUCGAAAGCUAAAACAGAGCUCUGGCUAGUCGAGGGUAUUUUCAUCAUUUCUUAGUCCACAGAGCUCCAAAUGAGAUGAUUCUUAAGGCAUUAGAACCCUAACUCAAAGAGCUACAACUUUCAUAUUUUGUACAAGAGUUAGUUCGGCCUCCAUCAUUCAGAAAAUAGUAGUUGAAGUGGUGCCAAAUGCAUAGAAGUGAAAACGCGAGCUAUCAAUACUCGACCUGAAGUCGCGUAUUCCUGAGGUCAUGCAUUCUCUUCUAUUUUCUGCAACUUGCCCUGCUUUCACAUAAUUUUUUCAUCUCAAUUCCAACUAUCAAUUUCGGCUAUAUCUGAUCAAGAAAAGUGUGGAAAGUUUGAAAGACAACUCAUAGGAGUUUCAAGAGUCAAAAAUUACAAUUAGAAACAACUCAUUUGGCUCUUGAAUCCUCUAUAAAUAGAGGCCUUUGAAGAACAUUUUCACAACUUUGGAAGGUUAGAGAAACUCCACAAAAACAUAGUCUUCACUAGAAUUUCCUUAGUUCAUUAGUUAGGGUAGUAUAGUAUAGUUAGUGUAGCUUUUCCUUCUUGUAUUUAUAGUUAGGUUUGAAUGAAGAUUCAGGAGCAAAGAUAGAGAGGUUGAUCUCAUGUGACAAGGGUGAUAUCUCUUCUACUACUUUCUCUUUUGUAUUUGAUUUCAUAUUUAACUAUACUACAAAUUUGGCUUUGUUUUUUUUUUUUAUCAUGUUUAGUUAAAGUUUAUGCCUAGAGUAUGGAUGACCUUUCUAUAUCUUGUUUGUGAUAUUUAACUGGUUAUUUGAUGAUGUUAUUUUUGAGCAAGUUAUUUAUCACUUUUGCUUUUCUAAUCGUGAUUAACUGGCCAUUAGUUGUGAUUAUCUAAAAGUGUUAAGUUUGUAAUGAGAAUUGGAGUUUAACACUAGUUCAAGGAAGUGAUAAAUUUAGGGAGUUCACUCAUGAGAGUAGAGGAACACCUUUGUGACCUAAGUGACUUGUUUCAUAUAAUUUCAUAGAAAAAAUGAACUUGUAAUUAAUUUCAUAACCACGAGAGUAAGUAUGGUUUAGCUAUAUGUAUAGUUGAUUCACUACGAGAGUAGGUUUCACAUACAUUAGAAAAUUACAUCAUAACUAGUCAAGAUAAUAUCAUUCAUUUAAUCAGUAAUCUCAUUUGCAUGAGUAGUAAGGCAUUCCAUAUCUCUAGGAGGUUUUUAGUAUUAUUUUCAUUACUUUUAUGUUUAUGGUAGUCUAGAUAAUAAUGGAGUUCAAAAACUACUAGUAAUUGAAAAUUUUCCCUGUGGGAUCGACCUUUAAUACCCUAUACUCGCUCUCGACUCGUAUACUUGCGAAAAAUCACGUGUGCGGUAUUUAGAAUUUAUAAAUGUAAAACUUGACUGUAGAUGAACUAAUUGAUAUAUGUAUACCCCGCACUCGUCAGUAACCAGCUUGUAUUGAUCCCAUUAUUGUGGAUAAUUGUGCUCUUAUGAAAAAAAAUUAUAAAAAAAUUAGCAAAAUUUAUGAUAACAAAUUAAAUUUAUUCAUACAAAUCAGUGAAAGAAGUAGAAUUUUAAAGACCAUGAUGAAAUUAAUACUUUCAAGGGCUCUAUUAGGAAGACUUCACUUGUUGGUGAAACUACACUAGCACAGUUAUAUGCACAUUUACUGUUUUGGUAUCUAAUUUCCUUGCCUUAAGUUGGGUGCAGAUGUUUAUAUUACAAAUAGAUGGUAUCAUAAAAUUGUUGUAUUCACGUUUGUUCUUUUUUUUUCUUCCUUAAGUUUUUUUCUUUAUUCUCGUGACUUCAAAAAUACGAACUCAAGAAAUUGGCUGCUUAAUCAAUAUGUCAUACAGGCUUCGCUAGUGAGGUAUAACUUCACAACUAGAGUCAAUAGAAAUUAUCAAAUGAUUUUUUAACAUCCAAAUUAAGCAAUAAAUUUUGUUUUCAUUUUAUGACAUAUAAUAGUACUACUUCAUGAGAGAUUUUAUAGUUUCUUUUAGGUAUCAUACCUACAAGUGAUAUUUGUCAUUGGAUAGUGACAGAAGUGUUAAUGAUUGUAAGAUUAAAUAUUGUUAAAUAUUGAAAUUUAAACUAUUUAUCUUUAUUGAAAGAUACAAGUUAAAGAAUCGUUCAAGGGGGCAAUUUUCCAUCUUGUCUUUUUGAAAAAACGCUAUCACAUUGUAUAGGCAUGAUAGGUUCAAAUUUGUCAUUAAAUUUAUGAUUGAUUUCCCUUUUAUUCAAGCCAAAUAUUGUUUUAAUUAUCAAAUUCUACUUAUAUUUGGUUAAUUGUACUAAUUGUAGGGCGGUAGAGCAAAAGUUGCUAAAAAUAGGUGAUUUUCUGCAAAUUGGUUGUCAAGGCUGAAGGAUUUGGGAUUCGCAUGUUCAAGGCCUGUUUCCAAGUUUGAUUCAAACUCUGGACAGUUUUAGAGGAAGAUUUGGAAGAUUUGAAAUUUCAUUAUUAGUUUUAUGGUUGAAUUAGGAAUCUUGGAAUAAUUUCUUUUGUGAUUUAUUUUUCUAUUUAGGAGACUAGUUGUUAUUUAGUAGUAGACUUCAAUUAGAAAACAAAGAGAAAAAGAAGGCCGGAAUCCCGCUUGAUUAAUACCUUGGCCAGGGAACAAUCUCGGUGGGGAGGACGGCCACUUAGCCUCUCAAUUCAUCUUGCUUUUCGUUAGUUUGAGAGGAAAACCAAUUGCAACUAGAUUCAAUGGAGUCUGGCAGAAUUUCUUCUAGGAUGCGUAGCUAAAUCCUCAAUUUUUAGUCGAAGGUCAAUUUGAAAAUUCGGUUCCAAAUAUCUGUGAAAUCGAAUUAUUUUACUUAUUUCUUUUAUUUAUUGGUAUUCGCACGUUUUCUGAUUUAACUUUUUAUGAUUGUUUUGUUAUUUGAAUGUCAAGGGUCCGAUAUUCGAAUUAACUUAAUAAUCUACUGCCAAAUUAACCGGUUAAAUCCGUAAUUGUUUGAUUGAUUAAUAUCAGUGGCGACUAGCGUGAUUGGUCCCAUGUUAGGAAAACGUCUGAUCUAAUUUAAACAAACCGUCGUAGCGUGUUUGUUGAUUAGGGUUGGACUUUUCUAAUUCUUAAUUCAAUUGAGAAAUUAAAUCUCCCGGUCGUACCUAAGAUUAUUUUUUUGUUAGCGAAAUAGUUAAUGGUCGUACCUUGACUAUCGAAAAAGUAAGGAAGAGUUGAUUGUUUAUCGCGUGUACGACAACUAUAAUCAAUCUAUUAAUGAGUAAUUGAAUUAUCUUUGCAUCAGUAAUCAGUUGAAUGGACCGUGUCUGAAAAGUUGUACCUUUGGCUAGAGUCUUAUCUGUUGUUGAUUCAUUCAUAUCUAUCUUCAUGCGUUGUUUUAAUUUAGUUAAUUAGUUAUUUUUAUAAAAACCCCUCAUCUCUGGACUCUAAAAGAAAUAAAUUAUUUCUAGUUCCUGUGGAUUCGAUCCUACUCACCGCUAUAUACAAAAUUUGUAUUUUUUUGAAUAAAUAAUUAUUAUUACACAGGCUUGACACCUGUCAAGGCAAAAUUUCCUUAACUUCAUCAUCUGUAGACGUAAACUUUCUACGGGUGAUAUAAUAUAAGGAAAUUUUGCCUAUACGAUGUGAUAGCAUUUUUUCAAAAAAGACAAGAUGGAAAAUUGCUCCCUUGAACGGAAAAAAUCAUGAUCUUUCCUCAAACUAGUCUACUAGUCAAUUCUUUACAAAAGAAUACUCGCUCCUAAACAUAGCCUGUUCAUCUACACUGUCCCGCAGAAUUCUAGAAAGUUAGGCAAAACUAGACAAGUUGACAGGUAUAAUCAUACCCAAGAUCAGGAACAAGCAGUUGCACAUUUCAAAAUUCGCUGCUGCAACAGCUAAUUUGAUGACUUACAACACUACACGGUCAAACUUUGAAUGGCAAUGGAUCUUUUGUUGUACGUCAUGAUGUAAUUUUCAUGUUACAUACAUUAAUAGGUUGAUAUCUAUAUUCUUUAAAUUAUCAUGAUAAUACCCUUAAUUAGAUUUAACUGAUAAAAAGAACACGUGUUAAUAUACAAAAGUGUGUAACGUGAAUGUUACAUUACUGUAUUGCAGAAGACCUAUAGUCUCUUCAUAUCUCUUCCUGCACGUAUCAAUUCGUUUCCUCUAGAUAAUAAUCUCCCAACUCGUUUCUUUACAAAUGCACCUUUUAUGUUUUAUUACCUCCAAAAGCCUUUACAGGGUCUUUACCCUAAAAAUCAAUUCACCGACUCGCAUUUGAUGUCAGAAAUUCUUAAGACGAAUUCUACUUUACUCAAAGAUUGACUGUUAAUAAUGAGACAGCGACCAUUUUGUAUUAUUAGACCGUCCUUCUUGAUAGGUAAAAGAAAUAGAGAGGAAAGUGGGUCCGUAUAUGGUCUUUUAUUCAUAGAUAAUACAACAUUACGCCAUCGAGCAUUCACACAAUAUUUCAAAGUCAUAGCAUGCCUAAGGCCCUGUUUGAUAGCUCAAUUUCGUAAUUAAAUUUAAUAGAUUCAAAUUUUAACACAUUUAAAUCAUUUGAUAACAAAAAAUUGAAUAUUUAAAUUAAUUAAGUAACACUGAACUUUCUAAACAAAACUUGCUUUCAAAAUUAAGUGAUAAGUUAUUCACUUAUCUUUGAAUGUGAUAUGCACUCAAAUAUAUUAAAUUUAAUAAUUUAAUGGAUUCAGAUUUCAGAUUUCAGUUUUAUUACACACCCUAAGUUGCAAAAUAAUACCAAAACUUGUUAUUAUAUAGCUUGAGAUUCAAAAAUUUAGAGCAUAAUUCUCAACCUAACACAAUCGAAUAAUGAAUAUUCACGAUUGUUUCAAAGUACAAUUUGAGGACAACCCAUUCCAACGCGUACACGAUUUUUAACUUUUCUAAAGUUGUUGAGAGCUGUUAAAAGAGAUUUACCAUGUUUACAUCUUCCAAGUCUUGGAAGUGAAAAAUGAAGCCACUGAGUGCUAUAAAAAGGGGGCUAGAGGCUGCCUAGAAGCAUAUCAGCCUAAAACAAGAAUUUGUAGUAACAAUGGGGAGCAAAGCAAAAGCAACGGGGUCUAGGCUGACUCCUCUUCUUACCACUGUUUUAGUGGUAUUUGUCGCCCUUGGCUUGCCCUUGGAAACUGCAGCUGAUUAUUACAAGUAUUCAUCUCCUCCUCCUCCUCCUUACCACUAUUCUUCACCACCACCUCCAGUGUAUUCACCUCCACCAACCCCUGCUUAUAAGUUACCCCCACCAUCUCCUCCAGUUUACAAGUCCUCACCACCACCUUACCACUACUCACCACCUCCGGUGUAUUUACCUCCACCAUCUCCAGUUUACAAGUCACCACCACUACCCCCUCCGGUAUACAACUCCCCGCCUCCACCAGUGUACAAAUACAAGUCCCCACCACCACCUCCUCCAGUUUACAAAUCUCCAUCGCCACCAGUUUACAAAUACAAGUCACUCCCACCACCUCCUCCGGUAUACAAGUCUCCUCCGCCACCUGUUUACGAGUACAAGUCUCCUCCACCACCUCCUCCAGUGUACAAGUCCCCACCACCUCCAGUUUACAAGUACAACUCACCUCCACCUCCUCCCCCAGUUUACCUGUCUCCACCUCCACCCUAUCAUCACUACUACGGUUCUCCUUCUCCUCACCACUACUAAGCAAGUGCAUAAGUUUUGAGGUAAUAAUACCUAUCCAAAACUUUAUCAACACAAACUGCCAUGUAUAUUAUCAUGCUAAGGACGUACACUUGAUCCAUGAAAAUGACUAGUAGAAGAUUUUUUUUAAGAACCAAAGAAAUACAUUAUUUUUUCGGUCUGUUUUCAAGAAUUUGAGCAGUAUACAGAUUAAAGAGUGUUUUUUUUUUUGUAAACUUGCUUGUCAACUUAAAAAUGCACAUAGCUGAAAGCCAACUGAAUAUUUGCAGGCAAAGGAGAAGGCAAUCGGUGUUUGAGACCUUCAAGAAGAUGUAGAAGAAUAAGAAUAAAAGCCCAAUGCGAGGAUGAUUCCAAGUUUCUACGUUACCAUUUCUACAUCUAAAUUGACUUUAGCUCCUGAGUUCCAUGUUUAUGGGGUUUGUACCGUUUUACGUACCAUGCAGUACAUGCUUGCAAGGUUUUCUGUCCUGUUGGCAAACUGCAGGUCCAUAUAAUAAAUGAAUACUAUUUACAUUACGACACUUUUCUCUUUUUCUCUUAUAUUUUGUCUUUAAUAUUGUUGAUCAUUUUUUUUUUAUCAAAAGCAUCAAAUGCUUAGGUAAUUUGGUCUAAUGCUAAUUGUUUUACUUUUAUUUUUCACCUACACCCCUUUUCAACUCAAAGGAUGCUAUAGUUUGUGAUAAUUGUUUAAGACCGAAGCAUGAUACUAAUAAAUAUCUCAUUGAAAGUCAAGGAAACUAACAUUAGGAAAAGUUUAAAUCUUGAUUUGAUGAAACUAUUUAUUCGUGGAAUUUAGAGAUACAAAACUCAAAUUGUGACGGUGUUGUUGCUAAAUUAUUAAGGACAUUAUCACCAUUAUUUUUCCCUGAUCACUAGUUUCAACUGCAAUGAUCUCAAUCUUUUUGUGACUAAUUCUUUCCUUAAUAAUUUAUAAAGACAAAACUCACAAAGAAUAUGUGACUAAUUCUUUCCUUUCGUCUUCUAAAGAAAAUGCCAACUGUUAGUUUAUCAAGGGGAAAAAGGAUCGACAUCAGUUAUUAUUGAAACUAGUAAGGAAUAAAUAAUGGUGAUAAUGUCCUUAAUAAUUUAACAACAGCACCAUCAGAAUUUGACUUUGAGCUUCGGUCUUAAACAAUGAUCACAAACUACAGCAUCCUUUGAGUUGAAAAAGGAAGUAGGUGAAAAGAAAAGUAAAAAAUACAAUUAGCAUUCCCUCAAAUUGUAGAAAGUUAGGUAGCAUUAUAGACAAGUUGAUAGCGGCAAUUUUACAUUUCAAACUUCACCUAUUCAAUAACUAAUUCGAUGGCUUGCUACAUGGUCAAUCUUUGGACCCCUUCCUGCCUCCAGAUAUCCCUUUCCUCAAUCAGGGGCUUCUACAAUUACCAGUUUCAAUUGUAUGGUAUAGUGUAAAUAUCAACAAAUUAGAUGUAGAUGCUAACAUAAUAAAUGUGAAUGCUAAGACAGCAACAUACAAUCGAACCUGCAAUUGUAUGAACCCCAAUCUCGCUUCCUAGUCCACCAUCUUUCUCUAGGUAAUAAUCUCCCUUCUAAUUUAUUCACAAAAUGCACCUUUCAUCACCUCCAAUAGCGUCGACAUGAUCUUUACCCUAGAAGACUAUUCACCGACUCUCAAUUGACGUCAGAAAAUCUAAGAGUAAUUCUACUUUACCCUAAGAUUGAUAUCAACAAGACAAGGACAAUUUAGAAUUAUUACACGCCUCUUCUUAAUAGGAAAAAGAAAUAGAGAAGAAAGUCAGGCCAGGUCUAAUUUCUUUUCAAAGGCAAUACAACAUUACGAAAUCAAGCAUUCAUUCAUACAAAUAUUUCAUAGUCACCGGUUUGCUGAGUAGAAAAAUUUAGACAAAAACUUAAUAUUAUAUUGUUUAAGAGUUAACAAUUUAGAGCUUAAUCUCCUUGUACUUUGGAGUUAACAAUUUAGAGCUUAAUCUCCUUGUACUUUGGACUAAACUUGAACGUGAAAGGAAAUCCCAAAACCAUAUUGGGCAUGAAUUCACACUUAAUAUACCCAAUAAAAGAUGGCGACUGGUGAAAGGCAGUGGAGACUGGUGGAGAGAUUUGAGGAAUAGAAGCAGACGGAAAAGCAACAAAUUUUUGCCGAAAAACGGUCACUUUCAUGGUUAAUUUUGCUACUCUCCAAUUGUACUUGACCAAUUACAACAAUUUCAUGGAGUUUGAUACGUGAAAAGAAUUUUUUAUAAAUUUUAUUUUGAUCCAUAAUGUUAUCUUUACAUAUAUAAAACAUUUUACAAUUUUGAUUUUGGCGCAGCUAACUUUUGGUUAACAAAAAUGCUCAUGUUUAAAAAACCAGAAAUAAAACAAAACAAGAAACAAAAGAAAUAAGAGGGUAGCAUAGACAUUUUGGAUUUUUCCGUUAAUUUGGAUGAUUUCCACCCACGUUCUAAUUUAAUCCAAAACACAAAGGAAUUACGUAGAGGUUUUAAAUAAUGAGGGAGCUUCAUGAUCGAACCCCAAACCACAAGGCGAUUUACUAUAUUUUACUCUUAAAUUUUGGUUUCAUCUCAUAGCAUACAAGAGUUCUAUUUCACUAUCUGUAGACAAAGACUUUCUAUGGUUGAUGUACCAUAGGAAAAAAUCUGCCUAUACAACGUGAUAGCAUUUUUUCAAAAACACAAGAUGGAAAAUUGCCCCUUAAACGGGGAAAUUCAUGAUCUUUCGUCGAACAAAGAAUACUCACGCCUAUUCAAGAUGGAAAAUUGCCCCCUUAAACGUCUAUUUGUCAAUUCUUGAAAAAAGAAUACUCACGCCUAAAACACGGCCUCUUCAUCUGCAGAAUUCUAAAAAGUUAGGUAAACUCUAUAAACAAGUUGAUAGGUACAAUCGUACCCAAGAUCAAGUACAGAUAGUUGUACAUUAACUGCUGCAAUAACUAAUCUGAUGACUUAUAAACAUAUCAUGGUCAAUCGUUGAAUGGUAAUGAGUCUUUUGUUAUGCAUUAGUAUUAGUGUGUACACUCUAAUAGAUUGAUACUUAUACUCUUUAAAUUAUCAUAAUAAUACCCUUAAUUAACUUUAACUCUUAAAAAGAAUACAUGUUAAUACACGAGUGUGUGUAACCUGAAUUGUUACUUAUAAAUUAGUGUGUAAUAGAUAGGGAUGGCAAUGGGGGCGGGUGCCCGCGGGGGGCUCUCGGGGCGGGGGUUGGGGCGGGGGGGAAUUUUUUCCCCCCGUUUAGAAAUGGGGCAGGGGACGGGGGAGUAUACCCCCGCCCCAUCCCCCGCAAAAAAAAAAUUAUAUAUAAUAUGUAAUUUAAUUAGUUAUAAACUUAUGAUAAUGAUAUUAUUAGUUAGAUGUAUUAUAUAAUGUAUAUUAGUGUAUGUAAUAUAAUUAAUAUUAUCAAUUAUAUGAAUAAUUAGACAUGUCUACUAAUAGAAUUUAUGAAUUAGUUAUACUAAAUUUACUAAUACAUUUAUACUAAAUUUCUAAUUACACUUAAUAGAAUAACACUUUUUUCUAAAACAAAAAAGCACAAACACAAUAAUGAAUUAGUGAUUGUAUGAUAGGGUGUAAUUUUACUAUUUAUUUUAUUAUUAAUUUCCCCUAUCACCUGACCUGAUGUGGAUUAAUUGCUGGAUUCUGCUCACUUUUAGUACUUUGUAUUUAUUUCAGGGAGUAGAACGGAAAUUUGAUAACAGGUGCUAAUUUGGCAGAAAAAGAGUCCAGAUGAUAGAGCUUGCCCCAAGGGCAUUUUUGGAAAGGAGAACUUGUGCCCAUCUUGGUAAUUUGGGAGAAAAGGGAAACAGACAAAAUGGGUCUAACAUGGAUUGGAAGCGGCCGCACAGUAGCAGGGAAGAGGGCAGACGUAAAAGCAAUUGCAGGGGGGAAAAGGAGUUUUUUUAGUUUUUAGCUUAGCAUCUGAUUUUCCCUGGGAGACUUUUGUUAAAGAUUUCCUUUUGGCUGAUAUUACGCAUGGCAGAUGGCUUUUAACUUAUUCCUCCAUCUUUGACUUUUCUUCUUUAGCUUGUGGCAGUGGAUUGCUACUUACGAAUGUCAGCACUUAGCCAUUCGUGGCUUUUGAUCUUUUCUUCCUUAGAAAUUCUGAGUAACCUCUUUUCCUUUGUGCGCCAGACGAAGUGAAAACUAUAAACUUUUGUAGUUUUUCUAUUCAUUCAAUAUAUUGAGACGAGUUGGAUUCUACCAAAUUUCAACGGACAUGGCCGCUGGUUUCUCUUCAAUUUUAUAUGGGCUUUGUUCAUCCAACAUGAACUAAUUUCACCACUCUAGUCAAGGAGCAACGAAGGCUCUGAUUUGCCUAAAAAUUGUGAGAUCGUUUUAAUUUAAUCUUUUCCUUUUAUUUAUUGGUAUCCGCACAUUUCUUGAUUGCUAUGCUUAUGGUUAUUUAAUUAAUUGAUUGUCUUGGAUCCAGAUAAUUAAUUGAUCUGAUAGCCUAUUGUCAAUUAGGGCAUUUAAAUCCGUAAUUGUUUAAUUGUCCUGAAAUAGUGACAACUGGCACGAUUAGAUUCGUGCCAGGGGGGAUAUGCGGGCUAAUCUAAAAUAACCCUGGUAGUGUGUUAUUUGGUUAGAAUAGGGCUCCUCUAAUACUAAGGCAAUUGGGGAAUUAAAUUCUACGGGCGUACCUAGGAUUAUUUCUUAAUUAGAGCAGUGAUUAACGGGCGUACCUUGAUCACCGACACAGUAAGGAGGGGUUGACCGUCAUCGCUUGUUUGGCAGUUAUAACCUAUUUAUCAGUAAAUAAUUGGGAUUGCCUUGCAUCAAUGAUCAAUUAGGUGAACCAUUGUUGAAGUUACUUCUUGGUUAGAUCUUUAGUUAAUAUUACCUUGAUUUUGGUGAAUUGCCAUUUGAUUUUUAGUUGCCUACUUUAUUUUAUUUUUAAUUGUUUCCUUGCUUUAAUUGAGUUAGGCCUUUAAUUAUUGUUAUUCUAAGUUUAGUGAAUUGUGGUUUAAUUCCUAAUUAGUUAUUUAUUUUUACUUUCUUAUUUGAAUUUAUUUGCUUGUUAUCAUUCCUACGAAAUCACCCCCCUGUGUUACUUUGGAUUUCUUAAGAAACAAAUAUACCCAAUCCCUGUGGAUACGACCCUACUUGCUCUGUUCACGAAUUCAUAAUUAUUUGUGAAAAGAAAUAACCAUUCCACUCGGGUAUAUCGGAUCAAGCAAAUUCUUCGGGAACAGGGUGAAUCAAGUAACCCAAUGCACACCUAGAGUCCCUGCUCCAGUACUUGGAAUUGGGUUUUGGUCAUUUUAACUGGCAAUUAGGUUUAAUUUUAUUAUUGCACAGGCUGACGACCCUGUCAAUUUUUGGCGCCGUUGCCGGGGACUGGCGUUAUUAUUUGUUUCUUUUUAAAUUCAUUCUUUGUCCUAAUUUUCUGGUUUUCUUCUAGUGUAUGCCUCGAUCUUCUCGUACAGGUAAUUUGAUUUUUGACCCUGAGGUAGAGAAGACCGCAUGUAGAACGAGAAAGGAAACCAGACAGCUCAGAGAAGAGCACUCCAGUGCUACAUCUCAGAGACCCGAGUCAGAAGUUGAACUAACAGAUUCGUUUGGUAACACUUCGAGUGACUCUGACCAGGAGGAAGACACCAUGGCUAAUGCACGAACAUUAAGGGAGUUGGCUGCUCCUGAUUUAACUCAGCAGCCUUUAUGCAUUACUUUCCCCACUUUAAAUGAUAACAUUCCAUUUGAACUAAAAUCUGGUCUGAUUCAGCUUUUACCCUCUUUUCAUGGUUUACCAGGUGAAGAGCCGUAUAAGCAUCUGCAGGAGUUUGAUGUCGUGUGUAAUAGUAUGAAACCCUCGGGAAUCACAGAAGAGCAGAUAAAAAUGAGGGCAUUCCUCUUCUCCUUGAAAGAUUCUGCGAAGGACUGGCUGUACUACCUGUCACCAGGUAGCAUCACCACGUGGGACCAAUUGAAGAAAAAAUUUUUGGAUAAAUAUUUUCCUGCGUCCAGGGCUGCAAGUCUAAGGAAAGAAAUUUGUGGGAUCAAGCAGCAUCCAGGGAAGUCACUUUAUGAGUAUUGGGAACGGUAUAAGAACUUGUUGCGCAGGUGCCCCCAACACCAAAUAAGUGAGCAAUUGAUCAUACAGUAUUUUUAUGAGGGGCUCCUUUUUAGAGACAGGAGCAUCAUUGAUGCCAGGGGGGAGGGUUGGGAUGGGUGGUACGGGGGGAGGGAGUGUAAGCAAGAGGUCUCGGGUUCGAGUCCUCCCGCUUACACACAAAAAAAAAGAUGCUGCAAGUGGAGGGGCACUGGUAAACAAAACCCCUCAGGAAGCACGGGAGUUAAUAGAGGGGAUGGCAGAGAAUUCACAACAAUUCAGUACAAGAGAGGAUGUCCCAAUACGUAAGGUGAAUGAGGUAGAGACACCCUCUAUGCAGCAGCAGCUAACUGAGUUGACCGCGUUUGUUAGGCAACUGGCUGUGAGAAAUGCAUCACAAGCCAGGGUGUGCGGGAUUUGCACUGGUAUGGGUCAUUCUGCAGACAUGUGCCCAAUGAUUCAGGAAGAAACUGCAGAACAGGUGAACAUGGCUGACCACGCGCCCGCGCCAAGGAAGCAGUACGACCCUUACUCAAGCACCUACAACCCCGGGUGGAGAGAUCAUCCCAACCUCAGUUAUGGAGAAAAUAGGCAGCCCAACAUUACACCGAACAGGCAGUCUAACUUUGUGCCAAAUAGGCCACCAGGGUACCAGCAGCAAUAUCAACCCCGACCACCUCCGUCCCCAAGCUCUGGCCCAUCUUUGGAGGAGAUGAUGAAACAAAUGAUGACAACUAUGGCUCAAAAUCAGCAAAUGACGGAGGCAACCAUUAUGCAAAAUCAGCAAAGGACGGACUCCGAAAUGAAGGAUAUAAGGAAUCAGAUAAGUCAAAUGGUCACAACAAUCAACCGUUUGGAUUCCCAGAACCAAGGUAAAUUGCCAUUUCAGCCCGAAUUAAAUUCGAAGAACGUGAGCGCAAUGACCCUAAGGAGCGGGAAAGAAAUUCAGGGGUCUGAACCUGUGAUCCCUAAGGAUAAGGAUGAGGAAAAGAUCGAAAAUGAGCUUGAAAGGGAGGACAGCAAUGGUGCAGAUCUAAAGGUACUUCCUGACCCAAUAAUUACAGCUAAAACUAACCCGCCUCCUUUUCCUAGCAGGUUGGAAAAAUCGAAAAAAGAGGAUAAGGAGAAGGAGAUCUUGGAGGUUUUUCGCAAGGUUGAGAUAAAUAUCCCCCUCUUAGACGCAAUCAGACAAGUACCAAAAUAUGCCAAGUUCCUAAGGGACUUGUGUGUCAACCGAAGGCAGUUGAGGGAAGAUGAACGGGUUAUUGUUGGGGAGAAUGUGUCAGCAGUCCUGCAGAGAAAGCUCCCACCAAAGUGCGGGGACCCAGGUAUGUUUACUAUUCCCUGUAGGAUAGGUAAUACUGUGAUAGAAGGGCCAUGUUGGAUCUGGGAGCAUCAAUUAAUCUCAUACCUAAAUCUAUCUAUGCUUCUCUAAAAUUAGGUCCAUUAAAAGAAACUGGAAUAAUCAUUCAAUUAGUUGACCGAACUAAUGCAUAUCCUGAUGGGUUGGUUGAAGAUGUGUUGGUAAAAGUUAAUGAUUUGAUGUUUCCAGCUGAUUUUUAUGUACUUGAUAUGGAUGAUGAUCACUCCCCUGAUCCCUCACCUCUGUUAUUGGGUAGACCCUUUAUGAGCACAGCACAGACGAAAAUUGAUGUUAAUAAGGGUAUCUUGUUCAUGGAGUUUGAUGGGAAAAUUGUGCAUUUCAAUAUCUUUGAUACUAUGAAAUAUCCCUCAAACUCCAACUUUAGCACAGUUUUCUCUGUGAGUGCUAUUGACCCUGUAGUGCAGGAAGUGUUUGAAACUGAUGGCAGGGAUGAGUUGGAGGUGGCUUUGACCAAGCACCUCGAGUUGGAGACAACUCCUGAGGUGGAAUGGAGCGAGGACCUAAAAUGCACAAUAGGUGCAUUACACUCAUUGCAGUCCACCACGAAAAGGUAUGAAGUCUUACCUAUUUUUACUCCCGAACCUCACCAGAGGGUGUUGCCAUCUGUGGUGCAGGCACCUGUACUAGAAUUUAAACCUCUAUCAGAGCACCUGAAAUAUGCAUAUCUGGGUGAUAAUGAGACACUCCCGGUGAUUAUCUCAUCGACACUGUCAAAAAUCCAGGAGGAGAAACUGAUCCGGGUCCUUAGAGAGCAUAAAGAGGCGAUAGGUUGGACAAUCGCAGAUAUUAAGGGGAUCAGCUCGGCCAUCUGUAUGCACCGGAUUAGACUAGAAGAGGAUGCCAAACCUGUUAGGCAGGCUCAAAGGAGGCUCAACCCCCUAAUGAUGGAAGUUGUAAAGAAAGAAAUUUUAAAAUUGCUAGAUGUGGGGAUUAUUUUUGCAAUAUCAGAUAGCCCUUGGGUAAGCCCGAUCCAGGUAGUCCCAAAGAAGGCAGGGGUGACGGUGGAGGCAAACCAAACGGGUGAGCUCGUGCCAGUGCGCAAACCCACUGGAUGGAGGCAGUGUAUAGACUACCGUAGGCUAAACGCCGUCACCAAAAAGGACCAUUUCCCUCUCCCUUUCAUUGACCAAAUGGUUGAACGUUUAGCUUGUAGAGCUUAUUAUUGCUUUUUGGAUGGAUUUUCAGGAUACUUUCAGAUAGCAAUUGCUCCAGAGGAUCAAGAGAAGACAACCUUCACGUGCCCGUUCGGGACCUUUGCUUAUAGACGAAUGCCAUUUGCGUUGUGCAAUGCACCUGCAACAUUCCAGAGGUGUAUGGUAAGUAUUUUUUCUGAAUAUGUGGAGAAAAUUAUUGAAGUUUUCAUGGACGAUUUCAGUGUGUAUGGUGAUAGUUUUGAUACGUGUUUAGAUAAUCUGAAAUUGAUCCUGAUAAGGUGUAUAGAGACUAAUCUUGUGCUUAAUUGGGAAAAAUGUCAUUUUAUGGUUGAGCACGGGAUAGUCCUGGGUCAUAUUGUAUCGUCUAAGGGCAUAGAAGUUGACAAGGCUAAAAUAGAUAUUAUUUUUGCAUUACCUUACCUCGCGAGUGUGCGGAAGGUGCGUUCUUUUCUUGGACAUGCAGGUUUUUAUCGAAUGUUCAUCAAGGAUUUUUCAAAAAUUGGAGCCCCGUUAUUCCAACUCCUACAAAAGGAUGUGACCUUCGAAUUCGAUGAUAAGUGUGAGGAAGCCUUCAACAAGUUGAAAGAAUUGUUGACCUCACCCCCAAUUAUCCAGCCCCCUGAUUGGAGUCUACCAUUUGAGAUCAUGUGCGAUGCCAGUGAUCAUGCCGUAGGGGCUGUAUUGGGGCAAAGAGUAGGGAAGGCAGCUCACGUCAUCUACUAUGCAUCCCGAGCAUUGAAUGGAGCCCAAUUGAAUUACUCCACUACUGAAAAGAAGCUUCUUGCAGUUAUUUUUGCUUUAGAAAAAUUCAGGUCAUAUUUGCUAGGUGCUAAAGUAAUUGUAUUUUCUGACCAUGCAGCAUUAAGGUACCUAAUGACCAAGAAAGAUGCCAAACUGAGGCUCAUUAGGUGGAUAUUGCUACUGCAGGAAUUUGACCUGGAGAUACGGGAUAAAAGGGGCUCAGAGAAUUUAGUAGCUGACCAUCUGAGUCGUAUACCCGUUGGAGAGGAUAAUGAACCAUUGAGGGAUGCGUUCCCUGAAGAGCACUUAUUUUCUUUAAAUUCUCAGUUGCCUUUGUAUGCCGAUCUGGUCAAUUAUUUGGUAACUGGUAAUUUUCCUGCAGGUUGACCAAAAUCGAAGAGGGAUAAAUUGAAGAGCGACGCCAAGUAUUUUAUUUGGGACGACCCGUACCUAUGGAAGAGGUGUGCAGAUCAAGUGAUGCGGAGAUGUGUAAGUGAAAUGGAAUUUCAAUCGAUUUUAGCUUUUUGUCAUACUUUUGCCUGUGGAGGUCAUUUGGACCCAAGAGAACUGCUCAUAAGGUUUUAGAAAGUGGAUUUUAUUGGCCUUCAUUGUUUAAGGAUGCCUAUGUGUUUUGUAAGUCAUGUGAUCGCUGUCAAAGGGUAGGUAAUAUACCCCGUAGAGAUCAAAUGCCCCAAGUCCCGUUGAUUUUUAUUGAAAUUUUUGAUGUCUGGGGUAUAGAUUUCAUGGGGUCUUUUCCUACUUCAUUUGGUUUUUUAUAUAUUUUGCUGGCAGUUGAUUAUGUGUCUAAAUGGGUGGAGGCUAAGGCCACUCGAACUAAUGACUCGAAAGUAGUUGCAAAUUUUGUCAGGUCUAAUAUUUUUGUGCGAUUUGGAAUGCCUAGUGCUAUUGUCAGUGAUAGGGGAACGCACUUUUGCAACAAAAUCAUAGCUGCGUUGUUUCGCAAGUAUGGUGUACUCCAAUGGGUCUCAACGUCGUACCACCCUCAGACCAAUGGUCAAGCGGAGGUGUCGAAUCGAGAGAUCAAGUCUAUCUUGGAGAAAAUGGUGCGCCCCGAUAGGAAAGACUCGAGUCAAAGGCUGGAGGACGCACUUUGGGCCUAUCGGACGGCGUACAAGACUCCUAUAGGGAUGUCACCGUACAGGUUGGUAUUUGGGAAGCCGUGUCACCUUCCAGUGGAGUUUGAGCACAAAGCUUUUUGGGCGAUAAAGUAAUGCAACAUGAAUUUAGAGGAAGCCGGUGCCCAACGAAAGUUGGAUUUGCAAGAAUUAGAAGAGAUCCGGAACGAGGCUUACGAAAAUGCACUAAUUUAUAAGGAGAGAAGCCGGAUAUUUCAUGAUCAACAAAUUUCAAGAAAAUCCUUUGAAGUUGGUCAGAAGGUCCUACUAUACCAAUCCAGGCUCAAGCUAUUCCCAGGUAAACUACGUUCCCGUUGGAUUGGACCUUUUCUUGUUACUCAUGUUUUUCCAUAUGGUGCAGUUGAAAUCCGGAGCGCUAAAACAGACAACAAAUUUGUGGUGAAUGGACACCGUCUCAAGCAUUACUACGAAGGAUUUUCAGGUGAAAAGGUGGAGACAAUAAGUCUAGACGCGCCACCGUGUCCUAAUCAGUGACAUUUUACUAUGUCUAGCCAAAGACAUUAAAGACAGGCGCUCAUUGGGAGGCAACCCAAUUGUCCCUUUUAAUUAUUUGUUUGAUUUCGUGUGAUAGUUUAAAUAUGUUUUCCUUGAAUUCGACUGAUUUUGGGUUUCAGUUUUCGUUUUUGCUGAAUUGUAGGUGACCUUCAGUCUUGACGCGCCCGCGUGAUGACAUGCAGGAAGCUCACGAUCAGAAUCGUCUGAAAGCUCUCUUGCCCUUUUGACGCACCCGCGUGAUGACGUGCAGGAAGCUCACGAUCAGAAUCGUCUGAAAGCUCUCUUGCCCUCUUGACGUGCCCGCGUCACGUUCGCAGGAAAGGUACGGGUUUCAAAAAUUUAAAGAAAAAAUAAUAAUAAUAAUAAUUUAAAAUUUUGAAAUUAACUUCCGUAAAAAAAAAAAAGAAGAAAAAAAAUUUCACCGUGGCUUAAAUAGAGCCUAAAGAAGAGAAAAAAGAAACAAUUUCUUUCUUUUUUUUUUCUUUUUCUUCUUUCUUCCUUCUUUCUUUCUUUCUUCUUUCUCUUUUCCCUCUCUCUUCUCCCCUGUUUCUUCUCCCCUGUCCGUCGCCCGUGCGCCCCAUCGCUGCUCCACCUCCACACGCACGCCGACGCUGCGAGCCACCUGCGACCCCAGCGCCAGAUCUGGACCAUCGCCGAAACCCGCAGCCUCCGCCACCUCCACCUGAGCUCUGCCUCGCGCGCAACCCAGCUGCUCUGCGCCCGAAGCUCCACCGCCGCCACAGCCUCCCCACGCAGCUCCCUGCUCACGCGGCCACAAGCCCAUUGGAAACGGGACAGAGACUGCCGCCGAGCCACUUGCCCGCGUGACCGCCGCUGUUUUCCACCACCUCCCUCACGCGAGCUCUUUCCCUCUCAGCAGCAAUCCACUUCACAGCGCACCCGCUGCGCGCCGUCGCAGCCCUCGCAGCUCCAGCCCGUCUGGUCUAGUCCGCCGCGCGCACCAACCACCCACGGACGCUACCCCCAUCGCUAACCCACGCGGCCUCCACUCCAGUCUGUCCGCCGCCGCUGCUCGUGUCUCCCUUGCGCACCUCACGCCACCCGCUACUGUCCCCUUCCGUUUGGUUAGCAUCCACGGUGGAGGUAAUUGGAGGUUAUUUUCUCAAUUGUGUGACUUCCGCCUGUGAUACUGGUUGCAUUAUUUUUGCUGGGAAUUGCUACUUCUUUUGGGUUGGGUUCAACUGUGCAAUUAAUUGGCCAACUGGAGCCAUUUGUUGGGAUUUUGGGUGAGCUGAAAUACUGCAUUUGUGUGUUACAUUGGGAGGUUUAUUGGGUACAUUCUAACCGCUGUUUUCCAUUGUUACUCUCGCUGGGGUGUCUAUUAAAUUGCGAUUGAAGUAUUUUGGAUAUUGCAUGUUGAGAUUGAGGUUUCAUUGAAUUUGGCCUACGUUCUGCCCCCAGUGGUACUGGUGGGAAUAUUUUCAAUUGAAUUUGUUACCUCUAGUUGGUUGGCUACAUUAUUAUGGUCGAAUUCCUAAGUUGUCGUCAUUGCAUUUGUUGAUCUUGAUUUGGGGCAUUAACCGGCCAACUGGAGCCAUCUGUGCGUUUUUAGGCGCUAUUAUUGGUUUCUUCUCCCUUAACUUUGUCAACUAUAUUUGGUUGGGUAUUUGGUUGACUGCCACGGACUUGUAACUGUGUUUUGCUUCUAAUUGACCAGUUGCACAGCAGUUUUUUUUUAAUUGAUAGGGUGGUUAUACCUCUGGAUAUUUGUAUCCACUGGUUUGAGGACAUGGUGAGACCAAAAUCCUCCUCUAGGUCUAGGACCCCUAGAACCUCGCAAUCCCAACCCCAAGCCUCUACUCUAGUCAAUACCCCUAUAAAUCAACCUACUGCUCCCGGUGUCCGAACCUGGUUAGGUAGGGGUAGAGGUGCCCACGUGGCUUCCGCCACUCACUUGGGAGGGCAUUUGGAAUUCACUAGAGCCGCCGAUCAGCGACGCUAUGCUCAAGCUUGUGAGCGGCGUAUCAUUCCGUGCAAAUGCGCGGACCACAUUACUAUGGUUUUUCUGGGGAUCCAAGGGGAGGUUGAGCGCAUGUACACCGCCAUUGGAUGGCGCCCCUAUCUGGAUAUUUUCCAGCCAGCCUUUGUCGAGUUGACUAGAGAGUUUUACACCACUUUUAAGUUUGAAUUACCGACUAGGUAUACUGUUGCGACUCCCGAUAUCAUUCACUUCCGUCUCAUGGGCCAGGAAUUCAAUUUCUCUAUCACCCAGUUCAAUCUGGCUUUCGGUUUCAUCACUCGGGAGUAUGCAGAGACUAGGGAAUACGGUGAGAGUGCCUGCGAUUUUGUGGAACCUUUCCUUACCGCCUACCGUGAGGUGUGGGAGGACAUGUCUGUGGACAUGCAGCGUUACGAUCCCUCUCGGUCUCGGAGCUCCUUUCUAGAGGACCCGAGUGCUCGGUAUGUUCAGCGGCUUUUAGCAUAUAGCUACUCGGGCAGAAAGAACAGCUUCGGUAUUAUCUCUCGGCCGGAGCUCUUCUUCCUUUGGUGUAUGAAGAAUGGGUUCAAGGUCAAUUUGGGUUGUUGGUUGGCGGCACAGUUCAAGACCGUCAUGGCAAAGAAGAACAAGCCGUUGAUUCUUGGGUCGUAUAUCACGUACUUGGCGGUCCAGCUAGGCGUUCUGAAUCUACAGGAUCACGAUUUGCACUUGGCCUGCGACAUGGAGUAUCUCACUGCUGACCGGCUAGAGAAGAUGGGGGUUCUGGAGCUUGUCGAUGGCCACUACCGAUUUGUGCCCCCGGGACCGCCCCGCGCCCCGCCUCGCUCUUCCUCCACCCAUUCGGCCCCAGUUGGCGGUGAUCCUGGCCCGUCGACAUCCGCUCAGCUCCCUCCACCAGCAGGGGCUGAAGAUUGGCACCAAAUCAGGACGCAGAUUCAGAAUUUGGACGCCCGGAUGAUUAGCAUCGAGAGCAACGUGGCGGCUAUAUCACAGAAUCUGGCGGCAUUCCUGCAGCACUCGGGUUUCCCGCCCCCAAUCCCACCUCACCCUCCACUAUGACCCGGUUUCAGGGAAGUUUGGUUACUUUCUCCCUCACUUUUGUUGUUUUUUGACACAUUGAGGACAAUGUGUCCUAUAGGUGUGGGGGGGUCUAUAGUCUUUCUAGUUUUUAGUAGUUGUUAGUUUUUAGUUUUUUAGUAGUUUUAGUUUUAUUUCUAGUUGCGUAUUUUCUUUCUUUUCUUAGUGCUUAUUCCCCAUGUGAAAAGAAAAAGAAAACAAAAAAAAAGAGAAAAAAAUGUUGGUUUAUUGACUCUAACUCUACUUUUGCCAAGUUUUUUUUAAAUAAAAAUGUAUCGGGUUAAUGUGGUUGGAUCCAGAAUAUCUCCCUGGUGAAUAUCGGAUUGCUUGGCUCUUUUGAUUUCUGUGUUAAUUUCUCUAGGCAUAGGGAAUGACUGUUGGCAUUUUAAUGUGAACUGGUCCAAUAUUGACUCCAGUUCUCUAUGUUUGGCAAUAAUGAGGCGAGCUGUUCCUAUUUUUGGUUCUUAGUGUUGUUAUUAUGUGUUUUUGGCUUUGUUUGGCUGUGAAUAAUCUGGACUGUACUCCGCUAUGAGUUACUACUGAGUAACCGAGGAUCGGCACCUAAAAGUGUCGAUUCUCGCGUCAAAAGGUGGUACUUUAUAUGAGUACGUGGUCGUAUAGCAGUAGGAGCUGAGUAACCGGGCUCCUUCAUCUAAAAAUGUUGGAGUUCGCGUCAAAAGGCCCCGACGGCUAACGACUAAGUCUUUUUGUGUUAAUUAUUAUUGCUUUGAAAAACAAAAAAAAAAAAGAACGAAAAAAGAGAGAAUAAAUAAUAGGAAGGCUUGCCGGUUUAUGGACUUAAUAUGGAGACUUGUGUGAAUAUUUGGACCAUUAGCUAAUAAAUGUUGUGCGCCAUUCCCUUUUCUUAGAGUAGUUAACCUGGAAAUUGAAGGAAUUUGCAGUUUAGGGGCUAACCGGGGGGGAGGCUUCUUGGAUUUUAAUCACCAAUGCUCGAUAUAUGUUUUUCUCUUGAAGAUCUUGGCAAUAUAGGAGAUUGGACAAUGGCCAUCAUCGAAUUUUGGUGUUCGUUUACUAUUCUUAUGCUUGAGGACAAGCAUGGUUUAGGUGUAGGGGGAAUUGAUAGGGUGUAAUUUUACUAUUUAUUUUAUUAUUAAUUUCUCCUAUCACCUGACCUGAUGUGGAUUAAUUGCUGGAUUCUGCUCACUUUUAGUACUUUGUAUUUAUUUCAGGGAGUAGAACGGAAAUUUGAUAACAGGUGCUAAUUUGGCAGAAAAAAGUCCAGAUGAUAGAGCUUGCCCCAAGGGCAUUUUUGGAAAGGAGAACUUGUGCCCAUCUUGGUAAUUUGGGAGAAAAGGGAAACAGACAAAAUGGGUCUAACAUGGAUUGGAAGCGGCCGCACAGUAGCAGGGAAGAGGGCAGACGUAAAAGCAAUUGCAGGGGGGAAAAGGAGUUUUUUUAGUUUUUAGCUUAGCAUCUGAUUUUCCCUGGGAGACUUUUGUUAAAGAUUUCCUUUUGGCUGAUAUUACGCAUGGCAGAUGGCUUUUAACUUAUUCCUCCAUCUUUGACUUUUCUUCUUUAGCUUGUAGUAGUGGAUUGCUACUUACGAAUGUCAGCACUUAGCCAUUCGUGGCUUUUGAUCUUUUCUUCCUUAGAAAUUCUGAGUAGCCUCUUUUCCUUUGUGCGCCAGACGAAGUGAAAACUAUAAACUUUUGUAGUGUUUCUAUUCAUUCAAUAUAUUGAGACGAGUUGGAUUCUACCAAAUUUCAAUGGACAUGGCCGCUGGUUUCUCUUCAAUUUUAUAUGGGCUUUGUUCAUCGAACAUGAACUAAUUUCACCACUCUAGUCAAGGAACAACGAAGACUCUGGUUCGCCUAAAAAUUGUGAGAUCGUUUUAAUUUAAUCUUUUCCUUUUAUUUAUUGGUAUCCGCACAUUUCUUGAUUGCUAUGCUUAUGGUUAUUUAAUUAAUUGAUUGUCUUGGAUCCAGAUAAUUAAUUGAUCUGAUAGCCUAUUGUCAAUUAGGGCAUUUAAAUCCGUAAUUGUUUAAUUGUCCUGAAAUAGUGACAACUGGCACGAUUAGAUUCGUGCCAGGGGGGAUAUGCGGGCUAAUCUAAAAUAACCCUGGUAGUGUGUUAUUUGGUUAGAAUAGGGCUCCUCUAAUAUGUAAGGCAAUUGGGGAAUUAAAUUCUACGGGCGUACCUAGAAUUAUUUCUUAAUUAGAGUAGUGAUUAACGGGCGUACCUUGAUCACCGACACAGUAAGGAGGGGUUGACUGCCAUCGCUUGUUUGGCAGUUAUAACAUAUUUAUCAGUAAAUAAUUGGGAUUGCCUUGCAUCAAUGAUCAAUUAGAUGAACUAUUGCUGAAGUUACUUCUUGGCUAGAUCUUUAGUUAAUAUUACCUUGAUUUUGGUGAAUUGCCAUUUGAUUUUUAGUUGCCUACUUUAUUUUAUUUUUAAUUGUUUCCUUGCUUUAAUUGAGUUAGGCCUUUAAUUAUUGUUAUUCUAAGUUUAGUGAAUUGUGGUUUAAUUCCUAAUUAGUUAUUUAUUUUUACUUUCUUAUUUGAAUUUAUUUGCUUGUUAUCAUUCCUACGAAAUCACCCCCCUGUGUUACUUUGGAUUUCUUAAGAAACAAAUAUACCCAGUCCCUGUGGAUACGACCCUACUUGCCCUGUCCACGAAUUCAUAAUUAUUUGUGAAAAGAAAUAACCAUUCCACUCGGGUAUAUCGGAUCAAGCAAACUCUUCGGGAACAGGGUGAAUCAAGUAACCCAUUGCACACCUAAAAUCCCUGCUCCAGUACUUGGAAUUGGGUUUUGGUCAUUUUAACUGGCAAUUAAGUUUAAUUUUAUUAUUGCACAGGCUGACGACCCUGUCAUUGUAUUUGUACCAAAAGUGAAAACUUAACUAUUUUAGUUGUAUUUAUUUCAUCAUGUUGGAUUGUAUUCAAAUAAUUUUUGUUUGAUUGUUUUUAUAAGUUUCAAUUGUAAAAUUAAAAUGAAUAAUAACUUGAUGAUGUGUUGAUAUUUUAGUACUUGAUUAUUUAUUAAAAUUUAAUUAUAAUAAAAUUUUAUUAACUCAACGAGAAAAAUUUUAUUAAUCCCGUGGGGGCACCCGCGGGGAAAGCGGGGCGGGGCGAGGGGAGUGGGAGGCGGAGGACGGGGCGGGGGCGGGGGAUGGGGGAGGGGUCCCCCGCCCCAACCCCGCCAUCCCCCGUCCCGUUGUCAUCCCUAGUAAUAGACUGGCAAGCAUUGUGGUGGUCAUUGAGCAACUUAUAGGAGAAAUAGUCCUAUAAGCUGUUCAAUGACCAAUCACAACUUGCUAAUUGGAUGACUAAUAUAGCUCUAGCUGUAAUGUUUUAAUUAAAUUACAUCACUAACGUUGGGAUGACUUUUUAACCAAAAAAAAAAAGCCUUAGUUCAAGCUUUUCCCUUUAUUGUGCAUUUUUUAAAGCAUUUGAAAGGCACUGCAAAUCUGUCAUUUUGGACAUUUUAUUAUUGACUAACAAUGAAAGCCGUGGACGUCUACCCAUAACCAACACAAGAUUAAAUUAAUAUUAGAAAAAAUAAUUGAGUAAUUGGAAAAAAAAAAAAAAGAAGAGUCUAAUUUUCAUUGAAACCCACCGACAAACUAUACGUGUCCAUGGCUUUUGAAUAGUGCAUUCAACGUUUAAUUGUAUGGUCCAGUUCAUUGCAGAUUACAUGGAGUAAAGAUUGCGCUCUUUCCUUUUCACCCCUUUUGGAAUCGAUACUGUGGAGAAUUGGGUUUUUCCCUCCUUUUUUUCUUUUCUUUCCUUCUGUGGUUUGCAAAACAUACGUAAAAAUAUGAAAUCCGAAGCAUUCUUUAAUUGGUAUUAAGUAUUGUUGUUGAAAUUAAAAAGAAAAAAGAAAGAACAACAAAAUUCCCAAUCUGGGUUGAUUGUUGAGCUCUAGAUUGGUUGCAUCGUGCUUCCAUAGAAGCAAGAUUUGUAAAAUCGGAAUCCUACAUAGGAUCGAUUUUAGUUUCACAGGAUCGGAUUGUAAAAUCGUAAGAUCCUACCAAAAGCUCUCAAUUGCAAUUAAAGGUUGCAAUUCUUUAAUAAAUUACAAAUAUACCACAAAUAUUUUCAUUUACUUGCAAAAUGGAGCUUCGUAUUUCACAAAUUUACAAAAAAAUUGUAGGAUCGUACGAUCCUACCGAUCCUACGAUCCUACACGAUCCUACCGAUCCUGCUACGAUUCUAUGCGAUCCUACAAAGAUUAAUAUGAUUUGCGACUCUGCAUACGAUCCGGAUCGAUUUUGGUUAUCCGGAUCGUAGGAUCGUAUGAUCCUACGAUCCGGAUCGCGAUUUUGACAACUAUGCAUAGAAGCUCUCUUAGUGUGAUACACUGCUUUCAAUCAGUUUAACACGGGAAAAAAAAAAAGAGAUGAAAAGCAAAUUUGGUGGAGAUAAUUUCAGAAACCUCCCCUGAAGAUUUUGACUAUUCUACUGGUUUCCCUUCAGAUUUUAAAAAUUACACUAAUCUUCCUUGAAGUUAAUUAUCUUGUAACAUUUAAAUUCAAUCAAUAAUUUAAAAAAUGAUAUUAUGAGAGAGAAAAUAAUAUGAUUUUAUCAUUGCCCCCCAUCUUACUACAUUAUUUAAUUAAUUUAAUAGCAACCCACACAUUAAAGAAAAAUAUUAAAAUUUGUUGUUUAUCAUUAAAGAUCAAAUCGCUUAUAACAUCAAAUAAUAGUAUAUUAUUUAUAUUUUUCACUUAAUAUAAUAUCCAAAUUACUCUUUUCAAUUACAUACCCAUUGUUAGAGAAUCAACAACAAAUAACCAAAAAAUUUGCAACCAAAAUAUUACAAAAAAAAUAAACUUUAACAUCAUAAAUAUUCUUAUCAACAUAUUAAAGUUAGUUACUGAAAUUUUUAUGCUGUUAAACUUCACUCUUUUUGAAUACAGAUUUUUUUGAUUAUUUGUUAUUAAUUAUGUUUGAUGAUGGGUUUAUAAUUGAAAAGAACAAUUUGAAACUUACAUUAAGUAAAAUAUAUAGAGUGAUAUACUAUUUUUUAUAACAUAUGUGAUUCAAUCCUUCUUGAUAGGAUUGGUAAUAGAGGUAGAGGGGGGAGUCGGCUGCAUCCGGUCUUCUUUUCAUAGAUAGUACAAUAUUGCGAAAUCAAUCGCAUUCACACAAUAAUAUUUCGAAGUCAAUGCAUGGCUAAGUUGCAUAAAAGUACGAACACUUGUUAUUAUAUAGCUUAAGAUUCAAAACUUUCGAGCAUAACCCUCCACCCAACACAAUUGAAUAAUGAAUAUUCACGAUUGUCAAAUCUGUCAAAGCACAGUUUGAGGACAACCCAUUCCAACCUGCAAAAGAUUUUUUACUUUUCUAAAGUUGUUGAGAGCUGUAAAAAGACUUACCAUGCUUGCAUCCUCCGAGCCUUGGGAGUUAAAAAUGAAGGCACUGAGUGCUAUAAAAAGGGGAAUAGAGGCUGCCUAGAAGCAUAUCAGCCUAAAACAAGAAUUUGUAGUUAAGAUGGGAAGCAAAGCAAAAGCAAUGGGGUCUGGGCUGACUCCUCUUCUUGCCACUGUUUUAGUGGUGUUUGUUGCUCUUGGCUUGCCCUCACAAACUGCAGCUGAUGAUCACUACAAGUAUUCAUCUCCUCCUCCUCCUUACCACUAUCCCUCACCACCACCACCAGUGCAUAUACCUCCACCUCAUCCUGUUUACAAGUACAAAUCUCCACCACCCCCACCACCACACCCAGUUUACAAGUAUAAGUCACCACCACCACCUCCUCAUCCGGUAUACAAGUAUAAGUCUCCUCCGCCACCACCACACCCAGUUUACAAGUACAAGUCACCACCACCACCUCCUCAUCCGGUACCACACCCAGUUUACAAGUAUAAGUCACCUCCACCACCUCCUCAUCCGGUACCCACAGUUUACAAGUAUAAGUCACCACCACCACCUCCUCAUCCGGUAUACAAGUAUAAGUCUCCUCCGCCACCACCACACCCAGUUUACAAGUAUAAGUCACCACCACCACCUCCUCAUCCGGUGCCACACCCAGUUUACCACUACAAGUCACCACCACCACCUCCUCAUCCGGUACCACACCCAGUUUACCACUACAAGUCACCACCACCUCCUCACCCAGUUUACAAAUACGAGUCUCCACCACCACCAGUUUAUAAGUACAAGUCACCACCACCUCCUCCACCAGUUUACAAGUAUAAAUCUCCUCCACCACCACCACCAGUUUACCACUACAAGUCUCCACCACCUCCUCCCCCAGUUUACAAAUACAAGUCUCCACCACCUCCUCACCACUACUAAGCAAUUGCUUCUGAGGUAAUAACACUUGUUCAAUAUACCCACUUCUGCAUGAUAAAGCAUAUCUCUAUCAACACAAACUGUCAUGUCUAUCAUGCUAAGUGCCUUCACUUCAUCCACCAAAAUGACUGCUAGAAAAUUUUUUUUAUGUUACCAAAGAAAGGCAUCAUUUUUUCCCUCUGUUAUCAAGAACUUGUACAGUAUAUAGAUUAAAGAGUAUUUUUUUAACUAGCUUAUCAACUGAGAAAUGCAUAUAGCUGAUAGCCAGCUGAAUAUUUGCAGGCAAAGGAGAAGGAAACCAUGUUUGAGACCUUCUUGAAGAUGUAGAAGCAUAAGAAUAAAAGCCCAAUGUGAAGAUGAUGAUUUCAAGUUUUUCUACGUUACCAUUUCUUUAUCUAAAUUGGUUGUAGCGCCCAAGUUCCUUUGUUUAUGGGAUUUGUAUCGUUUUACGUACCAUGCAGUACAUGUCAUGUUUGUAAGGUUUUCUAUCCUGCCGGCAAACCGCAGGUUCCAUGUGAUAAAUGAAUACUAUUUAUGUUACGACACUUUUCUCUGUUUCUCUUAUAUUUUGUCUUUAAUAUUCUUAAUCAUAUUUUUAACAAAAAUAUUCAAACACUUAGGCAAUCUGGUCUAAUGCUAAUUGUAUGUUUUACUUUUCUUUUUCACCUGCUCCCCUUUUCAACUCAAAAGGAUGCAAUAGUUUGUGAUCACUGUUUAAGACGGAAGCAUGAUACUAAUGAAUAUCUCAUUGAAACUCAAGGAAACUAACAUUGCGAAAAGUGUAAAUCUUGAUUUGAUGCAACUAUUUAUUCGUGGAAUCUAUAGUUACAAAACUCAAAUUCUGACUGCGCCAUUGAUAAAUUAUUAAUGACGCUAUCAUCAUUAUUUAUCCCUAACUAGUUUCGACUACAACUGAACCCAAUAUUUUCCCCAUGAUAAAAGUUUUUGACUAUUUUACUGGCCUCUCUUCAAAUUUUAAAAAUUACACUAAUCUUCAUUGAGAUUAAUUAUCUUGUAACAUUUAAGUCCAAUUAAUAAUUAAAAAAUGAUAUUAUGAGAGAGAAAAUAAUAUAAUUUUAUCAUUGCCCCCCAUCUUGCUAUAUUAUUUAAUUAAUUUAAUAGCAACCCACACAUUAAAGAAAAAUACUAAAAUUUGCUGCUUUUCAUUAAAGAUCAAAUUGCAUAUGCCAUAAAACAUAGUAUAUCAUUCUAUAUGUUUCACUUAAUGUAAGAUCCCAAUUGUUCUUUUCAAUUACAAACCCAUUGUCAAACAUGAUCAAUAACAAAUAAUCAAAAAAUUUGCAACCAAAAUAUUACAAAAAAAAACUUUAACAUCAUAAAUAUUCUUACCACCUCUAGUGCAUUCACCCUCAUAAAAUAAUUCAAGACCCUACUGUCAUAAAAUGACUGAUCAACUCCUGUAAACCUAAUUUGACAACAUUUAAAUGGAGAACUUUAGCUAAAAGAAUUAUGGUCAAGCUAAAGAAAAAACCAGUUAUUUUCCAACAUAUGCAACCAUUGAUCAGGGGAAAAAAAAAAGCAAAAAGACAUCUUCAAUCAUUUAAUAGCUUACAGGGCAAAUUAACCCUUGAGUGAAAACUGGUUGCUCUAGAAUUAAAAUUUUACCUUAGUUACCCAGGCAACUUUUUUGUUGCCUUUUCUUUUUCUUUUUUGGGUAUAUAGCUCCAGUUUUGCCCCCUCUGUCAAGCUUAUAUAAUUAUUAAGAUAAUAAAAGUGCCUUUAAUAGUAUUAAUAUAUCCAUUGACUUGAGCUGUCAUCGAUCGGUUUGGGCUACUUCGAUUCCAUGAGAACAAAUGGUAAUAAAAGUACUCAGAAAAUGGGGAGUCAUGAAACCCUUUUGUUCUAUUCAUUGCUAAGAUGCUUUUCUCUAUAAAGAGACUUCCUAACGAAAAUACUUUGUAGAUUUCUUUACUCCAAGUGGUGCAUGGAAAAUUAAUAUUUUCAAUUAUCAAAUAAAAUUCCCUUUUUUCGGCGUAGAUUUCAUCCAUCCAGCUGUUAACACAUUCUAUAAAUCCGAAUUGACUAAUCUUUUCGUUUCCAUUUUCCAACUUGCGAAUACGGCAUAUAGUGUCUGCUAAACACUAUAUAUUCUCUGCCAAAUAUGAAUACAUAUCACUUUUCUGAGCAAGUGCAGAGUCAUUAUCAUUUUUAUUCCCACCUAACAAAUUAGGGAUAAAAAAGUUAAUAAUCUUUACAUGCUAUCAGGUCACAAGUUAAUAAUCUUUUAAAGAACAUGUUAAAUUAAUUUAUUGGUAUGAAUAGUAGUCAAAGAAGUAUGUUAAAGUUAGUAAUCUUUAAAAUAAUAUGUUAAAAUCAUUCGUACAAAUUAGUCAGAGAAGUAGCAUAAACACCGCGAUGCAAUUAAUACUUUCAAUCUCAAGGUCUCUAUUAUGGAAAUUUGCAUCGGUCAAUAUACACUUGGCAUAAUAUAAUCUCCCAACUCAUUUCUUUACAAAUGCACCUUUAAUCACCACCAAAAGGUGUGGACAUGAUCUUUACCCUAGAAAACUAUUCACCGACAGGCAAAUUGACGUCAGAAAUACUGAGGAAUUCUAGUUUCCUUCGGGUUCAUGCCAUGUUGUAUCCUUCAACUGUAACUCGAUUUCUAAGCUGUAAUUUGUGACAUAAUAGUCCUUAAACUAUGAAACCCUUCUUACUUAAUUACAAUGGUUAAUACAAUGCCCGUGACUAGACAAGUAUGAAGCAACCAUAACAGAAAAAAAAUCCAAAAUUAGAGAAAAGAAAGAAGUUUCGCGACCACCACCAGUUUACAAGUCACCUCCACCACCUCCUCCAGUUUACAAGUCACCUCCACCACCUUACCAUUAUUCCUCACCACCACCUCCAGUGCAUUCACCCCCACCACCACCAGUUUACAAGUCUCCGCCACCACCUUACCAUUAUUCCUCACCACCACCUCCUGUGCAUGCACCUCCACCACCAAUUUACAAGUCACCUCCUCCAGUUUACAAGUCUCCACCACCACCUUACGAUUAUUCCUCACCACCACCUCCAGUGCAUUCACCCCCACCACCACCAAUUUAUAAGUCUCCCCCACCGCCUCCCCCAGUAUAUAAGUCACCACCACCACCUCCUCCAGUAUACAAAUCACCUCCACCACCUCCUCCAGUUGACAAAUCUCCACCACCACCAAUUUAUAAAUACAAGUCUCCUCCACUACCUCCUCCAGUGUACAAGUCAUCACCACCACCUGCUUACAAGUCUCCACCUCCUCCAGUUUACAGUUCCCCACCACCACCAAUCUACAAGUCUCCACCUCCACCCUACCAUUACUACUACAAUUCUCCUCCUCCUCCUCGUCACUACUAAGCAAUUGUAUCCAAGUUUUUGAGGUAAUAACGCUUAACCAAUAAAUUAACUUUCGCAUGAUAAACCUUAUCUCUAUCAAGACAAACUGCCAUGUGUAUCAUGCCAAAUACGUACACCUAGAUCCAUGAAAAUGAAUGGUAGAAAGUUUUCUUAAGAACCAAGAACAGCAUUAGUAUUCCCUCUGCUUCCAAAAACUUGUGUAUUAAAUAGAUUAAUGAAUUGUUUAACAUGCUCAUCUACUUGAAAAUGCACAAUACCCAUAACCCACUGAAAUUUUUGCAGGAAAAGGGAAAGAGAAUCUGUGUUUGAGAGCUUCAUGAAGAUGUUGAAGAAUAAGAAUAAAAGCCCAAUGCAAGGAUGUUUUCAAGUUUUUCUAUGUUUCCACUUUAAUUUGUAAAUUGAAUUUUGCGACUCAAUUAAUUCCCUGUUUGUGAGGUACGUAUUGUUUUACGUACCAUGCCGUACAUUUUUUUUUUCCAACAAACGGUAUCAUGUUAUAGAUAUUAACACUUGACCUUACAAGGAUUAGUUACAAAAAGGGGAUACUACCCUCAACUCUGUCCUAGCUAAAUCAGUCAGCCAUAUUGGGAAAUUAGUUUCCCAUUCAAUAUCAUGUACAAGCUUCACAGCAUAUUGUGCUAAUUGAUGGCUGAUGUGAUUUUCAGUUCUAGGUAUAAACACAAAAGAACAUUUUUCAAAAGCUAGACUAAGUUCCUGCACAUCUUCUAAGAUAGUUGCAGUCGUGUAGUCAUACUCCUUGCGUUUAGUAAUCUGCUCUACCACUGAUUUGCAGUCUGUAUGGACUAUAAUUUGUGUCCAACCUGCUUGGGUAGCCAUCAGCAGAGCAUUUCUCACAGCCCGAGCUUCCACUUCACUUGCCGAUCCCUUUCCCUGUGUGACAAUUCCUUUUGCUUUCAAAAGCUGUCCUUUCCAAUUUCUUGCUAUAAUCCCUUGUCCGGUCCUGACUCGUUUAGCUGAUAUCGCUGCAUCGGUAUACAGCCUUAUCUCUUCCUUCCUUGGCCGCACUCUCCUGGUAGGUAAGGCAUCAUUCAGCUUCCCUGCGAUCUCCUUCUGGUCUGUACUCCCUACCUGUUCAAACUCAAGCCAUUCCUCCUGUGCUUUCCUUACUAUUUUUACUGGAUCCUGGUUGGCUUGUUCAAAAAAUUUUUUGUUCCUGGCUUUCCAAAUUUGCCAAAGGAUAUUGAUAGUAAGACUAACUCUCUCCUGACCUUGGUUCAGUGCCAGCGAUUGUGUGACUUGUUCCCACCAUAACCAAAAGUUAUAUUGCAUACCCAGUAAUCCAUCCCACCUGACCGGUGCUAGCUUCCACGUUUCCACAGCCUUUUCACAGAAGAAAAACAAAUGCUCAAUAGUUUCCAUAUCUUCACCACAGCAACCACAUCUGCCUUCCCCUCUAUGUAGCCUUUUCGACAUCUGUUCAUUGACUGGCAGACAAUUUUGUAAGCACUUCCACAUGAAGUGUUUUAGUUUGGCCUUCACCUUCAAAUGCCAUAGCUGCUUCCACACAUUUCGUUUUCGUAUCUCCCAACUUGUUUCUGCCUCUUGGCCUGUCCUUGUACCUGCUUUUCCUUCCCGUUGCCUUGCUAAAGCAUAACCAGAUUUCACGCUAUAAAUUCCAGCUUUGGAAUGCCCCCAUACCAACCUAUCCUUUCUUCUUCCUAUACUUGUUGGAAUUCCCUUUAUGUGCUCUGCAUCUUUUGCACAAAACCACUUGAGAAGCAAAUCAUUUUUCCAUUUCCCUUCCUCUAUCAGCUCACUUACCCAUUCCAACUUGCAUCCCACAGGUUGUGUGGUUGAUGCAAAGCCGGUAUCUGAACCAACUAUCCAUCUGUCCCGCCACAUGUUGACUGACUUGCCAUCUCCAAUUCUUUUCCAAAGACCAUCAUACAGAAAGGAGGCUGCACUAUGAAUACUCUUCCAACACCAUGAGGCUGAAGAGACUGGCUUCUUGUCCAUCCAUUUUUCAUCACUCAUAUACUUCGCCUUCAUUACCUUACUUACUAACAAAUUUGGAGCCAUUAAGAAUCUCCAAAUUUGUUUUGCCAGUAAUGCUGUGUUGAAGGCCUCCAAAUCUCUAAAGCCUAAACCUCCUCUUCCCUUAACUUCUAAGAGCUUCUUCCAGCUUGCCCAAUGUACACAGGUACCCUUUUCUCCCUUCCCCCACCAGAAACUCGCUAUUUUACCUGUGAUUUGUCUACACAAACCCCUUGGAAGUCUAAAGCAAGCCAUCACAUAUGUUGGCAUAGCCAUAAUCACUGAUUUGACCAGAAUUUCUUUCCCUCCUUGGCUCAACAGUUUUUGUUUCCAACCUUGCAACUUGUUACUAAUUUUGUUCUGGACAAAUGCAAAGACCUGUGUCUUUGAUCUUCCAAUUGCCAUUGGGAGUCCUAGGUAGGUUCCAUUCCUUGCCUCUUUAAUGUUAUCUAAUACCUCCCUCACUCCAUUCUUCCUUUGAUCAGUGGUAUUUUUGCUAUAGAAGAUAGCUGACUUUUCAAAAUUCACCACCUGUCCGGAUGCUUGACCAUAUCUUUCCAAUAUGCUUUUGACCUUCCUCGCCUCCUGCUUGGUUGCUUGGCAGCAUAGUAGAGAAUCAUCUGCAAAAAAUAGGUGAGAAACCAUCGGACUGUCCUUGCAUAUUUUGAUCCCUGUAAUUUCCUUGUUCAUCAUAGCUUUAUGGAUCAAACAUGAAAGACCUUCAGCGCAUAUAAUAAACAAGUACGGGGAUAGGGGGUCUCCUUGUCUAAGCCCUCUACUCGGUUGAACACAGCCUACCUUUUGCCCAUUUAAGUUGAAGGAGUAAGUCACAGUAGAUAGGCAAGACAUGAUCCAUUUAACAAAAAUUGGACAAAACCCCAUUUUCAUCAUAACUCUCCCCACAUAUUUCCAUUCGACUCUAUCGUAAGCUUUGGACAUGUCCAGUUUAAGAGCCAUAAAUCCUACCCUUCCCUUUCUCCUAUUUUUCAAAAAAUGCAGGAUUUCAUGUGCAACUACUACAUUAUCAAGAAUUUGACGGCCUGGGAUAAAAGCGGAUUGAGAGGGACUAAUACAAUGAUGCAAGACACCUUUCAAUCUAUUAGCUAUGAUUUUAGAAAUGAUUUUAUACAGGACAUUGCACAAGCUAAUAGGUCUAAAAUGCACCACAGAUUCAGGAGUAUCAACUUUAGGAAUCAACGAAAUAAUAGUAUCAUUCACAGCUUUGAGCAAAUGCCCAGUAUGAAAGAAACUCUUAAUAGCUGCUACCACAUCAUCCUUGAUAAUAUCCCAAUAGUGUUGAAAAAAUAGAGGAGACAUACCAUCCGUUCCUGGUGCUUUAUUAGGGUGCAUCGAGAACAAAGCUUUCCUGAUCUCACUUUCCUCCACUUGUCGUAUCAGUUGUCCAUUCAUAUGACUCGAAAUAGUGCUUGGAAUUUCAGCUAGAAUGUCCUCAAAGCAGUCCGGGUUAGUAGUGGUAAAAAGGUCUUUAUAGUACUCACAAAGUUCCUCCUCAAUCUCAUGUUCCUCCUUGCACCAUGUCCCAUCUUUUUUCUGCAAUAUAGUGAUCUUAUUUCUCCUCCUCUUUGCCAUGACCGAAGAAUGGAAAAAAGCUGUAUUCUUGUCCCCUUCUUUGAGCCACUUGUUCCUGGAUUUUUGACUCCAAAACAUCUCUUCCUCUGCAUAAGCUUUAUUCAAUUGUGCUUUUAGUUCAGCCACUUGUACUCUUUUCCCUUCAUCCUUUCUUGCUUUCACUUCAGCCAAUUUCUCCUUUAACACUUUAAUUCUAACCUUUGAGUUUCCCUGCACCUUUUUCCUCCAAUCCAGAAUAGCCAUGCGACAUUCCUUUAUUUUUGUAGCCACUCUAAACAUCCUGGACCCUGACUUCACCUUUGUCCAUGCUCCUUGAAUCACCCUUUUUGCUUCUGGAUUUAGCGUCCAUCGUUGAUCAAAGUAAAAUCUCCGUUUUCUCCUUGUGUUUUCCGGGUUUGUAUCCACAAGAAGCAUUAGAUGAUCAGAGGCUUCAGUAUCUAAAUGAGUACACUGUGCCUUUUCAAAUCUUUGCAGCCAUUCGGUGCUGCAUAAACAUCUAUCCAACCUCUCUUUCACUUCCCCAUCCCCCUCCCAACUAUUGCACCAAAUCCACGGGACCCCUUGAUAACCUAAGUCAACCAGGUUAUUGUCUUUGAUAAACCUGUUGAACUCCCUAAAACAUCUUUCAGCUCUAUCCCUUCCUCCCCACUUCUCCUCACUAGACCUCAAAUCAUUAAAAUCUCCUACAAUGAUCCAGCCAUCCCCCCAGUCCCUCAUCCUGUCCUCUAAAUAUUUCCAUUGUGCUUUUCUAAUGUUACUAUCUGUGCUUGCAUAAACACACACUAGCCCCCAGUAUCCUUUAGUAUCCUUGUCCUCAACUCUAGCACUAAUACACCAAUCAGUACUUACAAUCUGGUCUAAAAUCACCUCAUUGUUCCAGAAUAAUGCUAGACCGCCUGCUUUACCUAUUGAAUUCACAAAAAAGCUAUUGUCAUACUGAAUCUUCCUUUGAACCUUGCCCAUAAACCCUUCCUGAUUCUUAGUUUCACAAAGGAACACCACCUUAGGAGAGUGGAAGUUAGUCACUUCCUUUAGUUGGGGACUUGUCAAGGGGCCUCCUACACCUCGACAAUUCCACACCACAACCUUCAUUUACACUUUGGAGGCUUUCCGGGGCUAGCCUCCAUUUCCCCUAUUGUACUAACAUUUAUUAGAUCCAGUUUCAUAACCUUUACCUUCGGUACAUUAUCAUCAUCCUCCUCUAUCGGUUGUGUUCCCUGAAACAUACCAUCAGCCUUCCUUUUAGCACACGAAACCUGCGUUACUUGUCCAUUUGUAUCUGCCUUUAAGGAUGUUUUAGCCGGCCUCCCUCUUCUUUUAAAACUGCUUCUUUUUUCAGCUUUGUUAUCUUCUUCCCCUGGAGUAGCCUCCUUUCUUGGCAUUCUUGCAUUUGUCUCCUCCUGCUUUAUUGACCCUACCCGCAAACUUUCACAUUCCUGUUUUGAGCUGUCCGUUUCCAUAUCCUCAUAAUCUACUGGUGGGAUUACGCUGCUCCCUCCUUUACUCCCUUCCUGUACCCUACCCUCCUUUUCACCAUUUCCCUCCAUUAAGACCACAGCCAAACUUUCCACCCGUUGGUUUGCCUUUCCAUACUGCCUGCUGUCUUUUAGAAUCUCAUCCCACCUCUCUUCAUAUUGUCUCGUCAUCAUUUUCUCCUUAUCCCCCCUUUCCUUUCCCCCCAAGACUCUACCAUUUUUUCCCCCAAGAGUUAAUGUAUCUCCAGCCAUUUGUACUCCAGUUUGAACUUCACUACUAGGAGACCCUGCCCCCACCCUCCUUGCAUCAAUUUCACUUACUCCUUCCAGCCGUCCCUUUAAGGGAGAUACCAUUAUAUUUCCAGCUCUCAUCCAGGCACCAUAUUGUUCCUCUCGCUUCUCCCCCCCACCCUUCCUACCACAGUACAAGUCCUAUCACUAUGCCCAAUGAUACCACACCUAUAACAGAAAUCAGGGCAGCGUUCAUACCUGAACUCAACCCACACUGCCUGGUUCUUACAGUUGAUCUUUGUCCCUCUAACCAGUGGUUUCGUUAUAUCUACCUCAGCCAUAAUCUUCAUGUGGCGACCCUCUUUCCCACCACUUCCUGGGAGAAUCACUCCCCUCACUGAUUUAAAGAUCCCUCCUAUUUUCAAACCCACUGCUCUGCUCAACCAGUGCACCGGUAGGUUCCAUAGUUGAAUCCAAAGAAAGGAAUGCUGGAAAAAGCUGCUGUUUGUAUCAUACCCCUCUACCCACUCCUUCACUAUCAGCAACUGGUUGUCCAUGACCCAAGGCCCUCCAGAUAAGAUCUUUUUCUUUUCCCCUUCAUCUCCCAGAUGGAAAUGGAAUAAGUUAGGACCUAACUCAGUCACUUUCAUCUUUGAGGGGUAUCCCCAUGCAUGAUUUGUAAAGUUCUUUAACCCCGUAAAGUUGGCAAUUUUUUCACCAAUCAGCUUUCCUACCAGGCUUCCUUGACACUCAGAGACGCCUUCUUCCAGGUCCUCACCACUCAGAUCGACACCUCCUAACUCUGUUUCAGACAAGUCAAAAUUUUGAAAGGCUCUUUCUAAAGCAUCCGCCAUUGCUGUGACGAGAGCUCCUUGAGAAACCAAGCACUAUUUCUGAGCUAUGAGUGACCCACUGACAGACCUGUGAAGAAUUGCAAAGACAGACAAAGCUGUGUUAUCCGUACACACUAAAAACCAACCAGAAAAACAGAGAGGAACUCGACAGAAAAAGCACAGGCACAAGAAGAAACGAAAGAAAAAAGAAAAACCAACAAACCACUAUCCCACUCCCGACCACAUAACAGCAUUAAAGAAAGGGACACAAAUACGACACUCCAACUUCCGAUCACAUGCUCUGACUCAAUGGAUCAUAUCUUGCCCAAAGCGUUUACUCCUCCAACCGAUUCCAAACCACUACAGACAUUGUCUCCCAUUUUGAAGCCGGAAGAAAGGUGGCUUCUGGACAGGGAACAUGAAAGCAAAGGUUGAACUAAAGAUUUGAUUUUAGAUCUGAAAAUUACGCUGUAGGAAAAAGUGCUAUGUGUUUGUACCUCACCCACUCUCCCACACCGAGGAGGGGAACCUCUAAAGUUAGAGAGAGAAGCUCUCAAGUUAGAGAGAAGCUUUGGAAGUUAAUUACCAACGUACCAUGCCGUACAUGUUUGUAAGGAUUUCUAUCCUAUUGGCAAAAGUCGGUUCCAUACAAUUAAUCAAUUCAUUUCACUUCUAUUGGCUCUACUAUUUAUGCAUGUUACGACACUCUUUCCCUUAUAUUUUGCCUUUAAUAUUAUGAGUCAAUAGUAAUAAUGGGCCUUUUUCUUAAAAUUAUACUAUUAUACAUAGGUAGUUUGGUCUAACGCUAAAUUCAUGUUUGUCUUUCUUUUAUUCCCUUUACAUCUCAAAGUAUACUAUAGUUUGUAAUCAUUGUGGUGAUGAUAUUACCAGCUGGUACUUAUAGUUUAAGGCAGAGACAUGAUAUUAACAACUAUCUCAUUGAAACAUAAGUCAAAAUCAUGACAAGUGUGAGUCUUGGUUAAUGCACAAUUUGUUAGUGGAAUUUAUAUUUAUAAAACUCAAAAAAAAUUUUUGACAAUGCUAUUACUAAUUAAUUAAGGACUUCAUUGCUAUAAUUUAUCGCUUACUAAUUUAAACUAUAAAUGAUCUCAAUACUUUUCUCCAUGAUGUCGAUUUCUUUAGACUACGAAAGGGAAAAAUUAGUGACAUAUCCCUUACUGAUUACAACAUCAGCAAAAAUUAGUUAUAAACUUUUCCGGUGGUUUUAAAUCCCUCGGGCACUAAGGUUUUUUGCACAUCGAGUGAAUUAAGGAACAUAGGCAAUUCGUUCUGCAUACCAAGUCCUUGUUUAAGAUGCACGUACUAAAAUGCAUCCACUUCAUUAAUUUGGAAAAUUGCCAUAGUUUUUUUUAAGCAUUUUGAUUUUUUACAUGAUUCAAAAUUUUCUUAUUGGAUACAAUCACUUUGUGUCAAGAACACAUUUUCAAUCAUCUUUUUUAUCUUCUCAAUAAGAAAAUAAAAAUUUAUUCAUGCUUUUCUAACAUAUCCAAUCAUUGAUCUGAAAAAUAAAGAAUUAAAAAAAAAAGACAUUUUCAAUCAUUGCUUACGGGGCAACUUCCCCAUGUGAACCUCAUCAAACAAAGCCAAUAAUAUGAAGGAACAUCUAAAUACACUUUUGCCCUAAAGGCUGGUUGCCUUGGGGUCAAAAUUUAACCUUCGGGAGUAUAAUUACCCGCCAAAUUUAUUAUUUUUUUUAUGGGUAUAUAGUUCCAAUUUUGCCUCCUGUUAAGCUUAUAAAUAUAUUACGACCCAGAAAAUAAAGGAAUCUUGAAUAGUAACAUGUCCAUUGACUUGAGUUGUUAUCAAUUUGGCUACUUCGAUUCCAUGAGGCCAAUCCAAUUCACACUAGCUAGAGAAAAUGGUGAUAAAGGCACUUAGAAAUUUAUAUGUAAUAUUGAUUGGUAGUAACUGAUAAGUAUAUAUUUUACGUGUUUUAAAUAUGUUUUAUUAGUUAGUUUUGGUGUGUUUUAACUACUUUUAUAACUAAUUAACUAGGAAUCUAGUGAAAAUAUGCAUUUUGUGGUUUGAAGUGUAAAAAUUGUAUUUCUAUGGAUUUUAAUGGUGAAAACUUCAUGUUUUUGUAGGUUUAAUGAUUCAAUCAUCAAAUGACAUGAUUUGAGAAGAUAAUUAGAUGAUUGAUGAUGUUUUGAAGUGAUAAAAAGAGAAUACAAAGUGCAAGAGAGGAAAUGCAAUCAAGAAUAAAAGAAGAAAAUUUUUGUAGCUUUGACAUAUUGUCGUAUUUCGGCAAUAUAUUGAGCUACAAUGAUCGGAUUAAGGUGAUUCUUAAACCAUUUGAAGCUAAAAUAUAGAUCUACAUUUGGCAUGAAGGCAUCGAAACCCAUGUCAGUCAUUUUCCUUGUCAAAAUGUUGAAAUACAGAAGUGCAACUCUGUUCUCGAAAGCUAAAACAGAGCUCUGGCUAGUCGAGGGUAUUUUCAUCAUUUCUUAGUCCACAGAGCUCCAAAUGAGAUGAUUCUUAAGGCAUUAGAACCCUAACUCAAAGAGCUACAACUUUCAUAUUUUGUACAAGAGUUAGUUCGGCCUCUAUCAUUAAGAAAAUAGUAGUUGAAGUGGUGCCAAAUGCAUAGAAGUGAAAACGCGAGCUAUCAAUACUCGACCUGAAGUCGCGUAUUCCUGAGGUCAUGCAUUCUCUUCUAUUUUCUGCAACUUGCCCUGCUUUCACAUAACUUUUUCAUCUCAAUUCCAACUAUCAAUUUCGGCUAUAUCUGAUCAAGAAAAGUGUGGAAAGUUUGAAAGACAACUCAUAGGAGUUUCAAGAGUCAAAAAUUACAAUUAGAAACAACUCAUUUGGCUCUUGAAUCCUCUAUAAAUAGAGGCCUUUGAAGAACAUUUUCACAACUUUGGAAGGUUAGAGAAACUCCACAAAAACAUAGUCUUCACUAGAAUUUCCUUAGUUCAUUAGUUAGGGUAGUAUAGUAUAGUUAGUGUAGCUUUUCCUUCUUGUAUUUAUAGUUAGGUUUGAAUGAAGAUUCAGGAGCAAAGAUAGAGAGGUUGAUCUCAUGUGACAAGGGUGAUAUCUCUUCUACUACUUUCUCUUUUGUAUUUGAUUUCAUAUUUAACUAUACUACAAAUUUGGCUUUGUUUUUUUUUUUUUAUCAUGUUUAGUUAAAGUUUAUGCCUAGAGUAUGGAUGACCUUUUUAUAUCUUGUUUGUGAUAUUUAACUGGUUAUUUGAUGAUGUUAUUUUUGAGCAAGUUAUUUAUCACUUUUGCUUUUCUAAUCAUGAUUAACUGGCCAUUAGUUGUGAUUAUCUAAAAGUGUUAAGUUUGUAAUGAGAAUUGGAGUUUAACACUAGUUCAAGGAAGUGAUAAAUUUAGGGAGUUCACUCAUGAGAGUAGAGGAACACCUUUGUGACCUAAGUGACUUGUUUCAUAUAAUUUCAUAGAAAAAAUGAACUUGUAAUUAAUUUCAUAACCACGAGAGUAAGUAUGGUUUAGCUAUAUGUAUAGUUGAUUCACUACGAGAGUAGGUUUCACAUACAUUAGAAAAUUACAUCAUAACUAGUCAAGAUAAUAUCAUUCAUUUAAUCAGUAAUCUCAUUUGCAUGAGUAGUAAGGCAUUCCAUAUCUCUAGGAGGUUUUUAGUAUUAUUUUCAUUACUUUUAUGUUUAUGGUAGUCUAGAUAAUAAUGGAGUUCGAAAACUACUAGUAAUUGAAAAUUUUCCCUGUGGGAUCGACCUUUAAUACCCUAUACUCGCUCUCGACUCGUAUACUUGAGAAAAAUCACGUGUGCGGUAUUUAGAAUUUAUAAAUGUAAAACUUGACUGUAGAUGAACUAAUUGAUAUAUGUAUACCCCGCACUCGUCAGUAACCAGCUUGUAUUGAUCCCACUAUUGUGGAUAAUUGUGCUCUUAUGAAAAAAAAUUAUAAAAAAAUUAGCAAAAUUUAUGAUAACAAAUUAAAUUUAUUCAUACAAAUCAGUGAAAGAAGUAGAAUUUUAAAGUCCAUGAUGAAAUUAAUACUUUCAAGGGCUCUAUUAGGAAGACUUCACUUGUUGGUGAAACUACACUAGCACAGUUAUAUGCACAUUUACUGUUUUGGUAUCUAAUUUCCUUGCCUUAAGUUGGGUGCAGAUGUUUAUAUUACAAAUAGAUGGUAUCAUAAAAUUGUUGUAUUCACGUUUGUUCUUUUUUUUCUUCCUUAAGUUUUUUUCUUUAUUCUCGUGACUUCAAAAAUACGAACUCAAGAAAUUGGCUGCUUAAUCAAUAUGUCAUACAGGCUUCGCUAGUGAGGUAUAACUUCACAACUAGAGUCAAUAGAAAUUAUCAAAUGAUUUUUUAACAUCCAAAUUAAGCAAUAAAUUUUGUUUUCAUUUUAUGACAUAUAAUAGUACUACUUCAUGAGAGAUUUUAUAGUUUCUUUUAGGUAUCAUACCUACAAGUGAUAUUUGUCAUUGGAUAGUGACAGAAGUGUUAAUGAUUGUAAGAUUAAAUAUUGUUAAAUAUUGAAAUUUAAACUAUUUAUCUUUAUUGAAAGAUACAAGUUAAAGAAUCGUUCAAGGGGGCAAUUUUCCAUCUUGUCUUUUUGAAAAAACGCUAUCACAUUGUAUAGGCAUGAUAGGUUCAAAUUUGUCAUUAAAUUUAUGAUUGAUUUUCCUUUUAUUCAAGCCAAAUAUUGUUUUAAUUAUCAAAUUCUACUUAUAUUUGGUUAAUUGUACUAAUUGUAGGGCGGUAGAGCAAAAGUUGCUAAAAAUAGGCGAUUUUCUGCAAAUUGGUUGUCAAGGCUGAAGGAUUUGGGAUUCGCAUGUUCAAGGCCUGUUUCCAAGUUUGAUUCAAACUCUGGACAGUUUUAGAGGAAGAUUUGGAAGAUUUGAAAUUUCAUUAUUAGUUUUAUGGUUGAAUUAGGAAUCUUGGAAUAAUUUCUUUUGUGAUUUAUUUUUCUAUUUAGGAGACUAGUUGUUAUUUAGUAGUAGACUUCAAUUAGAAAACAAAGAGAAAAAGAAGGCCGGAAUCCCGCUUGAUUAAUACCUUGGCCAGGGAACAAUCUCGGUGGGGAGGACGGCCACUUAGCCUCUCAAUUCAUCUUGCUUUUCGUUAGUUUGAGAGGAAAACCAAUUGCAACUAGAUUCAAUGGAGUCUGGCAGAAUUUCUUCUAGGAUGCGUAGCUAAAUCCUCAAUUUUUAGUCGAAGGUCAAUUUGAAAAUUCGGUUCCAAAUAUCUGUGAAAUCGAAUUAUUUUACUUAUUUCUUUUAUUUAUUGGUAUUCGCACGUUUUCUGAUUUAACUUUUUAUGAUUGUUUUGUUAUUUGAAUGUCAAGGGUCCGAUAUUCGAAUUAACUUAAUAAUCUACUGCCAAAUUAACCGGUUAAAUCCGUAAUUGUUUGAUUGAUUAAUAUCAGUGGCGACUAGCGUGAUUGGUCCCAUGUUAGGAAAACGUCUGAUCUAAUUUAAACAAACCGUCGUAGCGUGUUUGUUGAUUAGGGUUGGGCUUUUCUAAUUCUUAAUUCAAUUGAGAAAUUAAAUCCCCCGGUCGUACCUAGGAUUAUUUUUUUGUUAGCGAAAUAGUUAAUGGUCGUACCUUGACUAUCGAAAAAGUAAGGAAGAGUUGAUUGUUUAUCGCGUGUACGACAACUAUAAUCAAUCUAUUAAUGAGUAAUUGAAUUAUCUUUGCAUCAGUAAUCAGUUGAAUGGACCGUGUCUGAAAAGUUGUACCUUUGGCUAGAGUCUUAUCUGUUGUUGAUUCAUUCAUAUCUAUCUUCAUGCGUUGUUUUAAUUUAGUUAAUUAGUUAUUUUUAUAAAAACCCCUCAUCUCUGGACUCUAAAAGAAAUAAAUUAUUUCUAGUUCCUGUGGAUUCGAUCCUACUCACCAUACAAUCCAACCUGCAAUUGUAUGAACCCCAAUCUCGCUUCCUAGUCCACCAUUUUUCUCUAGGUAAUAAUCUCCCUUCUAAUUUCUUCACAAAAUGCACCUUUCAUCACCUCCAAUAGCGUCGACAUGAUCUUUACCCCAGAAGACUAUUCACCGACUCUCAAUUGACGUUAGAAAAUCUAAGAGUAAUUCUACUUUACCCUAAGAUUGAUAUCAACAAGACAAGGACAAUUUAGAAUUAUUACACGCCUCUUCUUAAUAGGAAAAAGAAAUAGAGAAGAAAGUCAGGCCAGGUCUAAUUUCUUUUCAAAGGCAAUACAACAUUACGAAAUCAAGCAUUCAUUCAUACAAAUAUUUCAUAGUCACCGGUUUGCUGAGUAGAAAAAUUUAGACAAAAACUUAAUAUUAUAUUGUUUAAGAGUUAACAAUUUAGAGCUUAAUCUCCUUGUACUUUGGAGUUAACAAUUUAGAGCUUAAUCUCCUUGUACUUUGGACUAAACUUGAACGUGAAAGGAAAUCCCAAAACCAUAUUGGGCAUGAAUUCACACUUAAUAUACCCAAUAAAAGAUGGCGACUGGUGAAAGGCAGUGGAGACUGGUGGAGAGAUUUGAGGAAUAGAAGCAGACGGAAAAGCAACAAAUUUUUGCCGAAAAACGGUCACUUUCAUGGUUAAUUUUGCUACUCUCCAAUUGUACUUGACCAAUUACAACAAUUUCAUGGAGUUUGAUACGUGAAAAGAAUUUUUUAUAAAUUUUAUUUUGAUCCAUAAUGUUAUCUUUACAUAUAUAAAACAUUUUACAAUUUUGAUUUUGGCGCAGUUAACUUUUGGUAAACAAAAAUGCUCAUGUUUAAAAAACCGGAAAUAAAACAAAACAAGAAACAAAAGAAAUAAGAGGGUAGCAUAGACAUUUUGGAUUUUUCCGUUAAUUUGGAUGAUUUCCACCCACGUUCUAAUUUAAUCCAAAACACAAAGGAAUUACGUAGAGGUUUUAAAUAAUGAGGGAGCUUCAUGAUCGAACCCCAAACCACAAGGCGAUUUACUAUAUUUUACUCUUAAAUUUUGGUUUCAUCUCAUAGCAUACAAGAGUUCUAUUUCACUAUCUGUAGACAAAGACUUUCUAUGGUUGAUGUACCAUAGGAAAAAAUCUGCCUAUACAACGUGAUAGCAUUUUUUCAAAAACACAAGAUGGAAAAUUGCCCCCUUAAACGGGGAAAUUCAUGAUCUUUCCUCGAACAAAGAAUACUCACGCCUAUUCAAGAUGGAAAAUUGCCCCCUUAAACGUCUAUUUGUCAAUUCUUGAAAAAAGAAUACUCACGCCUAAAACACGGCCUCUUCAUCUGCAGAAUUCUAAAAAGUUAGGUAAACUCUAUAAACAAGUUGAUAGGUACAAUCGUACCCAAGAUCAAGUACAGAUAGUUGUACAUUCACUGCUGCAAUAACUAAUCUGAUGACUUACAAACAUAUCAUGGUCAAUCGUUGAAUGGUAAUGAGUCUUUUGUUAUGCAUUAGUAUUAGUGUGUACACUCUAAUAGAUUGAUACUUAUACUCUUUAAAUUAUCAUAAUAAUACCCUUAAUUAACUUUAACUCUUAAAAAGAAUACGUGUUAAUACACGAGAGUGUGUAACCUGAAUUGUUACUUAUACAUUAGUGUGUAAUAGAUAGGGAUGGCAAUGGGGGCGGGUGCCCGCAGGCAACCGCCCCGCGGGGGGCUCUCGGGGCGGGGAGGGGGGAAUUUUUUCCCCCCGUUUAGAAACGGGGCAGGGGACGGGGGAGUAUACCCCCGCCCCAUCCCCCGCAAAAAAAAUUAUAUAUAUAUAAUUAUAUAUAAUAUGUAAUUUAAUUAGUUAUAAACUUAUGAUAAUGAUAUUAUUAGUUAGAUGUAUUAUAUAAUGUAUAUUAGUGUAUGUAAUAUAAUUAAUAUUAUCAAUUAUACGAAUAAUUAGACAUGUCUACUAAUAGAAUUUAUUAAUUAGUUAUACUAAAUUUACUAAUACAUUUAUACUAAAUUUCUAAUUACAUUUAAUAGAAUAACACUUUUUUCUAAAAAAAAAAGCACAAACACAAUAAUGAAUUAGUGAUUGUAUUUUUACCAAAAAUGAAAACUUAACUAUUUUAGUUGCAUUUAUUUCAUCAUGUUGGAUUGUAUUCAAAUAAUUUUUGUUUGAUUGUUUUUAUGAGUUUCAAUUGUAAAAUUAAAAUGAAUAAUAACUUGAUGAAUAAUAAUGUCAAUCGUUGAAUGGUGUGUACACUCUAAUAUUAUGCAUUAGUAUUAGUGUGUACACUCUAAUAGAUUGAUACUUAUACUCUUUAAAUUAUCAUAAUAAUACCCUUAAUUAACUUUAACUCUUAAAAAGAAUACGUGUUAAUAACUCUUAACCUGAAUUGUUACUUAUACAUUAGUGUGAAAUAGAACGGCAAGCAUUGAGCAACUUAUAGGAGAAAUAGUCCUAUAAGCUGUUGGAUGACUAAUAUAGCUCUAGCUGUAAUGUUUUAAUUAAAUUACAUCACUAACGUUGGGAUGACUAAUGGUUUAAAAAUAAUUGAGUAAUUGGAAAAAAAAAAAGAGACUAAUUUUCAUUGAAACCCACCGACAAACUAAACGUGUCCAUGGCUUUUGAAUAGUGCAUUCAACGUUUAAUUGUAUAGUCCAGUUCAUUGCAGAUUACAUGGAGUAAAGAUUGUGCUCUUUCCUUUUUCACCCCUUUUGGAAUCGAUACUGUGGAGAAUUGGGUUUUUCCCUUCUUUUUUUCUUUUCUUUCUUUCUGUGCUUUGCAAAACAUAGGUAAAAUUAUGAAAUCCGAAGCAUUCUUUAAUUGGGAUUAAGUAUUGUUCUUGAAAUUAAAAAGAAGAAAGAAAGAACAACAAAAUUCCCUGAUUGGUUGCAUCGUGCUUCCAUAGAAGCUCUCUUAGUGUGAUACACUGCUUUCAAUCAGUUUAACAUGGAAAAAAGAAAGAGAUGAAAAGCAAAUUUGGUGGGGAUAAUUUCAGAAACCUCCCCUGAAGAUUUUGACUAUUCUACUGGUCUCCCUUCAGAUUUUAAAAAUUACACUAAUCUUCCUUGAAGUUAUAACAUUUAAAUUCAAUCAAUAAUUUAAAAAAUGAUAUUAUGAAAGAGAAAAUAAUAUGAUUUUAUCAUUGCCCCCCAUCUUACUACAUUAUUUAAUUAAUUUAAUAGCAACCCACACAUUAAAGAAAAAUAUAAAAUUUGUUAUUUAUCAUUAAAGAUCAAAUCGCUUAUAACAUCAAAUAAUAGUAUAUUAUUUAUAUUUUUCACUUAACAUAAUAUCCAAAUUACUCUUUUCAAUUACAUACUCAUUGUUAGACAAUCAACAACAAAUAACCAAAAAAUUUGCAACCAAAAUAUUACAAAAAAAAAUAAACUUUAACAUCAUAAAUAUUCUUAUCAACAUAUUAAAGUUAGUUACUGAAAUUUUUAUGGUGUUAAACUUCACUCUUUGUAAUAUUUUGGUUACAGAUUUUUUUUGAUUAUUUUUUAUUAAUUAUGUUUGAUGAUGGGUUUGUAAUUGAAAAGAAUAAUUUAAAACUUACAUUAAGUGAAAUAUAUAGAGUGAUAUACUAUUUUUUAUAACAUAUGUGAUUCAAUCCUUCUUGAUAGGAUUGGUAAUAGAGGUAGAGGGGGGAGUCGGCUGCAUCCGGUCUUCUUUUCAUAGAUAGUACAAUAUUGCGAAAUCAAUCGCAUUCACACAAUAAUAUUUCGAAGUCAAUGCAUGGCUAAGUUGCAUAAAAGUACGAACACUUGUUAUUAUAUAGCUUAAGAUUCAAAACUUUAGAGCAUAACCCUCCACCUAACACAAUUGAAUAAUGAAUAUUCACGUUUGUCAAAUCUGUCAAAGCACAGUUUGAGGACAACCCAUUCCAACCUGCAAAAGAUUUUUUACUUUUCUAAAGUUGUUGAGAGCUGUAAAAAGACCUACCAUGCUUACAUCCUCCGAGCCUUGGGAGUUAAAAAUGAAGGCACUGAGUGCUAUAAAAAGGGGGCUAGAGGCUGCCUAGAAGCAUAUCAGCCUAAAACAAGAAUUUGUUGUUAUGAUGGGAAGCAAAGCAAAAGCAAUGGGGUCUGGGCUGACUCCUCUUCUUGCCACUGUUUUAGUGGUAUUUGUUGCUCUUGGCUUGCCCUCAGAAACAGCAGCUGAUGAUCACUACAAGUAUUCAUCUCCUCCUCCUCCUUACCACUAUCCCUCACCACCGCCUCCAGUGCAUUUACCUCCACCAGUGUACAAAUACAAGUCCCCACCACCACCUCAUCAUGUUUACAAGUACAAAUCUCCACCACCCCCACCACCACACCCAGUUUACAAGUAUAAGUCACCACCACCACCUCCUCAUCCGGUACCACACCCAGUUUACAAGUAUAAGUCACCACCACCACCUCCUCAUCCGGUAUACAAGUAUAAGUCUCCUCCGCCACCACCACACCCAGUUUACAAGUAUAAGUCACCACCACCACCUCCUCAUCCGGUACCACACCCAGUUUACAAGUAUAAGUCUCCUCCGCCACCAGUUUACAAAUAUAAGUCUCCUCCACCACCACCUCCAGUGUACAAGUACAAGUCUCCACCACCACCAGUUUACAAGUACAAAUCACCACCACCUCCUCCCCCAGUUUACAAAUACAAGUCUCCACCACCACCAGUUUACCACUACAAGUCACCACCACCUCCUCACCCAGUUUACAAGUACAAAUCUCCUCCACCACCAAUUUACCACUACAAGUCACCACCACCUCCUCCCCCAGUUUACAAAUACAAGUCUCCACCUCCUCCUCACCACUACUAAGCAAUUGCUUCUGAGGUAAUAACACUUGUUCAAUAACACUUGAUAGCCAGCUGAAUAUUUGCAGGCAAAGGAGAAGGAAACCAGUGUUUGAGACCUUCUUGAAGAUGUAGAAGCAUAAGAAUUAAAGCCCAAUGUGAAGAUGAUGAUUUCAAGUUUUUCUACGUUACCAUUUCAAUAUCUAAAUUGGUUGUAGCGCCUUAGUUCCUUUGUUUAUGGGAUUUGUAUCGUUUUACGUACCAUGCAGUACAUGUCAUGUUUGUAAGGUUUUCUAUCCUGCCGGCAAACCGCAGGUUCCAUGUAAUAAAUCAAUACUAUUUAUAUUACGACACUUUUCUCUGUUUCUCUUAUAUUUUGUCUUUAAUAUUCUUAAUCAUAUUUUUAACAAAAAUAUUCAAACACUUCAGCAAUGGUUCACCUAGUUGAUCAUCGAAGCAGAGGCAAUUCCAAUUAUUUAUCAAUAAAUAGGAUAUAACUACCAAACAAGCGAUGGCAGUUAACCCCUCCUUACUGUGUCGGUGAUCAAGGUACGCCCGUUAAUCACUGCUCUAAUUGAGAAAUAAUCCUAAGUACGCCCGUAGAAUUUAAUUCCCCAAUUGCCUUACAUAUUAGAGGAGCCCUAUUCUAACCAAAUAACGCACUAUCAGGGUUAUUUUAGAUUAGCCCGCGUAUUCCCCUGACAUAAAUCUAAUCAUGCCAGUUGUCAUUAUUUUGAGGUAAUUAAACAAUUACGGAUUUAACACCUCAAUUGACAAUAGAUUAUUAAAUUAAUUAAUUAUUCGGAUCCAAGACAAUCAAUUAAUUAAACAACCAUAAGCACUACAAUCAGAGAAUAUGCAAAUACCAAUAAAUAAAUAAAAAAUAAAAUUAAAUCGAUCUCACAAUUUUUAGGCGAAUCAGAGCAUCCGUUGUCCCUUGACUAGAGCAAGGAAAUUAGUUCAUAUUUGAUGAACUAAACCCAUACAAAAGGGAAGCGAGAAAUGCAGCCAUUAUCCUUUGAAAUCUGGAAAAUUCAACUUGUCCGAAUAUCGAAUAGAUAGUAAUACUACAAAAGGUAAUUCAUAGCUUCCCUUUCGUCUGACACACAAGAAGAAAAAAAAGGGCUGCUAAUAACUAAAGGAGGAAAAGUCAAAGUCCUAAGCUAUGCUACAAGACGAAAAACUAAAGAAGACAAAAAGGCAGUGCUCAUUCCCUGCAAUCUCAAUUCCUAUUCUAUCUAAGUGCUCUCCAAUGUGCGGCGGCUCCCCUUCCGGAGAGGACGAAGUGGCACCCUUUUUUCCUGCGCAAUUUUCCUAUAUAAAGUAGUGCUCCUUGCAGCGGCUCCUGUGCGAAAAAAUGAAGACUUCGGCCCAAUUUGCCUAACAAGGGCUCACGUUUUGUUGUUCUAAAAAUGUCCCUAGGACAAACUCUAUCAUCUGAACUCUUUUCUUGCCAAAUUAGUACCUGUUAUUAUAUUUUCGUUCUACUCCCUGAAAUAAAUGCAAAAUAUCAAAAGUGAGUAGAAUCUAGCAAUUAAUCCACAUUAGGUCAGGUAAUAGGGAAAAUUAAUAAUAAAAUAAAUGAUAAAAUUGCAAUCUAUCACGGGACCACUGUGGUAAGGUGUGUUUCGCCUAUUAUAAGGAGUUCGGAGAGUUAGACGUGUUGGAGGCGGAGGCGCGGUCACUCCUGCACGCCCUCCAGCUGUGUGCAGAUCGCGAGGUACGGGCGUUGACUGUAGAAUCUGAUUCAAAGGUGCUUGUUCAACUAGUUUGCUCGGAUAUGAGGUCGAAGUGGCCGGUGUGUAUCGUAUUGCGGGAAAUAAGACAUUUGAUCCGGCGGAUGGGUGCAUCCCUUCAUCAUAUAUUCCGUGAGGCCAAUUCGGUGGCGGACGCAUUGGCUUCUCUGCAAUUGGGAGGGCAGCAGUACUACACCUCAGGCGUGGCGCUGCCUUUCAGGCCCAGAGGAGAGGCUCUGCUGGAUCGUCAAGGAGUACCUCGCAUCCGUGAGGCGCUCACUAAGGUUUGAUAGGCUAUGUCCUCCUUUCAAAAAACUUAUUUCAUCUACUCCUUGUAAUCAUUUUUCUUAUCAAUAAAUUGAGGCUUUUUAUUUAAAAAAAAACAUAUAAUUUAAGGCAAAAAUAUGAUCCUAGCGAGUAUCGCACUGAGACAUUAGGAAACAUCAUUAAAAGAGUAUUUCUUGAGUUAGUGCAACUAUUUCUUAGGGGAAUUUAUAGUUACAAAAUUCAAAAAUUUGAGAUUCUAUUACUGAUUAAUUAAGGGCGUUAUCACUAUUUUUCUUAUUAUCACCAUUAUUUACCCCACAUACUAUAAGUUUUUUUAGGGCACAGGAAAAGAGGUGGGCCGAUGUUUAGUUAUGUACAAAAGUUCAAAAUUUGUAGAUAACUUAUCAUGUGCCCUUAGAGCGUAGAAUACAGAAAAAAUAUCUUAAACUAUAACUAAUCCUAAUAUUUUUCUCUAUGAUAAACUAGCUCUUAUCCAUUUCUUUAGAUGAUGAAAGGAAAUAGUUAGUCACCUGUCCUCUAGUGAUUACAACAGCAUCAAAACAAAUUAGCACUCUUUUCCCGUAGUUUAAAAAUCCCUCAGCCACUAAGAUUUUGCAUGUCGAACGAAUUAAGGAACAUAGAAGGUUCGUGCUGCACCACAGUGUCCUUGUUGACGAUGCAAAGACAGAAAUGCAUCCGCGUAUACUUCCUUAAGCAUUUUGAUUACUUUAUGAUUCGAACUUUUCUUGUCUGACAGCUGGACUUAAUUGAAAAACACAAGUAACAAUAUUUCAAAGUUGAUUCGUCAAAGUUUACCCAAUUGGUGAAACUUUCUUCAUAGAGCUGACUUUGUAUUAGGUGACAAUGAUAUGGAAUUGAUGUCCUUCCCUUUUUCCUUUUUUUGUGUUGAAGACGCACAACGUUUUCAAUGGCAAAUUUAUAUGGGCUUUUCACGACAAAAUGUGUUCUGAAAAGUUCAUUCCAGAGGUUAAAAUUUUGUGUGUUAAAAAUUUGCUUCUCAGGACUUUGAUGGGAAAGUCUUGGUGUUUCCAAAAAGUUUAAGCAGGAUGCUUCUGGCUUUCUCUCCAUGUAUUUGUGAGUUAGAUCUAAAAUUAUCAGGGCUCCAGAGAUCUCUUGAAAUCGCAGCAUAUAUUGAAGUCUUUCCAGAAGGAGUCUUUUUUUUUUUUUUUAUGAAUUAUGAUAGAUAAUUAAUCUGACGGUGCAUAUAUAUAUAUAUGUGAUUUGCAGUAGGGUGUUUGACGAAAUGGUUAGGCUUCCUAAGUAAUGAUAGGAAUGCCAUUUGCAAAGAAGGACAGGGGGCUGGUGCUGUCAUAUUUUAUGCGAUUUGAUCCGUUGUUGUAUAAGUUUAAACUUUUGACGUGCAAUUGUGCUAUAAUAUUAUACUAAAUAUAUGUGUGAAAUAUUUUGUCUAUAUACAUCACUUUUAUCAUGAAUACAACAGCUGAGUAUAAUAAUAUAGUAUAAUGUAAUUGUACACCAAAUAAUGUAGCAAAUAUAACAAUUGAUCCGAAUUACACGGAACCAUAACAACAAGAUCACCGCCUCCCAAAUUUUACAAAAUUAGGUUUUUUUUUUUUCUCUUAGAUUAUUGAAAAUUUUCAAAAAUAAUCUACAUAAUUUAAGCUUUUGUCCUACAAAAAUUUGAAGAGAUUUUACAUUACAAGCUUAAGCUUAGAUAUAUUAAACUUUGCCCCCAAGAUUAAUUUUCCGUUUUUAUCUAUGAACCGAUCCAUAUAGCUAGUUAGACUGUAGUCCUCACAUUUGUGGGAUUUAACACCCAAGAUUCUCCUUCUUGGAAUGUAAAAUGUAGAUCUUCUAUGUUAAUAAUUCAAGACCCUACUGUCAUAAACGAAAUGACUGAUCAACUCCUGUAAACCUAAUUUGACAACAUUUAAAUGGAGAACUUUAGCUAAAAGAAUUAUGGUCAAGCUAAAGAAAAAGCCAGUUAUUUUCCAACAUAUGCAAUCAUUGAUCAGGAAAAAAAAAAAAAAGCAAAAAGACAUCUUCAAUCAUUUAAUAGCUCACAGUGCAAAUUAACCCCUAAGCGAAAACUGGUUGCUCUAGAAUCAAAAUUUUACCUUAGUUACCCAGGCAACUUUUUUGUUGCUUUUUUUUUUUUCUUUUCCUUUUUGGGUAUAUAUAUAGCUCCAGUUUUGCCCCCUCUGUCAAGCUUAUAUAAUUAUUAAGAUAAUAAAAGUGCCUUGAAUAGUAUUAAUAUAUCCAUUGACUUGAGCUGUCAUCGAUCGGUUUGGGCUACUUCGAUUCCAUGAGAACAAAUGGUAAUAAAAGUACUCAGAAAAUAGGGAGCCAUGAAACCCUUUUGUUCUAUUCAUUGCUAAGAUGCUUUUCUCUAUAAAGAGACUUCCUAACGAAAGUACUUUGUAGAUUUCUUUACUCCAAGUGGUGCAUGGAAAAUUAAAAUAUUCAAUUAUCAAAUAAAAUUCCCUUUUUUCGGUGUAGAUUUCAUCCAUCCAGCUGUUAACACAUUUUAUGUAUCCGAAUUAUAUAUUCUCUACCAAAUAUUGUAACUUUUCUGAGCAUCUUUACAUUUUUAUUCCCACCUAACAAAUUAGUUGUUGAGCAUCUUUACAUGCUAUCGGAUCACAAGUUAAUAAUCUUUUAAAGAACAUGUUAAAUUAAUUUAUUGGUAUGAAUAGUCAAAGAAGUAUAUUAAAGUUAGUAAUCUUUAAACACCACGAUGCAAUUAAUACUUUCAAGCUCAAGGUCUUUUUUUUUUUUUUUUUUGGUACUGUACUUCCUUGCUUUAUAGUAUGCACGUUUAUUUCUGUGGAUUGCUUAAGCUUAUAUUGUUAAUAAUUGGGCAUUUAACCAUAAAUUAUAAUGAUUAUGAAGUCAUAUAUAUAUAUAUAUAUAUAAGAAAAUUACCACAAUUAUUCAAUUUUUUUUGCAAAUUCAAAUUUUAUUAAUAAGAAAUAGGCAGUAAGCUUUUACAAACGGAAAAAAAAAAUCCUACAACAACUCUAGGACCUUUGAAAGAAAGAAAAAAAAAAGAAAAGAAAAGCUUAAGGACUCUACCUCAUAGAAGCUAAACAAUCCUACAAAUAAACUGCAAAAUAAAUCACAAUAACGCAAAAUUUUUGUCUUUCUUCCGUAUGAAAUGAAACUACGAAGUCAAGAAUUGACUCCUUUAACCGCUAUUGCCAGCGGGCUCCGUCAGCAAGAUACAACUUUGCAAUUUGAUUCAAUAGAAAUCCUCAAAUAGCUAUUUUGACAGGCAAAUUAAGCAUUAAUUUUGGUAUCCCUUCAUAAAAUACAAGAGUACUUUUGAUUAUAUCUAUAGAUCAACUUUCUAGGCUAUUUUGAUGUAUUAUAAGAAAAUCUGCCUCAACAAUUUUGAUAGCAUUUUUCCAAAAGCAGAAGAUGGAAAAUUGCCCAUUUGUACUGGGGAGUUCGUGAUCUUUUCCUCCUUCUAGUCUACUUACAAUUCUUGGAAAAAGGAAUACUCACAUCUCAAACAACUGCCUGUUCAUCUGCAAUGUCCUGCCGAAUUCUAGAAAGUUAGGUGGCAAUGCUAAUUACAUUUCAAAAUUGACUGCUGCGAUGACUAAUUCGAUGGCUUACUACAUGGUCAACGUUUGGAUCCCUUCCUGUCCUUUUUGGAUGCACAUUUUUUUUCUCUAGGCAAUAUAUAAUCUCCCAACUCAUUUCUUUACAAAUGCACCUUUAAUCACCACCAAAAGGUGUGGACAUGAUCUUUACCCUAGAAAACUAAUCACCGACAGGCAAAUUGACGUCAGAAAUACUAAGAGGAAUUCUAGUUUCCUUCGGGUUAAUGCCAUUUUGUACCCUUCAACUGUAACUCGAUUUCUAAACUAUAAUUUGUGACAUUAUAGUCCUUAAACUAUGAAACCCCUCUUACUUAAGUACAAUGGUUAAUACAAUACCCGUGACUAGACAAGCAACCAUAACAAAAAAAAAUCCAAAAUUAGAGAAAAGAAAGAAGUUUCGCGACCAAAGUAUGUAUCAAGGCAUAGUAUAGAAAUAAAAGUGUCCAAAUUAAGAGUUUAGGGAUAAAAGAGAUCAAGAUAUAGUUUAGGGAUUGAUUUGUCUCAAUUAGAGUUUUGAUGUCAACUAAGAAGAGAGAUAUAGUUGAAGGGUAGAAUAUAGAUAUAACAGUUCAAUGAUUGAUAUCAACGAGACAAUGACAACUUUGGAUUAUUACCAACCUCUUCUUGAUGGGAAAAGGAAAUAGAGAAGAAAGUCGGGCCUGGUCUAAGCCUGCUUCGGAGGCAAAACAACAUUAUGAAAUCACCGGCAUUCACACAAAUAUGUCAAAGUCACCGGCAUGCUAAGUUGCAUAAUUUAUACAAACACUGAAUAAUAUAUUGUUCUUAAAAUUUUUGUUUAAGAUUUAACAAUUAGAGCACGGUACACGAAUUAGCAAUAUUAAAUAAUGAAUGUUCACGAUUGAUAAAGUUAUCAAAGUACAGUUUGAGGACAACCCAUUCCAACGUGUACAAGAUGUUUAGCCUUUGAAAAGUUAAUUAGAGAAGGUGACGAGAUUUUACUAGGCUUAAAUCUUCUAGGCCUCGGAAGUAAAAAAUGAAGGCCUUUGAGUGCUAUAAAAAGGGGGCUAGAUGUUGCCUAGAAGCAUAUCAGCCUCAGACCACAUUUUGUAGCAAUGGGGAGCAAAGCAAAAGCAAUGGGGUCUAGGCUGACUCCUCUUCUUACCACCGUUUUAGUGGUAUUUGUUGCUCUUGGCUUGCCUUCAGAAACUGUGGCUGAUUACUACAAGUAUUCAUCUCCUCCUCCUCCUUACCAUUAUUCCUCACCACCACCUCCUGUGCAUUCACCUCCACCACCGCCAAUUUAUAAGUCACCCCCACCACCUUACCACUACUCCUCACCGCCACCUCCAGUGUAUUCAUCUCCACCACCACCUUCGCCAGUUUACAAGUCUCCGCCACCACCUUACCAUUAUUCGUCACCACCGCCUCCGGUGCAUUCACCUCCACCACCACCUGUUUACAAGUCACCUCCACCACCUUCGCCAGUUUACAAGUCUCCGCCACCACCUUACUAUUAUUCGUCACCACCGCCUCCGGUGCAUUCACCUCCACCACCACCGAUUUACGAGUCACCUCCACCACCUCCUCCAGUUUACAAGUCUCCGCCACCACCUUACCAUUAUUCCUCACCACCACCUCCAACGCAUUCACUCCCACCACCAGUUUACAAAUCACCGCCACCACCUCCUCCUAUGUAUAAGUCCCCUCCACCACCUUAUCAUUAUUCCUCACCACCACCUCCAGUGCAUUCACCCCCACUGCCACCAAUUUACAAGUCUCCGCCACCUCCAAUCUACAAGUAUAAGUCACCACCACCUCCUCCCCCAAUUUACAAGUCACCACCACCACCUCCUCCAGUAUAUAAGUCCCUACCCCCACCAGUGUAUAAGUACAAGUCUCCACCACCACCUCCUCCAGUAUACAAAUCACCUCCACCACCUCCUCCAGUUUACAAAUCUCUACCACCACCAAUUUAUAAAUACAAGUCUCCUCCACCACCUCCUCCGGUUUACAAUUCCCCACCACCACCAAUCUACAAGUCUCCACCUCCACCCUCCCAUUACUACUACAAUUCUCCUCCUCCUCCUCCUCAUCACUACUAAGCAAUUGUAUCCAAGUUUUUGAGGUAAUAAUGCUAAACCAAUAUAUUAACUUUCGCAUGAUAAACUUUAUCUCUAUCAAGACAAACUGCCAUGUGCAUCAAGCCAAAUACGUACACUUCGAUCCAUGAAAAUGACAAGUAGAAGGUUUUCUUAAGAACCAAGGAACAGCAUUAGUAUUCCCUCUGUUUCCAAAACUUGUGUAUUAAAUAGAUUAAUGAAUUGUUUAACAUGCUUAUCUACUUGAAAAUGCACAAUACCCAUAACCCACUGAAAUUUUUGCAGGUAAAGGGGAAGAGAAUCUGUGUUUGAGAGCUUCAUGAAGAUGUUGAAGAAUAAGAAUAAAAGCCCAAUGCGAGGAUGUUUUCAAGUUUUUCUAUGUUUCCACUUUAAUUUGUAAAUUGAAUUUUUCGACUUAAUUAAUUCCCUGUUUGUGGGGUACGUAUUGUUUUACGUACCAUGCCGUACAUGUUUGUAAGGAUUUCUAUCCUAUUGGCAAAAGUCGGUUCCAUACAAUUAAUCAAUUCAUUUCACUUCUAUUGGCUCUACUAUUUAUGCACGUUACGACAUUUUUUCUCUCUUUCCCUUAUAUUUUGUCUUUAAUAUUAUUGAGUCAAUAGUAAUACUGGGCCAUUUUUUUUAAAACUUAUACUAGUAUACAUAGGUAGUUUGGUCUAACGCCAAAUUCAUGUUUGUCUUUCUUUUAUUCCCUUUACAUUUCAAAGUAUACUAUAGUUUGUGAUCAUUGUGGUGAUGAUAUUACCAGCUGGUACUUAUAGUUUAAGGCAGAGACAUGAUAUUAACAACUAUCUCAUUGAAACAUAAGGAAAAAUCAUGACAAGUGUGAGUCUUGGUUAAUGCACAAUUUGUUAGUGGAAUUUAUAUUUAUAAAACUCAAAAAAAAAAUUUUGACAAUGCUAUUACUAAUUAAUUAAGGACUUUAUUGCUAUAAUUUAUCGCUUGCUAGUUUAAACUAUAAAUGAUCUCAAUACUUUUCUCCAUGAUGUCGAUUUCUUUAGAUACGAAAGGGAAAAAUUAGUGACAUAUCCCUUACUGAUUACAACAUCAGCAAAAAUUAGUUAUAAACUUUUCCGGUGGUUUUAAAUCCCCGGGCCCUAAGAUUUUUUGCUCAUCGAGUGAAUUAAGGAACAUAGGCAAUUCAUUUUGCAUACCAAGUCCUUGUUUAAGAUGCAAGUACUAAAAUGCAUCCACUUCAUUAAUUUGGGAAAUUGCCAUAGUUUUUUUAAGCAUUUUGAUUUUUUACAUGAUUUAAAAUUUUCUUAUUGGAUACAAUCACUUUGUAUCAAGAACACAUUUUCAAUCACCUUUUUUUAUCUUCUCAAUGAGAAAAUAAAAAUUUAUUCAUGCUUUUCUAACAUAUUCAAUCAUUGAUCUGAAAAUUAAAACAUUAAGAAAAGGACAUUUUCAAACAUUAAGAAGUAGUAUUUUAAAGACCAUGAUGAAAUUAAUACUUUCAAGGUCUCUAUUAGGAAGACUUCCUUUAUUAAUACUCUACUAGGCAGAGUUAUAUGCACGUUUACUGUUUUGGCCUUAAGUUGGGUGCAGAUGCUUAUAUUACAAAUAGAUGGUAUCAAAAAAUUGUUGUAUUCACGUCUGUUCUUUUUUUCUUCCUUAAGUUUUUUUCUUUAUUCUCGUGACUUCGCUAGUGAGGUAUAACUUCACAACUAGAGUCAAUAGAAAUCGUCAAAUGAUUUUUUGACAUCCAAAUUAAGCAAUAAAUUUUGUUUUCAUUUCAUAACAUAUAAUAGUACUACUUCAUGGGAGAUUUUAUAGUUUCUUUAGGGUAUCAUACCUACAAUUGAUAUUUAUCAUUGGAUAGUGAAAGAAGUGUUAAUGUCUCUAAGAUUAAAUAUUGUUAAAUAUUGAAAAUUUGAACUAUUUAUCUCUAUUGAGAGAUACAACUUAAAGAAUCCUACCCAAAAGAGACUAGAAUUUUCUCUGUUUUUCAUCAUCUGUAGACAUAAACUUUCCACGGUUGAUAGCAUUUUUCAUCAUCUAUAAGGAAAUUUUGCCUAUACAAUGUGAUAGCAUUUUUCAAAAAGACAAGAUGGAAAAUUGCCCCCCUUGAACGGAAAAUUGCCCCCUUGUCAAUUCUUUAAAAAAGAAUACCGUCCCGCAGAAUUCUAGAAAGUUAGGCAAAACUAGACAAGUUGACAGGUAUAAUCAGACCCAAGAUCAGGAACAAGCAGUUGCACAUUUCAAAAUUCGCUGCUGCAACAACUAAUUUGAUGACUUACAACACUAAAUGGUCAAACUUUGAAUGGCAAUGAAUCUUUUGUUGUACAUCAUGAUGUAAUUUUCAUGUUACAUAAUAGAUUGAUAUCUAUGUUCUUUAAAUUAUCAUAAUAAUUAAAUUUAACUGAAAAAAAGAACACAUAUCAAUACACAAAAGUGUGCAACGUGAAUGUUAUUUUAGUGUAUUGCAGAAGACCUAUAGUCUCUUCAUAUCUCUUCCUGCACGUAUCAAUUCGUUUCCUCUAGAUAAUAAUCUCCCAACUCAUUUAUUUACAAAUGCACCUUUUAUGUUUUAUUACCUCCAAAAGCCUAAAAAUCAAUUCACCGACUCGCAUUUGGUAUCAGAAAUUCUUAUUACGAAUUCUACUUUACUCAAAGAUUGACUGUUAAUAAUGAGACAACGACCAUUUUGUAUUAUUACACCGUCCUUCUUGAUAGGCAAAAGAAAUAGAGAGGAAAGCGGGUCCGUAUAUGGUCUUUUAUUCAUAGAUAAUACAACAUUACGCCAUCGAGCAUUCACACAAUAUUUCAAAGUCAUUGCAUGCCUAAGGCCUGCUUGAUAAUCUAAUUCCGUACUUAAAUUUAAUAAAUUCAAAUCUUAACACAUUCAAAUCGUUUGAUAACAAAAAAUUGAACAUCUAAAUUAAUUAAGUAACACUGAAUUUUCUAGGCAAAACUUGCUCCCAAAAUUAAGUGAUAAGUUAUUCACUUAUCACUGAAUAUGAUAUGUAUUCAAAUGUAUUAGAUUUAAUACUUAAUAAUUUAAUGAAUUCAAAUUUCAUAUUUCAUAUUUCAGUUUUAUCAAACACACCUUAAGUUGCAAAAUAAUACCAAAACUUGUUAUUACAUAGCUUGAGAUUCAAAAAUUUAGAGCAUAAUUCUCAACCAAACACAAUUGAAUAAUGAAUAUUCACGAGUGUCAAAUCUAUCAAAGUACAAUUUGAGGACAACCCAUUCAAACGCGUACACGAUUUUUAACUUUUCUAAAGUUGUUGAGAGCUGUUGAAAGAGAUUUACCAUGUUUACAUCUUCCAAGUCUUGGGAGUAAAAAAUGAAGCCACUGAGUGCUAUAAAAAGGGGGGUAGAGGCCACUUGAGAUCCUCGGUGACAUGUUUUCUAUGCCAAUCCAAUGCCACCAAUAGUGUUGCGCCAAGUGUCAUGUUAUUAUUUACACUUGUGUUAAACUAAGCCAAGUUGAAUUAUUAGAAAAUUAAAGUGUAAAUAAUAACAUGACACUUGGCGCAAUACUAUUGGUGACAUUGGGUUGGCAUAGAAAAUAUGUCACCGAGGAUCCCAAGUGGAUAGAUGCUGCCUAGAAGCAUAUCAGCCUAAAACAAGAAUUUGUAGUAACAAUGGGGAGCAAAGCAAAAGCAACGGGGUCUAGGCUGACUCCUCUUCUUACCACUGUUUUAGUGGUAUUUGUUGCCCUUGGCUUGCCCUUGGAAACUGCAGCUGAUUAUUACAAGUAUUCAUCUCCUCCUCCUCCUCCUUACCAGUAUUCCUCACCACCACCUCCAGUGUAUUCACCUCCACCAACCCCUGUUUAUAAGUUACCCCCACCAUCUCCUCUAGUUUACAAGUCCUCACCACCACCUUACCACUACUCACCACCUCCUGUGUAUUCACCUCCACCAUCACCAAUUUACAAGUCACUGCCACCACCCCCUCCAGUAUACAACUCCCCGCCUCCACCAGUGUACAAAUACAAGUCCCCACCACCACCUUCUCCAAUUUACAAAUCUCCACCGCCACCAGUUUACAAGUACAAGUCACCCCCACCACCUCCUCCGGUAUACAAGUCUCCUCCGCCACCUGUUUACGAGUACAAGUCUCCUCCACCACCUCCUCCAGUGUACAAGUCCCCACCACCUCCAGUUUACAAGUACAAGUCACCACCACCUCCUCCCCCGGUUUACCAAUCUCCUCCACCACCAGUUUACAAAUACAAGUCACCACCACCUCCUCCCCCAGUUUACCAGUCUCCACCUCCACCCUAUCAUCACUACUACGGUUCUCCUCCUCCUCACCACUACUAAGCAAGUGCAUCUAAGUUUUGAGGUAAUAAUACCGAUCCAAAACUUUAUCAACGCAAACUGCCAUGUAUAUCAUGCUAAGGACGUACACUUGAUCCAUGAAAAUGGCUAGUAGAAGAUUUUUUUUAAGAACCAGAGAAAUACAUUAUUUUUUCGCUCUGUUUUCAAGAAUUUGAGCAGUAUACAGAUUAAAGAGUGUUUUUUUUAAACUUGCUUAUCAACUUAGAAAUGCACAUAGCUGAAAGCCAACUGAAUAUUUGCAGGCAAAGGAGAAGGCAAUCGGUGUUUGAGACCUUCAUGAAGAUGUAGAAGAAUAAGAAUAAAAGCCCAAUGCGAGGAUGAUUUCAAGUUUCUACGUUACCAUUUCUACAUCUAAAUUGACUUUAGCUCCUGAGUUCCAUGUCUAUGGGGUUUGUACUGUUUUACGUACCAUGCAGUACAUGCUUGUAAGGUUUUCUGUCCUGUUGGCAAGCCGCAGGUCCAUAUAAUAAAUGAAUACUAUUUAUAUUACGACACUUUUCUCUCUUUCUCUUAUAUUUUGUCUUUAAUAUUGUUGAUCAUUUUUUUUUUUUAUCAAAAGUAUCAAAUGCUUAGGCAAUUUGGUCUAAUGCUAAUUGUUUUACAUUUAUUUUUCACCUACAUCCCUUUUCAACUCAAAGGAUGCUACAGUUUGUGAUCAUUGUUUAAGACCGAAGCAUGGUACUAAUAAAUAUCUCAUUGAAAGUCAAGGAAACUAACAUUAUGAAAAGUGUAAAUCUUGAUUUGUGAAACUAUUUAUUCGUGGAAUUUAGAGAUACAAAACUCAAAUUGUGACGGUGUUGUUGCUAAAUUAUUUUUUUUUUAUAAUAAAACACAGUUCAUUCAAGGAUUACUGGAAAUCGUCCAGCACAAUUGAGAUACAUUGUUGCCCAGGUGGCAGAUAAAUAUGCACUAAAAUUAUAGAUAUGCAAUUUAACAAAUACAUAAGAUUUGAGAAAUUAAGGACAAAUCUAAAAAGGACCAUAAAUUUGAAAAACAUUUCAUCCUAGAAUAAGUCGCUGCAACUCUCUUUGUGCAUGCUGUAAUCGUCAGAUCUACUAAUCAACAGUUGUAAGGUCCAGUAAAGAUGGUGAGAUCUGCCGAGAUUGAUCCAAAUCUGAAAUAUUCCCUCAGAUCUGCUAUCCAAUUGGUUCAAACUCAAUACUGAAAGUGAAAUCUGAUGAGAAGACUGAAAAAAUUGUAGAUCUAACAUAUAGAUCUAAAAAAACUCCAAGAUUUGAAAAAGUAAAGAAACAAAACUAAAUAAAACUCUCAUUAAGAUAGUUUAGGAGAGACUAAAACUCUCAAUAGGACACCCUAGGAGAGAAGAAAACUCUCACUAGGAUAACCUAUGAGAGACUUUAUUGAAUGAAAGGAAAAGCAAAGGACAAAGGAAGAAGAAGGGAGACCUUGGCUUAAGGCCAAGGUCUCCCUCCUAUGGAGGAGGAAGGGUAGAGGAGGAAGCCUAGAGAGAAGGAAGAGAAUCCCUCCGCUAGAGGGAAGGAAGAGCCUCUGAGAGGGUACCCGUGUUGUUGCUAAAUUAUUAAGGACAUUAUCACCAUUACUUUUCCCUUACUAGUUUCAACUGCAAUGAUCUCAAUCUUUUUGUGACUAAUUCUUUUCUUAAUAAUUUAUAAAUACAAAACUCACAAAGAAUAUGUGACUUAUUCUUUCCUUUCGUCUUCUAAAGAAAAUGCCAACUGUUAGUUUAUCAAGGGAAAAAGGAUCGACAUCAGUUGUUAUUGAAACUAGUAAGGAAUAAAUAAUGGUGAUAAUGUCCUUAAUAAUUUAACAACAGCACCAUCAGAAUUUGAGCUUUGUAUCUAUAAAUUCCACGAAUAAAUAGUUUCAUCAAAUCAAGAUUUACACUUUUCAUAAUGUUAAGUUUCCUUGACUUUCAAUGAGAUAUUUAUUAGUAUCAUGCUUCGGUCGUAAACAACGAUCACAAACGAUAGCAUCCUUUGAGUUGAAAAGGGUAGUGAAAAAGAGAAGUAAAAAAUACAAUUAGCAUUCCCUCAAAUUGUAGAAAGUUAGGUAGCAUUAUAGACAAGUUGAUAGCCGUAAUUAUACUAAAAAUCAGGCAAAAGCCAGCAAUUUUACAUUUCAAAAUUCACCUAUUCAAUAACUAAUUCGAUGGCUUGCUACAUGGUCAAAAUUCACCACAUAUCCCUUUCCUCAAUCAGGGGCUUCUACAAUUACCAGUUCCAAUUGUAUGGUAUAGUGUAAAUAUCAACAAAUUAGAUGUAGACACUAAUAUAAUAAAUAUGGAUGCUAAGGCAACAACAUACAAAAACAUAAUAAAUUUUGGCAUUCCUUAAAAAAUUACGUCCCCAAAUCAAUCUCAUACACCCAAUUUCUAAUUUAUUUAACUCAUUCCGUCUAUUAACUGCACCAUACAAUCCAACCUGCAAUUGCAUGAACCCCAAUCUCGCUUCCUAGUCCACCAUUUUUCUCUAGGUAAUAAUCUCCCUUCUAAUUUCUUCACAAAAUGCACCUUUCAUCACCUCCAAUAGCGUCGACAUGAUCUUUACCCUAGAAGACUAUUCACCGACUCCCAAUUGACGUCAGAAAAUCUAAGAGUAAUUCUACUUUACCCUAAGAUUGAUAUCAACUAGACAAUGACAAUUUAGAAUUAUUACACGCCUCUUCUUAAUAGGAAAAAGAAAUAGAGAAGAAAGUCAGGCCAGGUCUAAUUUCUUUUCGAAGGCAAUACAACAUUACGAAAUCAAGCAUUCAUUCAUACAAAUAUUUCAUAGUCACCGGUUUGCUGAGUAGAAAAGUUUAUACAAAAACUUAAUAUUAUAUUGUUUAAGAGUUAACAAUUUAGAGCUUAAUCUCCUUGUACUUUGGACUAAACUCGAACGUGAAAGGAAAUCCCAAAACCAUAUUGGGCAUGAAUUCACACUUAAAUAGACCCAAAAAAAGAUGGCGACUGGUGAAAGGCAGUGGAGACUGGUGGUGAGAUUUGAGGAAUAGAAGCAGACGGAAAAGCCACAAAUUUUUGCCGAAAGAGGGUCACUUUCAUGGUUAAUUUUGCUACUCUCUACUUGUACUUGACCAAUGACAGGUUGUCAGUCUGUGCAAUAAUAAAAACCUGUUCAAACUAAAAGUAAUUUCUGUAGAUAGUGGUAAGCAGGGUCGAAUCCACAGGGAUUAGGUGUAACUGUUUCUUUUCAAAUUCACAAUAACAAAGGGGGUGUUUUUAUGCAGAAUGUGACAAUCAAAGAAAUUCAAUUAAAAGUAAAAUAAUAAAAAUAAAAUAGCCAACUAGAAAUUAAAUAACAAUUUACUAAAAUCAAAUGAGUGAUAAUUAAGGAUCUAGCCAAGGAAUAACUUCAGCAGUGGUUCACCUAAUUGAUCAUUGGAACAAAGGCAAUUCCAAUUAUUUACUAAUAAAUAGGUUAUAACUGCCAAACAAGCGAUGACAGUCAAUCACUCCUUACUGUGUCGGUGAUUAAGGUACGCCCGUUAAUCACUGCCCUAAUUGAGAAAUAAUCUUAGGUACGCCCGUAAGAUUUAAUUUUCCAAUUGCCUUACAUAUUAGAGGAGUGUCAGGAACAAGGAAAUAGAAUGGGACGUCGUUUAAUGCAAAGGGUUGUGCGUUUAAGGCCUUAGAAGCAAUACUACGUCGUUCUAAUAACAUAGGCGGUGCUGGUGUGAUAGGCCAAGUUAGUUGAGGGUCAAUUACAUAAAUAGCCUUCUGUAACAGAUUUUUGGUUAUGUUUUUGAAUGAAAAGUAUCUCGCUGCUUUCUCUCUCUUGUCUGUUAUUUCCCUCCCUUUUCUUCUUUCUCUCUUCCCUCUUCUUAAUCUUGUUUCUUUCUUCUGAUUCUUCCCCCAAAUUCAAUACAAUUCCAGAAAUUAACCUGCAAGUCUGACAUUUGGUAUCAGAGCGGUCGAUUCUUGGCCGCGAAGGUAUCAGAAAUGGCUGAGAGCACGCGAUUCAGGACACUGGAGGAGCAACUCAAGAAGCAGGAGAAUCGGUUGCAAGAACUGGCGGAAUCCAUGGCUGCACUGCAGAGUACGAGUUCCGAGGAGUUGCGGCAUAAGCUACAGGCGGAAAUGGAGCAGAACAAUGCAAAAUUGGACGCGGUGGUGGGAAGUCUGGACCAGAAGUUCAAUAAAAUGGAACAGAGACUCAGUACAGUGUUGAAGCUGCUGAUGAAGGAGAAAGGUCUCCCUGAUGUCGAAGGAGGAAUUUCUGAUCCAAUCUUGCCGACUCCUCCAUCUCAUCUGAGGUUAGCAUCCUCAGUCGAAGGGAUUGGGCACCAACAAGAGUACAGAGGUAGGCAAUUCACUCCUAAUGUACCUCGAUUAGAACUGCCAAUGUUUAACUCUGGAAACCCUAGGGAAUGGACCAGGAAAUGCCAGAAAUAUUUUUUGAACUAUCAGAUAGCAGAGAGUCAAAAGGUAGAGGUAGCAGAGAUGUUUUUGGAAGGUAGAGCUGACAAUUGGUUUCAAGGAGUGAAAUUGGUGAGGCCAGGGUUGUCUUGGGGGGAAUUUAGUGAACUUUUGUGUGAAAGAUUUUCUGGAAGUAGUUCUCGUGACAUUGUGGAGGAAUUUAACAAGUUACAGCAGAAAGGAACUGUUGAGGAAUAUGAGGAGAAAUUUGAAGAACUAAAAGCUCUAAUGCUGAUGAAAACCCCCAGGUUGGAUGAACUUUACUUUGUUUCCAGUUUUAUUAGUGGCCUCAGGGAAGAAAUUAGACCUAUGGUGAAGAUGUUUAAGCCUCAAACACUGAUGAAGGCCUUUGAAGUUGCGGAGUUGCAGGAGUGUUCCCUGGAAAUCCAAUCGAAACAAAACAGAACUUCAAGGAGGACAGCAAUGGAACCCAAGUUUGGAAUGUAUAAGGGCACUACGAGUGAUUAGGGUCGCCAAAAUUCAUAUAAGUUGCCUGGAGUCACUCCUGUCUCCAGGAGGACUAAUGCAGUACACAAGGAAUUUAGUAAGAUAUCAGCGGAGGAAAUGCAGUAUAAGCGUAAGCACAGCCUGUGCUAUAGGUGUGGAGAGAAGUUUGGAAUAGGUCAUCAGUGUAAGAAAGGAAGUCUGAACUGUGUGAGCACUGAGGAAGAGGAGGACACUGAAUUUGAGGAUGCGGAAGGGGAACAGGAUGAGUUAACAGGAAGGGUCGGGGAACUUGCAGAAGUCUCUUUGAAUGCUUUAUCUGGUGCCAUAAGGAGGAAAUCCAUCCUGUUGAUAGGGAACUUAGGGGGGCUUCCAGUCAAAAUUUUGGUGGACACAGGCAGUUCUAACAGCUUCAUUCACCACAGGAUUGUCAACCUACUGCAUCUACCAUAUCAGGCAGUCAGUCCAUUUACUGUGACUCUAGCAGAUGGAACUGACAUUACCAGUGGAGCCAUCAGUCCCAGCGUGUCUUGGUUAAUUCAGGACUAUCAAUUCCAAUUUGACUUAAAAGUAAUGGAAUUAGGGGGAUGGGAUAUAAUUCUGGGGGUGGACUGGAUGUGCCAGUAUAGUCCCAUUACAUUUGAUUUCCACUCUCUUAGCAUUGCCCUUAGUGAUAGGGGUUCUUUACUACACCUCCAAGGACUUGUGAAGCAACCUACUAUGGAACUGGUGAGGGGCAGGGAUCUCAGCUCGUUUAUACAGGAGAAGCAAAGAAACUGUGCAGCCAUGCAUGCUGAUAGGGCCAGGGAAACAGGAGAGCAGCUUCCAAAAGCUAUAGAAAGGAUCCUGGAACAGCACUCUCAGGUUUUCUCCACCCCAACAGGAUUACCCCCAGAGAGGGAAUUGGACCAUCAGAUCAACCUCAAACCAGGAGCUGAACCCUUCAAGCUCAAACCUUACAGGUACCCCCACUCACAUAAAGCAGAAAUUGAAAAAAAAGUUGCUGAGAUGCUCACUAAUGGAAUUGUUAUACAUAGCACAAGCCCCUAUGCCUCCCCUGUAUUGUUAGUAAAGAAAAAGGAUAACUCCUGGAGAUUAUGCAUAGAUUACAGGAAGCUGAACGAGCUGACUAUAAAGGAUAAGUUCCCUAUUCCCAACAUAGAUGAACUAUUGGAUGAAUUACAUGGAACCAGAUACAUGUCCAAACUGGAUCUCAGAGCUGGUUACCAUCAGUUGAGGGUGAAAGCUGUUGAUACCCCUAAGACUGCCUUCCAGACACACCAUGGCCACUUUGAAUUCUUAGUGAUGCCUUUUGGACUCACAAACGCGCCAGCUACAUUUCAGUCCUUGAUGAACAGAAUAUUUCAGCCAUAUCUCAGAAAGUUUGUCCUAGUCUUCUUUGACUACAUAUUAGUGUACAGCCCCACACUAGAGAUGCAUGCACAGCAUCUACAGAUUGUGCUCAAUAUUUUAGAAGAAAAUCAGCUGUAUUACAAGAGGUCAAAGUGCUCUUUUGCCCAGUCCUCAAUUGAAUACUUGGGGCACGUGAUCUCAGAGGCAGGAGUGAGUAUGGAUGUGGCUAAGGUGGAGUGUAUCAAGUCCUGGUCUGUUCCUAGUACAGUCAAGGAGCUGAGAGGGUUUUUGGGAUUAAUUGGUUACUACAGGAGAUUCAUUAAAGGCUAUGGAGUGAUUAGCAAACCCUUGACUGUAUUGUUGAAAAAGGAAGGUUUUGCAUGGAACCAUGAAGCUCAAAUGGCCUUUGAAGAUUUGAAAAAGGUUAUGACCACAGCCCCAGUGCUGAGCAUGCCUAAUUUCGAACUUCCUUUUGUCAUAGAGACUGAUGCCUGUGGAAUAGGUAUUGGAGCAGUGUUGAUGCAGCAAGGACAUCCUAUUGCUUUCCUUAGCAAGGCAUUAUCAGUUCAGAAUUUGGGGUUAUCAGUCUAUGAAAAAGAGCUUUUUGCCUUAGUGCUAGCUGUAACUAAGUGGAGGCAUUACCUGGUGGGUCAUCACUUCAUUAUCAGGACAGAUCACCAAGCUCUCAAACAUUUGAUAGAGCAAAGGCUUACUCAUCCACUCCAGCACAAGUGGCUAACUAAGCUACUUGGUUUGGACUAUGAAAUACAGUAUAAAAAGGGUGCAGACAAUGGGGUGGCAGACGCCCUCUCCAGGAGAAGGAUUGAGGGAAACACUGUUGACUGUGGAGAGACUGGGCAUCAGACCUGCGCCAUAACCUCAGCUCAGCCUAGUUGGAUGCAGGAAAUGCUAGAAAGCUACAUUGGAGAUGCAGAGGCUCAACAGAAGUUAUCUGAGCUAUUGCUGGAUCCCAAUGCAGAUCCAGAUUAUCAGUUAAAGAAUGGGAUGCUCAAGUUUAAAGGGCGGCUGUACAUAGGAUCUGCUAACAACAUUAGGACCAAGGUGGUCAGAGCAUUGCAUGACUCAGCCCUUGGGGGGCACUCAGGUCCUGGAAUCCGUAAGGAUGUCCUUCAAUAUGUGAGAUCUUGUGAUGUGUGUCAAAGGAACAAACAUGAAAAUGUUCCUUAUCCUGGGUUGCUGCAACCAAUUCCUGUACCUCAGCAGGCUUGGUCACACCUCACCAUGGAUUUUAUUGAGCAACUACCCCCAUCCCAUGGAUUUGAUACCAUUUUGGUGGUGGUGGAUAGGUUAACCAAGUUCAGCCACUUCAUUCGACUCACUCACCCUUUUUCUGCACAGCAGGUAGCACAGCUUUUCCUUGACAACAUAUACAAGCUGCAUGGACUUCCUGAGACCAUUAUAACUGACAGGGACAUAAUCUUUCUUAGUAAGUUUUGGCAAGAGUUAUUUGGUAUGGUAGGGGUAAAGCUGCACUACAGUUCAUCGUAUCACCCUCAAUCAGAUGGUCAAAGUGAAAGGGUCAAUCAGUGUUUGGAAAACUAUCUCAGGUGUAUGUGCAGUGAGCAUCCUUCUCACUGGAGCAGUUGGCUUCCUACAGCUGAGUUAUGGUACAACACUAACUUCCAUACUAGCUUGCAGGUGACACCAUUCGAAGCACUAUACGGGUAUAAACCAAAUCACCUUCCCUUAGGACCUUUUCAUGAUAGCCUGGUACCUGCUGCUGGUAACAUGGUGCAGACUAGGCUCCAAAUUCUAUCCCUCAUCAAAGAGAAUCUAGCCACCGCCCAGAAUCGAAUGAAAAUGUUUACUGAUAAGCACAGGACUGAACGUGUCUUCCAAGUGGGGGAUUGGGUAUUUCUCAAGCUGCAACCUUACAGGCAACAAUCAGUGGCCUUACGGAAGAAUUUGAAGUUGGCUGCCAAAUACUUUGGACCUUUCCAGAUCCUUGCGAGAGUAGGGGAAGUCGCCUACAGACUUAAGUUGCCAGAGGGAGCUCGAGUUCAUUCCGUGUUCCAUGUGUCCUUACUUAAAAGGAAAGUGGGAGUUACACAGCAGGUAAAGCCCAGCUUGCCAGAAGUAGACGCAUCAGACCAAUGUUUGCUGAAGCCAGAGAAGAUUCUCCAGAGGCGUGUUAUCAUACGAGCUGCCAAACCAAUCAUCCAGUACCUGGUGAAGUGGAACAACUUACCAGAAUCCGAAGCAUCAUGGGAGGAUAAAAGCUUCAUUGACAGACAAUUUCCGGAAUUUCAAGCUUGAGGACAAGCUUUGCUUAAGGGGAAGAGAUUGUCAGGAACAAGGAAAUAGAAUGGGACGUCGUUUAAUGCAAAGGGUUGUGCGUUUAAGGCCUUAGAAGCAAUACUACGUCAUUCUAAUAACAUAGGCGGUGCUGGUGUGAUAGGCCAAGUUAGUUGAGGGUCAAUUACAUAAAUAGCCUUCUGUAACAGAUUUUUGGUUAUGUUUUUGAAUGAAAAGUAUCUCGCUGCUUUCUCUCUCUUGUCUGUUAUUUCCCUCCCUUUUCUUCUUUCUCUCUUCCCUCUUCUUAAUCUUGUUUCUUUCUUCUGAUUCUUCCCCCAAAUUCAAUACAAUUCCAGAAAUUAACCUGCAGAUCUGACAAGGAGCCCUAUUCUAACCAAAUAACACACUACCAGGGUUAUUUUAGGUUAGCCCGCGUAUUCCCCUGACAUGAAUCCAAUCAUGCCAGUUAUCACUAUUUUGAAACAAUUAAACAAUUACGGAUUUAACGUCCCAAUUGACAAUAGAUUAUCAAAUUAACUAAUUAUCCGGAUCCAAAACAAUCAAUUAAUUAAAUAAUCAUAAGCACUGUAAUCAGGGAAUAUUUGAAUACCAAUAAAUAAAAAGAAAGGACAAAAUUAAAUCGAUUUCACAAUUUUUAAACGAACCACAACCUCAGUUGUUCCUCGGCUAGAUUGAGAAAAUUAGCUCAUGUUCGAUGCGAAAAAUCCACAAGAAAUUGUUAAGAGAGCCGCGGCCAUUGUCCCUUGAAAUUGGGGAAAUUCAAUUCGGUUGAACUACGAAAGAAAAGUAAGCUACAGAGAGUUGCCGAUUGGGUUUUGCUUGUCCCUAACAUGCGAGGGAGCAAAGCCACGAAAGGACGACAAAGGUCAAAAAGAAAGGCUACAGAGCAUGUUCCAGGUCUUUUUGUGCUCUCCACAUCCGAGCCAACGAAAAGAAAUAAAAAACUACCAGGAGCUAAAGGAAAACCGCAAGAAAAGUCAAAGGCUAAAAAAACUUCCUAGUGCUUGUUCUCUGCUUAUCUCUUUAUCUAAUUCUAAGUCCCCGAUUUUUUGCUCCGUGCGGCGGCUCCCCCGGAGAGAAAGGAUUGCAUCCGCUGCCCUCUUCCACCAAUUACCAAAAUGGGCACACCGCUUCUUUUUCAAAAAUGCUCCUGGAUAAACUCUAUCAUCUGGACUUUUUUUCUGUCAAAUUGACAUUUAUUAUUAUAUUUUCGUUCUACUCCCUGAAAUAAAUGUAAAAUAUUAAAAAUGAGUAGAAUCCGACAAUUAAUUCACAUCAGGUCAGAUAAUAAAGAAAAUUAAUAAUAAAAUAAAUAAAUAAAUUGCAACCUAUCAACCAAAUACAACAAUUUCAUGGAGUUUGAUACACAAGCCCAAAUACACGAGAGUGUGUAACCUGAAUUGUUACUUAUACAUUAGUGUGUAAUAGAACGGCAAGCAUUAUGGUGGUCAUUGAGCAACUUGUAGGAGAAAUAGUCCUAUAAGCUGUUCAAUGACCAAUCACAACUUGCUAAUUGGAUGACUAAUAUAGCUCUAGCUGUAAUGUUUUAAUUAAAUUCCAUCACUAACGUUGGGAUGACUUUUUAAUCAAAAAAAAAAAAGCCUUAGUUCAAGCUUUUCCCCUUAUUGUGCAUUUUUUAAAACAUUUGAUAGGCACUGCAAAUCUGUCAUUUUGGACAUUUUAUUAUUAACUAACAAUGAAAGCCGUGGACAUCAACCCAUAUCCAACAAAAUAUUAAAUUAAUAUUAGAAAAAAUUAUUAAGUAAUUGGAAAAAAAAAGAAGAGGCUAAUUUUCAUUGAAACCCACCGACAAACUAUACGCUGCUUUCAAUCAGUUUUAACACGGGAAAAAGAAAAGGCAUGAAAAGCAAAAUUUGUGGGGAUAAUUUCGGAAACCUCCCAUGAAGUUUUUGACUAUUUUACUGGCCUCCCUUCAGAUUUUAAAAAUUGGACUAAUCUUCCUUAAAGUUAAUUAUCUUGUAACAUUUAGAUCCGAUCAAUAAUUUAAAAAAUAAUAUUAUGAGAGAGAAAAUAAUAUGAUUUUAUUAUUGCCCCCAUCUCACCACAUUAUUUAAUUAAUUUAAUAGCAACCCACACAUUAAAGAAAAUGACAGGUCGUCAACCUGUGCAAUAAUAAAAUUAAACCUAAUUGCCAGUUAAAAUGACCAAAACCCAAUUCCAAGUACUGGAGCAGGGACUCUAGGUGUGCAAUGGGUUACUUGAUUCACCCUGUUCCCGAAGAGUUUGCUUGAUCCGAUAUACCCGAAUGGAAUGGUUAUUCCUUUUCACAAAUGAUUAGGAAUUUGUAGACAGGGCAAGUAGGGUCGUAUCCACAGAGACUGGGUAUAUUUGUUUCUUAAGAAAUCCAAAGUAACACAGGGGGUGAUUUUGUAGGAACGACGAUAAUUAAAUAAAUUCAAAUGAGAAAGUAAAAAUAAAUAAUUAACUAGAAAUUAAACCACAAUUUACUGAACUCAGGAUAACAAUAGUUAAAGGCCUCAAUUAAUUAAAAUAAGGAAACAAUCAAAAAUAAAAUAAAGUAGGUAAUUAAAAGUCAAAUGGCAAUCCACUACAAUCAAGGAAAUAUUAACUAAAGAUCUAGCCAAGAAAUAACUUCAGCAAUGGUUCACCUAAUCGAUCAUUGAUGCAAAGCAAUCCCAAUUAUUUACUAAUAAAUAGGUUAUAACUACCAAACAAGCGAUGGCAGUCAACCCCUCCUUACUGUGUCGGUGAUCAAGGUACGCCCGUUAAUCACUGCUCUAAUUGAGAAAUAAUCCUAGGUACGCCCGUAGAAUUUAAUUCCCCAACUGCCUUACGUAUUAGAGGAGCCCUAUUCUACCCAAAUAACACACUACCAGGGUUAUUUUAGAUUAGCCCGCGUAUCCCCCUGACACGAAUCUAAUCGUGCCAGUUGUCACUAAUUUGAGGUAAUUAAACAAUUACGGAUUCAAUACCCCAAUUGACAAUAGAUUAUCAAACCAAUGAAUUAUCCGGAUCCAAGACAAUCAACUAAUUAAAUAAUCAUAAGCACUGCAACCAAGGAAUAUGCGAAUACCAAUAAAUAAAGGAAAAGAUAAAAUUAAAUCGAUCUCACAAUUUACAGGUGACCCAAAGCAUCAGUCGUUUCUUGACUAGAACGAGGGGGUUAGCUCAUAUUGGAUGAACUAAGCCCGCGGGAAAUUCCAGCAAAAGUCACGGCCGUUGUAUGCAUUUCAAGAGCCGCAAUUCGUCAAACACUUGGAAAGCGAAUGUAAGGCACGGGUAACAAUUGAAACUUUCUAAUUGUUCCUAGCAUUCGUAAAGCAAAUUCACUCCAGAAGUACAGUGAGGAAAAGUCAAAGAAAGUGGGCUUCAAUUCCUUGCUCCUGACAUGCGUGGAGACAAGCCAAUGCAAGACUACAAUAAACUAACAAGGAAAAGUCAAGAAUUGGAGCUAAGCUCCCCUGCCAUGCGCAGGAAUCCCAAAAGUAAAAAGUAAAGCUUCAAAGAAAAGUCAACAAUUCUUCCUAAGCUACAGACGGAAGAUCCAGCACAAAAGCCAGCUCCCUUUUUGAUCCCUUUUUCCCCCUUCUUAUUGCGGCGGCUCACCAGGAGAGGAGAGCCCUCCGUCCGUCCUUUCUUCCGGAAAUUACCAAAAUGGGCAUGACAUCUUCUCUUCCAAAAGUGCCCCUGGGACAAGCUUUCUCAUCUGAAUUCUUUUUUUUUCCAAUUUGGCACCUGUUAUCAUAUUUAUAUUCUACUCCCUGAAAUAAACGUCAAAUACUAAAAGUGAGUAGAAUCCAGCAAAUAAAUCCACAUCAAGUCAGGUAAUAGGAGGAAUUAAUAAUAAAAUAAAUGAAUAAAUUGCACCCUAUCAAUUCCCUCCACACCUAAACCAUGCUUGUCCUCAAGCAUAAGAAAAGUAAACGAACACCAAAAUUCGACGAUAGCCAUUGCCCAAUCUCCUAUAUUGCCAAGACAUUCAAGAGAAAAACACAUAUCGAGCAUUGGUGAUUAGAAUCCCAGAAGCAUCCCCCCGGUUAGCCUCUAACCCCCAGAUUCCUUCAAUUUCCAACUUAACUACUCUAAGAAAGAGGAAUGGCACACAACAUUUAUCAGCUAGUGGUCCGAAUAUUCACACAAGUCUUCAUAUCCAAUCCAUAAACCGGCAAGCUUCCCUAUUAUUUAGUCUCUCUUUUUUUCCGUUUUUUUUCAUUUUCAUUCUUCCCCUCUUUUUUUUUUUUUUUUAAAGCAGUAGCAAUCAACACAAAAGACUUAGUCGUUAGCCGUCAGGGCCUUUUGAUGCGAACUCCAACAUUUUUAGAAGGAGGAGCCCGGUUACUCAGCUCCUACCGCUAUACGACCACGCACUCAUAUAAAAUACCACCUUUUGACGCGAGAAUCGACACUUUUAGGUGCCGAUCCCCGGUUACUCAGUAGUAACUUAAUAGCGGAGCACAGUCAAGCUUAUUCUCAGCCAAACAAUGCACAAACGCAAAAUAACAGCACUAACAAUCAAACAUAGGAGCAGCUCGCCUCAUUAUUGUCAAACAUGGAGAACUGGAGUCAAUAUUGGACCAGUUCACAUUAAAAGGCCAUAUUCAUUCCCUACGCCUAGAAAAGUUAACAAAGAAAUCGAAAGAGUCAAACAGUUAAAUAUUCACCAAGGGGAUAUUCAGGACCCAACCACACUAACCCGAUACAUUUUGUAUUUUAAAAACUUGGCAAAAGUAGAUUUGGAGUCAAUGAGUCCACAUCUCAAUUUUAGCCUUCACAUGAAAGGCAAUCACCAAGAAGAAAGAACGGAAAAAUAAGCAACUAGAAAUGAGACUACGAAAAACUACUAAAACUAAAAACUCACUUUUUUUCUUUUUCUCUUUUUUUUUCUUUUUGAAUUUUUUUUUCAUUUUUAUUUUUUUUUAUUUUUUUUAUUUUUUAAACAUUAACUAUAAACAUUAACUACUAAAAACUAAAAACUAAAACUACUAAAAACUAAAAACACUAAAAACUGCUAAAAUGAAAAGCUGAAAACUGAAAACUACUAAAAACGGAGCACACUAGCAUAACUUUAGAUCCCCCCCACACCUAUAGGACACAUUGUCCUCAAUGUGACAAAUAAGAACCAAAAGUGAAGCACAAGUGAGAGGGGAAUCAGCCAAACUUCCCUGAAAUCGGGUCACAGCGGAGGGCGAGGUGGAAAUGGAGGUGCAAAGCCUGUAUGCAUCAGGAACUGUGCCAAAUUCUGUGCUAUGCCGGCGACAUUGGCGUCGACGUUGGUCAUCCGGGCCUGCAAAUCCUGAACCAGCUCCCUGAGAUGCUGCCAAUCAUCGGUCCCAGGUGGUGGAGGUGGCGCAGAAGUAGAGGUAGACGGCCCAGCAGUGUCCGCGGCCGACCCAGGGAAUGAAGAUGGCCCUGCCCGGGCCGAAUGGUGUGCACCCGGGGCUCGAGGUGGUCCCGGACGGGUAAACUGGUGAAAACCAUCUGGCAGACGCUCGACGACCCCCAUUUUCUCUAAGCAAACUACGUCCAAGUGCUCCAUCUCAAAUGCCAAAUGGAGGUCGUGGUCAUCCAGGUUAAGAACUCCCAACUGGGUCGCCAAGUGAGUGAUGUAGGACCCAAGGAUCAGUGGUUUGUUCUUCUUGGUCAAGACCGUCUUGAACUGUGCGGCCAACCAACAUCCCAAGUUCACCUUGAUAUUGUUCUUCAUACUCCAGAGAAAGAAGAAUUCGGGCCGAGAGAGUAUACCGGAGCUGUCCUUGCGCCCCGAGUAGCUAUAAGCUAAGAAUCGCUGAACAUAGCGGGCGCUAGGGUCCUUAAGAAAGGAGCUCCUGGACCGGGAAGGAUCGUAGCGUUGCCUAUCGACGGACAUGUCCUCCCAUACAUCAUGGUAGUGGGAGAGGAAAGGCUCUACGUAGUCACAGGCACUCUCCGCAUACUCCCUAGUCUCAGCAUACUCUCUAGUGAUAAACCCAAAUGCCAGAUUGAAUUGAGUAAUGGAGAAAUUGAAUUCUCGACCCAUGAGCCGGAAAUGAAUGACAUUCGGUGUUUCACCCGUGUAUCUCGUAGGUAAUUCGAACUCAAAGGUGGAGUAAAACUCCCGGAUCAGCUCAACAAAAGCGGGACAAGAAAUAUGGAAAUAUGGGCGCCACCCAAUGGCUGUGAACAUUUGCUCAACCUCCUCCCGUAUACCCAGGGCAGUUAGAGAGAGUCUAUGACAAGACUUACAGGAUAUUAUACGCCUCUCGCAGACCUUAGCGUACCUCUGCCGAUCGGCGGGUCUGGUAAAUGUUAAGUGCCCCCCAAAAUGAACAGGUGCAUCUACCUGAGCACCCCUAUCCCUACCCAAACGGGUUCGAACACUAGAAGAGGAGGGUAGGUUGGUAGGUGAGUUGACAGGAAUAGAGGCUUGUGGAGGGGGUUGAGACUGAGAGGUCCUAGACCUAGAGGAGGAUUUCGGUCUCACCAUUCCCCCCAAAGUAAGUUCAAGGCAACAGAAAAUCCGACAAGUAUAGAAACCAGCAAUUGACAAAGCAAAAAUCUCCCAGUAGUAACCCAGCCAAUAGCAAACAAAAGAGUUCCAGCAAGUAAUCAACAAGCAAUUCAGAAAUAUCUCAACUAAAAUCUCAAGAGAAACCCCAGCGAGUUAUCCAGCAAUUCAAGCAAUAUCCCCAAGCAAUGUGGUGGUCAAAAUGUCAUCUCCAAAUUGAACAAAUAAUCAGAGCAUUGCAACACAUUGAAAAUCUCAAUAAACGGCUCCAGUUGGCCAAGAAAAAUUGCUAACUCAUACUCAGCAAUAGUAGUGCAGCAAAGGGACAGUAACCACGCAAUAAAAACACUUAGCUUGCACUCAAAUGGUCACCCCAAAUAACAACCCAGUAUGAAACCCGCAGGCAGAGUAUUCCUCAAACCGUUAGCCUAAACCCAGUCAACAACCACGGCCAGAAAUAACCCCAUAAAUAGUGCAAUGAGUAAUCCCCAGCAACAUAAUCAGGUGUAAUCAACUGGAGCAAGCAAUUUACAUGGCAUAGAAACCUCCCAAUCAAACAAGUGCAUUAUUCUAGCGCACCCCAAAAUUCCAAGAAAUGGCUCCAGUUGGCCAAUUAAUUUCACAAUGUCACCCAACUCAGGAGAAAUAGCAAUUCCACACAAAAAUAGUCAAACCAGUACCACUGGCGAAAAAUCUUUCAAAUAUGCACAAUUUGCUACCAAAUAUCACCGGCUAACACUGAAAAAUUGAGGGCAAGUGUCAAAUACCUCCACAGGGACUACCCCAGGCGGCAGACAGAGAAGCGGCGUUGAAGCUGGUGGUCGAGCGGGGCGGCGCUCGCGUCGGCGUGCGCAGCGGCGACGGCGCGCGAGGAUGGAGUUUCGGGAGGUUGCGUGCGGGCUUGGCUGAAGACGCGGCGCGCGCUAGGGCUUCGCUGCGGCAGGCGUGCAGCAGGGGAGAAGAAAGAAAAGAGAAAGAAAGAAAGAAAAAGAAAGGAAAGAAAGAACAGAAAAGAAGGAAAAGAAAAAGGAAUUUUUCUUUUUUUUCUUUUUCUUUAGGCUACGGUUUAGAGGACAAAUUUUUCUUCUUCUUGUUUUCUACUUUUUUAUUUUUUUAUUUUUUAGUUUUUAAUUUAUUACUAUUAUUAUCAUAUUUAAUUGAGGAAAAAAAAUGUUUUUUUUUAAAUCCCUACCUUUCCCACGAACGUGACGCGGGCACGUCAAGAGGGCAAGAGAGCUCCCAGAAGUUUCAGAAUUUUCUGAUCGUAAGCGUCCUGCACAUCACCACGCGGGCACGUCAUGAGGACAGGAGAGCUCCCAGAAGUUCAGAAUUUUCUGAUCGUGAGCGCCCUGCACGUCACCACGCGGGCACGUCAUGAGGCCAGGAGAGCUCCCAGAAGUUUGAAGUUUCUGAUUCCUGCCCGUCAUCACGCGGGCGCGUCAUGACUGAAGGUCACCUACAAAUCAGCAAAAACGAAAACUAACACCCAAAAUCAGUCAAAUUCAGGGAAAGCAGAUUUAAACUAUGCUACAAAACCAACAAACAAUUAAAAGAAAUAAUUAGGUUGCCUCCCAAUGAGCGCCUUUCUUUAAUGUCUUUGGCUAGACAUGGUAAAGUGUCACUGAUUAGGACACGGUGGUGCGUCAAGCCUUAUUGUCUCCACCUCUCUACCUGAAAAUCCUUCGUAAUAAUAUUUGAGACGGUGUCCAUUCACCACAAAUUUGUUGUCUGUCUUAGCACUCUGGAUCUCAACUGCACCAUAGGGAAAAACAUGAGUAACAAUGAAAGGUCCAAUCCAACGGGAACGUAGCUUACCUGGGAAUAGCUUGAGCCUGGAUUGGUACAGGAGGACCUUCUGACCAACUUCAAAUGUUUUUCUUGAAAUUUGUUGGUCAUGAAAUGCCCGGCUUUUCUCCUUAUAUAUCAAGGCGUUUUCGUAUGCUUCGUUCCGGAUCUCCUCCAAUUCUUGCAAAUCCAACUUCCGUUGAGCACCGGCCUCCUCUAAAUUCAUAUUGCAGUGCUUUAUCGCCCAAAAAGCCUUGUGCUCGAACUCCACUGGAAGGUGACACGGCUUCCCAAAUACCAACCUGUACGGUGACAUCCCAAUAGGAGUCUUGUACGCCGUCCGAUAGGCCCAGAGUGCGUCUUCCAACCUUUGGCUCCAGUCUUUUCUAUCAGGGCGCACCAUUUUCUCUAAAAUGGACUUAAUCUCCCGAUUCGACACCUCCGCUUGACCAUUGGUCUGAGGGUGGUAUGACGUUGAGACCCUGUGGAGUACACCAUACUUGCGAAACAACGCAGCUAUGGUUUUGUUGCAAAAGUACGUUCCCCUAUCACUGACAAUAGCUCUAGGCAUUCCAAACCGCACAAAGAUAUUAGACCUGAUAAAAUCUGCAACUACUCUCGAAUCAUUAGUUCGAGUGGCCUUAGCCUCCACCCAUUUAGACACAUAAUCAACUGCCAGCAAAAUAUAUAAAAAACCAAAUGAAGUAGGAAAAGGCCCCAUGAAAUCUAUACCCCAGACAUCAAAAAUUUCAACAAAAAUCAACGGGACCUGGGGCAUUUGAUCUCUACGGGCUAUAUUACCUACCAUUUGACAGCGAUCACAUGACUUACAAAACACAUAGGCAUCUCUAAACAAUGAAGGCCAAUAAAAUCCACUUUCUAAAACCUUAUGAGCAGUUCUCUUAGGUCCAAAAUGACCUCCACAGGCAAAAGUAUGACAAAAAGCUAAAAUUGAUUGAAAUUCCAUUUCACUUACACAUCUCCUCAUCACUUGAUCGGCACACCUCUUCCAUAGGUACGGGUCAUCCCAGAUAAAAUACUUGGCAUCGCUCUUCAAUUUAUCCCUCUUCGAUUUCGGCCAACCUGCAGGAAAAUUACCAGUUACCAAAUAAUUGACCAAAUCAGCAUACCAAGGCAACUGAGAAUUUAAGAAAAAUAGGUAUUCUUCGGGGAAUGCAUCCUUCAAUGGCUCGCUAUCCUCUUCAACUAGUAUGCGACUCAAAUGGUCCGCUACUAGAUUUUCUGAGCCUUUUUUGUCCCUUAUCUCCAAGUCAAAUUCCUGUAGGAGCAGUAUCCACCGUAUGAGCCUCGGUUUUGCAUCUUUCUUGGUCAUCAGGUACCUCAAUGCUGCAUGAUCAGAAAAUACAAUCACUUUAGCACCUAACAAGUAUGACCUAAAUUUUUCCAAAGCAAAAAUAACUGCCAGAAGCUCCUUCUCAGUGGUGGAAUAAUUCAACUGGGCUCCAUUCAAGGCCCGGGAUGCGUAAUAGAUGACAUGAGCCGCCUUGCCUAUUCUUUGCCCCAGUACAGCCCCAACAGCGUGAUCACUGGCAUCGCACAUGAUCUCAAAUGGCAAAUUCCAAUCGGGGGGUUGGAUGAUUGGGGGUGAAGUCAGCAAUUCCUUCAGCUUGUUAAAGGCUCUCUCACACUUAUCAUCAAAUUCGAAGGCUACAUCUUUUUGUAGGAGUUGGAACAACGGGGCUCCAAUCUUUGAAAAAUCCUUGAUGAACCUUCGAUAAAAACCUGCAUGUCCAAGAAAAGAGCGCACCUCCCGCACACUCGCGGGGUAAGGUAAUGCAGAAAUAAUGUCUAUUUUAGCCUUGUCAACUUCUAUGCCCUUAGACGAUACAAUAUGACCCAGGACUAUUCCGUGCUCAACCAUAAAAUGACAUUUUUCCCAAUUAAGCACAAGAUUAGUCUCUAUACACCUGAUCAGGAUUAAUUUCAGGUUAUCUAGACAAGUAUCAAAACUAUCACCAUACACACUGAAAUCAUCCAUGAAAACUUCUAUUAUUUUCUCAACAUACUCGGAAAAGAUGCUUACCAUACAUCUUUGGAAAGUCGCAGGUGCAUUGCACAACCCAAAUGGCAUUCGUCUGUAGGCAAAGGUCCCGAACGGGCACGUGAAGGUUGUCUUCUCUUGAUCCUCCGGGGCAAUUGCUAUCUGAAAGUAUCCUGAAAAUCCAUCCAAAAAGCAAUAAUAAGCCCUACCAGCUAAACGUUCAACCAUUUGGUCAAUGAAAGGGAGAGGGAAAUGGUCCUUUUUGGUGACGGCGUUUAGCCUACGGUAAUCUAUACAUUGCCUCCAUCCAGUGGGUUUGCGCACUGGCACGAGCUCACCAGUUUGGUUGGCCUCUACCGUCACUCCUGCAUUCUUUGGGACUACCUGGACCGGACUCACCCAAGGGCUAUCAGAUAUUGCAAAAAUGAUGCCCACAUCUAGCAAUUUUAGAAUCUCUUUCUUUACGACUUCCAUCAUGAGGGGAUUGAGCCUUCUUUGAGCCUGCCUAACAGGUUUGGCAUCGUCUUCCAGCCUAAUCCGGUGCAUACAAAUGGCCGGGCUGAUCCCCUUAAUGUCUGCGAUUGUCCAGCCUAUUGCCUCUUUAUGCUCCCGAAGGACCCGGAUCAAUUUCUCUUCCUGGGUCUUUGACAGUGCCGAUGAGAUAAUCACUGGGAGUGUCUCAUUAUCACCUAGGUAUGCGUAUUUCAGGUGCUCUGGUAGAGGUUUCAACUCCAGUACAGGUGCCUGCACCACAGAUGGCAAUACCCUCUGGUGAGCCUUGGGAGUAAAAAUAGGUAAGACUUCAUACCUUUUCGUGGUGGUCUGCAACGAGUGUAAUGCACCUAUUGUGCAUUUUAAAUCCUCGCUCCACUCCACCUCAGGAGUUGUCUCCAACUCGAGGUGCUUGGUUAAAGCCACCUCCAGCUCAUCCCUGCCAUCAGUUUCAAACACUUCCUGCACUACAGGGUCAAUAGCACUCACAGAAAAAACUGAGCUAAAGUUGGAGUUAGAGGGGUACUUCAUAGUAUCAAAAAUAUUAAAAUGCACAAUUUACCCAUCAAACUCCAUGGACAAGGUACCCUUAUUAACAUCAAUUUUCGUCUGCGCAGUGCUCAUAAAAGGUCUACCCAAUAACAAAGGUGAGGGAUCAGGGGAGUGAUCAUCAUCCAUAUCUAGUACAUAAAAAUCAGCUGGAAACACCAAAUCAUUAACCUUUACCAACACAUCUUCAAUCAACCCAUCAGGAUAUGCAUUAGUUCGGUCAGCUAAUUGAAUAAUUAUUCCAGUUUCUUUUAAUGGACCUAGUUUCAAAGAAGCAUAGAUAGAUUUAGGCAUGACAUUAAUUGAUGCUCCCAGAUCCAGCAUGGCCCUUCUGAUCACAGUAUUACCUAUCUUACAGGGAAUAGUAAACAUACCUGGGUCCCCGCACUUUGGUGGGAGCUUUCUCUGCAGGACCGCAGACACAUUUUCUCCAACUAUGACCCGUUCAUCUCCCCUCAACCGCCUUCGGUUGACACACAAGUCCCUUAGGAACUUGGCAUAUUUUGGUACUUGUUUGAUGGCGUCUAAGAGGGGGAUAUUUAUCUCAACCUUGCGAAAAACCUCCAAGAUCUCCUUCUCCUUAUCCUGCUUCUUCGAUUUUUCCAACCUGCUAGGAAAAGGAGGCGGGUUAGUUUUAACUGUAAUUAUUGGGUCAGGAAGUACCUCUGGAUCUGCACCAUUGCUGUCCUCCCUUUCGAGCUCAUUUUCGAUCUUCUCUUCAUCCUUGUCCUUGGGAAUCACAGGUUCAGGCCCCUGAAUUUCUUUCCCACUCCUUAGGAUCAUUGCGCUCACGUUCUUCGGAUUCAACUCCGGUUGAGAUGGCAGCUUCCCUUGGUUCUGGGACUCCCAACGGUUCAUUCUGGUGGCCAAUUGACCUAUCUGAUUCCUUAUGUCCUGCAUUUCGGAGUCCGUCUUUUGCUGAUUUUGCAUAAUAGCUGCCUCCGUCCUUUGCUGAUUCUGCGCCAUGGUUGUCAUCAUUUGUUUCAGCAUCUCAUCCGUAGAUGAACCAGAUUGAGGGAGCGGAGGUGGUCGGGGUUGGUAUUGCUGCUGGUACCCUGGUGGCUUAUUUGGCACAAAGUUAGACUGCCUGUUUGGCGUGAAGUUGGAUUGCCUAUUUCCACCAUAACUGAGGUUGGGAUGAUCUCUCCACCCGGGGUUGUAGGUGCUUGAGUAAGGGUCGUACUGCUUCCUUGGCGCGGGCGCGUGGUCAGCCAUGUUCACCUGUUCCGCAGUUUCUUCCUGAAUCAUUGGGCACAUGUCUGCAGAGUGACCUAUACCAGUGCAAAUCCCGCAUACCCUGGCUUGUGAUGCAUUUCUCACAGCCUAUUGCCUAACGAACGCAGUCAACUCAUUUAGCUGCUGCUGCACAGAGGGUGUCUCUAUCUCAUUCACCCUACGUAUUGGGACAUCCUAUCUUGUACUGAAUUGCUGUGAAUUCUCUGCCAUCCCCUCUAUUAACUCCCGUGCUUCCUGAGGGGUUUUGUUCACCAGUGCCCCUCCACUUGCAGCAUCAAUGAUGCUCCUGUCUCUAAAAAUGAGCCCCUCAUAGAAAUAUUGUAUGAUCAACUGCUCACUUAUUUGGUGAUGGGGGCACCUGCGCAACAAGCUCUUAUACCGUUCCCAAUACUCGUAAAGUGACUCCUCGGGAUGCUGCUUGAUCCCACAAAUUUCUUUCCUUAGACUCGCAGCCCUGGACGCAGGAAAAUAUUUAUCCAGAAAUUUUUUCUUCAAUUGGUCCCACGUGGUGAUGCUACCUGGUGACAGGUAGUACAGCCAGUCCUUCGCAGAAUCUUUCAAGGAGAAGGGGAAUGCCCUCAUUUUUAUCUGCUCUUCUGUGAUUCCCGGGGGUUUCAUACUGUUGCAAACGACAUCAAACUCCUGCAGAUGCUUAUACGGCUCUUCACCUGGUAAACCAUGAAAAGAGAGUAAAAGCUGAAUCAGACCAGAUUUUAGUUCAAAUGGAAUGUUGUCAUUUAAAGCUGGGAAAGUAAUGCAUAACGGCUGCUGAGUUAAAUCAGGAGCAGCCAACUCCCUUAAUGUUUAUGCAUUAGCCAUGGUGCCUUCCUGCUGGUCAGAGUCACUCGAAGUGUUACCAAACGAAUCUGUUGGUUCAACUUCUGACUCGGGUCUUUGAGAUGUAGCACUAGAGUGCUCUUCUCUGAGCUGUCUGGUUUCCUUUCUCGUUCUACGCGCGGUCUUCUCUACCUCAGGAUCAAAAACCAAAUCACCUGUGCGACAAGAUCGAGGCAUACACUAGAAGAAAACCAGAAAAUUAGGACAAAAUUGAAUUUAAGAAGAAACAAAUAAUAACGCCAGUCCCCGGCAACGGCGCCAAAAAUUGACAGGUCGUCAACCUGUGCAAUAAUAAAAUUAAACCUAAUUGCCAGUUAAAAUGACCAAAACCCAAUUCCAAGUACUGGAGCAGGGACUCUAGGUGUGCAAUGGGUUACUUGAUUCACCCUGUUCCCGAAGAGUUUGCUUGAUCCGAUAUACCCGAAUGGAAUGGUUAUUCCUUUUCACAAAUGAUUAGGAAUUUGUAGACAGGGCAAGUAGGGUCGUAUCCACAGAGACUGGGUAUAUUUGUUUCUUAAGAAAUCCAAAGUAACACAGGGGGUGAUUUUGUAGGAACGACGAUAAUUAAAUAAAUUCAAAUGAGAAAGUAAAAAUAAAUAAUUAACUAGAAAUUAAACCACAAUUUACUGAACUCAGGAUAACAAUAGUUAAAGGCCUCAAUUAAUUAAAAUAAGGAAACAAUCAAAAAUAAAAUAAAGUAGGUAAUUAAAAGUCAAAUGGCAAUCCACUACAAUCAAGGAAAUAUUAACUAAAGAUCUAGCCAAGAAAUAACUUCAGCAAUGGUUCACCUAAUCGAUCAUUGAUGCAAAGCAAUCCCAAUUAUUUACUAAUAAAUAGGUUAUAACUACCAAACAAGCGAUGGCAGUCAACCCCUCCUUACUGUGUCGGUGAUCAAGGUACGCCCGUUAAUCACUGCUCUAAUUGAGAAAUAAUCCUAGGUACGCCCGUAGAAUUUAAUUCCCCAACUGCCUUACGUAUUAGAGGAGCCCUAUUCUACCCAAAUAACACACUACCAGGGUUAUUUUAGAUUAGCCCGCGUAUCCCCCUGACACGAAUCUAAUCGUGCCAGUUGUCACUAAUUUGAGGUAAUUAAACAAUUACGGAUUCAAUACCCCAAUUGACAAUAGAUUAUCAAACCAAUGAAUUAUCCGGAUCCAAGACAAUCAACUAAUUAAAUAAUCAUAAGCACUGCAACCAAGGAAUAUGCGAAUACCAAUAAAUAAAGGAAAAGAUAAAAUUAAAUCGAUCUCACAAUUUACAGGUGAUCCAAAGCAUCAGUCGUUUCUUGACUAGAACGAGGGGGUUAGCUCAUAUUGGAUGAACUAAGCCCGCGGGAAAUUCCAGCAAAAGUCACGGCCGUUGUAUGCAUUUCAAGAGCCGCAAUUCGUCAAACACUUGGAAAGCGAAUGUAAGGCACGGGUAACAAUUGAAGCUUUCUAAUUGUUCCUAGCAUUCGUAAAGCAAAUUCACUCCAGAAGUACAGUGAGGAAAAGUCAAAGAAAGUGGGCUUCAAUUCCUUGCUCCUGACAUGCGUGGAGACAAGCCAAUGCAAGACUACAAUAAACUAACAAGGAAAAGUCAAGAAUUGGAGCUAAGCUCCCCUGCCAUGCGCAGGAAUCCGAAAAGUAAAAAGUAAAGCUUCAAAGAAAAGUCAACAAUUCUUCCUAAGCUACAGACGGAAGAUCCAGCACAAAAGCCAGCUCCCUUUUUUAUCCCUUUUUCCCCCUUCUUAUUGCGGCGGCUCACCAGGAGAGGAGAGCCCUCCGUCCGUCCUUUCUUCCGAAAAUUACCAAAAUGGGCAUGACAUCUUCUCUUCCAAAAGUGCCCCUGGGACAAGCUUUCUCAUCUGAAUUCUUUUUUUUUCCAAUUUGGCACCUGUUAUCAUAUUUAUAUUCUACUCCCUGAAAUAAACGUCAAAUACUAAAAGUGAGUAGAAUCCAGCAAAUAAAUCCACAUCAAGUCAGGUAAUAGGAGGAAUUAAUAAUAAAAUAAAUGAAUAAAUUGCACCCUAUCAGAAAAAUGCAAAAAUUUGUUAUUUAUCAUUAAGGAUCAUAUCGCAUAUAACAUCAAAAAAUAGUAUAUUAUUUAUAUCUUUCACUUAAUAUAAUAUCCAAAUUACUCUUUUCAGUUACAUACCCAUUGUUAGACAAAAUCAACAACAAAUAACCAAAAAAUUUGCAACCAAAAUAUUACCAAAAAAAUAAACUUUAACAUCAUAAAUAUUUUUAUCAACAUAUUAAAGUUAGUUAUUGAAAUUUUUAUGGUGUUAAACUUCACUCUUAGCAAUAUUUUGGUUACAGAUUUUUUUGAUUAUUUAUUGUUGAUCGUGUUUGACAAUGGAUUUGUAACUGAAAAGAAUAAUUUGAAUCUUACAUUAAGUGAAAUAUAUAAAAUAUUAUACUAUUUUUUAUGGCAUAUGUGAUUCUUUUUUUUUUUUUUAUCAGAACGGCAACAUUGUAUUAAUAGUAAACCAAUUACAGUAUAGGUGGGCAACCGCCCUCACAAUCUGCCUGGACUUGUUCCAGCAGCCAAACUGGGAAGUUUUCCUUCCAUUCAGUAUUUUGUUCCAAAGUAAUAGCUACUUUAGCUAGUUUAUGGCUAACAAAGUUGUUCACCCUAUUUGCAAAGGUAAAACAACAUUCAUCAAAUUUUAUUCAUGUACAAUUGUUGCUAUCACCACGUCCUCCUCCUCCUCCUCACUGCACACUACUUGACUACCACCCUUCGCCAACCUUGCUGUUGCAUGUGCAACUAUCAUGGCCUCUCUUAGCGCCUUUGCUUCUUCGACCUUUGGACUGGCACAGCUAAAAUUUGGAACAGCCCAGGCCCACCCGCAAUCUUCCCAACCAAUCCCUGGCCACCCUUUUCCCACCCAGCUUCUAUGGCAUGUGUGAUUCAAUCCUUCUUGAUAGGAUUGGUAAUAGAGGCAGAGGGGGGAGCCGGCUGCAUCCGGUCUACUUUUCAUAGAUAGUACAAUAUUGCGAAAUCGAUCGCAUUCACACAAGAAUAUUUCGAAGUCAUUGCAUCGCUAAGUUGCAAAAAAGUACAAACACUUGUUAUUAUAUAGCUUAAGAUUCAAAACUUUAGAGCACAACCCUCCACCUAACACAAUUGAAUAAUGAAUAUUCACGAUUGUCAAAUCUGUCAAAGCACAGUUUGAGGACAACCCAUUCCAACCUGCAAAAGAUUUUUGACUUUUUUAAAGUUGUUGAGAGCUGUAAAAAGACUUACCAUGCUUACAUCUUCCGAGCCUUGGGAGUUAAAAAUGAAGGCACUGAGUGCUAUAAAAAGGGGGCUAGAGGCUGCCUAGAAGCAUAUCAGCCUAAAACAAGAAUUUGUAGUUAUGAUGGGAAGCAAAGCAAAAGCAAUGGGGUCUGGGCUGACUCCUCUUCUUACCACUGUUUUAGUGGUAUUUGUUGCUCUUGGCUUGCCCUCAGAAACUGCAGCUGAUGAUCACUACAAGUAUUCAUCUCCUCCUCCUCCUUACCACUAUCCCUCACCACCACCUCCAGUGCAUUUACCUCCACCAGUGUACAAAUACAAGUCCCCACCACCACCUCAUCAUGUUUACAAGUACAAAUCUCCACCACCCCCACCACCACACCCAGUUUACAAGUAUAAGUCGCCACCACCACCUCCUCAUCCGGUAUACAAGUACAAGUCUCCUCCGCCACCUCCUCAUCCGGUACCACACCCAGUUUACAAGUAUAAGUCACCACCACCACCUCCUCAUCCGGUACCACACCCAGUUUACAAGUAUAAGUCUCCUCCGCCACCAGUUUACAAAUAUAAGUCUCCUCCACCACCACCUCCAGUGUACAAAUACAAGUCUCCACCACCACCAGUUUACCACUACAAGUCUCCACCACCUCCUCCCCCAGUUUACAAAUACAAGUCUCCACCACCACCACCACCAGUUUACCACUACAAGUCACCACCACCUCCUCCCCCAGUUUACAAAUACAAGUCUCCACCACCUCCUCACCACUACUAAGCAAUUGCUUCUGAGGUAAUAACACUUGUUCAAUAUACCCACUUCUGCAUGAUAAAGCAUAUCUCUAUCAACACAAACUGUCAUGUCUAUCAUGCUAAGUGCCUUCACUUCAUCCACCAAAAUGACUGCUAGAAAAUUUUUUUUAUGUUACCAAAGAAAGGCAUCAUUUUUUCCCUCUGUUAUCAAGAACUUGUACAGUAUAUAGAUUAAAGAGUAUUUUUUUAACUAGCUUAUCAACUGAGAAAUGCAUAUAGCUGAUAGCCAGCUGAAUAUUUGCAGGCAAAGGAGAAGGAAACCAGUGUUUGAGACCUUCUUGAAGAUGUAGAAGCAUAAGAAUUAAAGCCCAAUGUGAAGAUGAUGAUUUCAAGUUUUUCUACGUUACCAUUUCUUUAUCUAAAUUGGUUGUAGCGCCUUAGUUCCUUUGUUUAUGGGAUUUGUAUCGUUUUACGUACCAUGCAGUACAUGUCAUGUUUGUAAGGUUUUCUAUCCUGCCGGCAAACCGCAGGUUCCAUGUAAUAAAUCAAUACUAUUUAUAUUACGACACUUUUCUCUGUUUCUCUUAUAUUUUGUCGUCUUUAAUAUUCUUAAUCAUAUUUUUAACAAAAAUAUUCAAACACUUAGGCAAUCUGGUCUAAUGCUAAUUGUAUGUUUUACUUUUCUUUUUCACCUGCUCCCCUUUUCAACUCAAAAGGAUGCAAUAGUUUGUGAUCACUGUUGAAGACGGAAGCAUGAUACUAAUGAAUAUAUCAUUGAAACUCAAGGAAACUAACAUUAUGAAAAGUGUAAAUCUUGAUUUGAUGCAACUAUUUAUUCGUGGAAUCUAUAGUUACAAAACUCAAACUCUGACUGCGCCAUUGAUAAAUUAUUAAUGACGCUAUCAUCAUUAUUUAUCCCCAACUAGUUUCGACUACAACUGAACCCAAUAUUUUCCCCAUGAUAAAAGUUUUUUACUAUUUUACUGGCCUCUCUUCAAAUUUUAAAAAUUACACUAAUCUUCAUUGAGAUUAAUUAUCUUGUAGCAUUUAAGUCCAAUUAAUAAUUAAAAAAUAAUAUUAUGAGAGAGAAAAUAAUAUAAUUUUAUCAUUGCCCCCCAUCUUGCUAUAUUAUUUAAUUAAUUUAAUAGCAACCCACACAUUAAAGAAAAAUACUAAAAUUUGCUGCUUUUCAUUAAAGAUCAAAUUGCAUAUGCCAUAAAACAUAGUAUAUCAUUCUAUAUGUUUCACUUAAUGUAAGAUCCCAAUUGUUCUUUUCAAUUACAAACCCAUUGUCAAACAUGAUCAAUAACAAAUAACCAAAAAAUUUGCAACCAAAAUAUUACAAAAAAAAACUUUAACAUCAUAAAUAUUCUUACCACCUCUAGUGCAUUCACCCUCAUAAAAUAAUUCAAGACCCUACUGUCAUAAAAUGACUGAUCAACUCCUGUAAACCUAAUUUGACAACAUUUAAAUGGAGAACUUUAGCUAAAAGAAUUAUGGUCAAGCUAAAGAAAAAACCAGUUAUUUUCCAACAUAUGCAAUCAUUGAUCAGGGAAAAAAAAAAGAAGCAAAAAGACAUCUUCAAUCAUUUAAUAGCUUACAGGGCAAAUUAACCCCUAAGCGAAAACUGGUUGCUCUAGAAUCAAAAUUUUACUUUAGUUACCCAGGCAACUUUUUUUGUUGCCUUUUCUUUUUCUUUUUUGGGUAUAUAUAUAGCUCCAGUUUUGCCCCCUCUGUCAAGCUUAUAUAAUUAUUAAGAUAAUAAAAGUGCCUUUAAUAGUAUUAAUAUAUCCAUUGACUUGAGCUGUCAUCGAUCGGUUUGGGCUACUUCGAUUCCAUGAGAACAAAUGGUAAUAAAAGUACUCAGAAAAUGGGGAGUCAUGAAACCCUUUUGUUCUAUUCAUUGCUAAGAUGCUUUUCUCUAUAAAGACACUUCCUAACGAAAAUACUUUGUAGAUUUCUUUACUCCAAGUGGUGCAUGGAAAAUUAAUAUUUUCAAUUAUCAAAUAAAAUUCCCUUUUUUCGGUGUAGAUUUCAUCCAUUCAGCUGUUAACACUCCGAAUUGACUAAUCUUUUCGUUUCCAUUUUCCAACUUGCGAAUACGGCAUCUUACAUAUUGUCUGCUGAAUAUGAAUACAUAUCCCUUUUCUGAGCAGGUGCAGAGUCAUUAUCAUUUUUAUUCCCACCUAACAAAUUAGUUAAUAAUCUUUUAAAGAACAUGUUAAAUUAAUUUAUUGGUAUGAAUAGUAGUCAAAGAAGUAUGUUAAAGUUAGUAAUCUUUAAAAUAAUAUGUUAAAAUUAUUCGUACAAAUUAGCCAGAGAAGUAGCAUAAACACCGCGAUGCAAUUAAUACUUUCAAUCUCAAGGUCUCUAUUAUGGAAAUUUGCAUCGGUCAACAUACACAAAGCAUUAUUGUAUGCACGUCUCUCUAUUAUGGAAAUUUGCAUAGGUCAAUAUACACUUGGCAUAGUUGCAUGCACGUCCAAUUUUUUUUUAUUUUUAUUUUUGGUAUUUUACUUCCUGCCUUAAGUUGCCUGCAGAUGUUUGUAUUACAAAUAUAUGGUAUACUAAAUAUAUAGUAUGCACAUUAAUUUCUUUGGGUUGCUUAAGGGUAUAUUGUUAAUAAUAGGGGGUUUAACCAUAAAUUAUAACAAUGAUGAAGUAAUAUAUAUUAGAAAAUUAACACAAUUAUGAUUUUUUUUUUUGUAAAAUUCAAAUUUUAUUAAUAAGAAAUGAAAUAGGCAGUAAGCAUUUACAAACCGAAAACAAAAUCCUACAACAACUCUAGGACUCUACACCUUAUUAAAAAAAAACAUUUUGAUAGCGUUUUUCCAAAAGCAGAAGAUGGAAAAUUGCCCAUUUGUACUGGGGAGUUCGUGAUCUUUUCCUCAUUCUAGUCUACUUACAAUUCUUGGAAAAAGGAAUACUCACAUCUCAAACAACAGCCUGUUCAUCUGCAGUGUCCUGCCGAAUUCUAGAAAGUUUGGUGGCAAUGUUAAUUACAUUUCAAAAUUGACUGCUGCGAUAACUAAUUCGAUGGCUUACUACAUGGUCAACGUUUGGAUCUCUUCCUGUCCUUUUUGGAUGCACAUUUUUUUUCUCUAGGUAAUAUAUAAUCUCCCAACUCAUUUCUUUACAAAUGCACCUUUAAUCACCACCAAAAGGUGUGGACAUGAUCUUUACCCUAGAAAACUAUUCACCGACAGGCAAAUUGACGUCAGAAAUACUAAGAGGAAUUCUAGUUUCCUUCGGGUUAAUGCCAUUUUGUACCCUUCAACUGUAACUCAAUUUCUAAGCUGUAAUUUGUGACAUUAUAGUCCUUAAACUAUGAAACCCUUUCUUAUUUAAUUACAAUGGUUAAUACAAUGCCCGUGACUAGACAAGUAUGAAGCAACCAUAACAAAAAAAAAAUCCAAAAUUAGAGAAAAGAAAGAAGUUGCGACCAAAGUAUGUAUCAAGGCAUAGUAUAGAAAUAAAAGUGUCAAAAUUAAGAGUUUAGGGAUAAAAAAGAAUCAAAAUAUAGUUUAGGAAUUGAUUUGUCUCAAUUAGAGUUUAGAUGUCAACUAAGAAGAGAGAUAUAGUUGAAGGGUAGAAUAUAGAUAUAACAGUUCAAUGAUUGAUAUCAACGAGACAAUGACAACUUUGGAUUAUUACCAACCUCUUCUUGAUGGAAAAGGAAAUAGAGAAGAAAGUCGGGCCUGGUCUAAGCCUGUUUCGGAGGCAAAACAACAUUAUGAAAUCACCGGCAUUCACACAAAUAUGUCAAAGUCACCGGCAUGCUAAGUUGCAAAAUUUAUACAAACACUGAAUAUUAUAUUCUUCUCAAAAUUUUUGUUUAAGAUUUAACAAUUAGAGCACGGUACACGAAUUAGCAAUAUUAAAUAAUGAAUGUUCACGAUUGAUAAAGUUAUCAAAGUACAGUUUGAGGACAACCCAUUCCAACGUGUACAAGAUGUUUAGCCUUUGAAAAGUUAAUUAGAGAAGGUGACGAGAUUUUACUAGGCUUACAACUUCUAGGCCUUGGGAGUAAAAAGUGAAGACACUGAGUGCUAUAAAAAGGGGGCUAGAUGUUGCCUAGAAGCAUAUCAGCCUCGGACCACAUUUUGUAGCAAUGGGGAGCAAAGCAAAAGCAAUGGGGUCUAGGCUGACUCCUCUUUUUACCACCGUUUUAGUGGUAUUUGUUGCACUUGGCUUGCCUUCAGAAACUGCAGCUGAUUACGACAAGUAUUCACCUCCUCCUCCUCCUUACCAUUAUUACUCACCACCACCUCUUGUGCAUUCACCUCCACCACCGCCAGUUUAUAAGUCACCCCCACCACCUUAUCACUACUUCUCACCACCACCUCCAGUGUAUCCAUCUCCACCACCAUCUGUUUACAAGUCACCUCCACCACCUUCGCCAGUAUACAAGUCCCCACCACCACCUUAUCAAUAUUCCUCACCACCACCUCCAGUGCAUUCACCUCCACCACCACCGAUUUAUAAGUCACCUCCACCACCUCCUCCAGUUUACAAGUCCCCGCCACCACCUUACCAUUAUUCCGCACCAUCACCUCCAGUGCAUUCACCUCCACCACCACCGAUUUACAAGUCACCUCCACCACCUCCUCCAGUUUACAAGUCUCCAUCACCACCUUACCAUUAUUCCUCACCACCACCUCCAGUGCAUUCACCCCUACCACCACCGGUUUACAAGUCUCUGCCACCACCUUACCAUUAUUCCUCACCACCACCUCCUAUGCAUGCACCUCCACCACCAAUAUACAAGUCACCUCCACCACCUCCUCCAGUUUACAAGUCUCCACCACCACCUUACCAUUAUUCCUCACCACCACCUCCAGUGCAUUCACCCCUACCACCACCAGUUUACAAGUCUCCGCCACCACCUUACCAUUAUUCCUCACCACCACCUCCUGUGCAUGCACUGCCACCACCAAUUUACAAGUCACCUCCACCACCUCCUCCAGUUUACAAGUCCCCACCACCACCUUACCAUUAUUCCUCACCACUACCUCCAGUGCAUUCACCUCCACCACCACCGAUUUACAAGUCACCUUCACCACCUCCUCCAGUUUACAAGUCUUCACCACCACCUUACCAUUAUUCCUCACCACCACCACUCUUCAAUUUGGAUGUAAUUCAAUUUUCCUUGUAAUCGGUGGCCCUCCUUCGGAAUCCAAAUAGUCAUUGAGUGCAGCCUUCUUUCUUUAUUUUUUACUCAUUUUCACCUCAUAAAUUGCUUUCAUCCCCUAAAACUUGUUCGCUGGAAUUUUGAAUUUACCCAUACAACUAAACUCAGAAAAUUCUUACACAAAGGGAUUAGUAGCAUGAAUAGCAAACACAGAAUAAGAGAUAACAGUAUGUUUUAUUGUAUUAAAAAUAUUAAAGUGGAUUAUUUCUCCAUCGAAUUCCAUUGUGAGAGUAUCGUUACUAACAUCAAUCUUAGUUUGAGCAGUACUCAAGAAUGACCUUCCUAAUAUAAUGGGUGAUGGAUUUGGGACACUUUCAUCAUCCAUAUAAAACACAUAAAAAUCAACAGAAAAAAUUAAUCCAUCUACUUGAACUAAAAACAUCCUCAACUACCCCAUUUAGAUAAGCAAAUAUACGAUCAGCCAAUUGAAUUAUUAUCCCUAUUUCUUUUAAAUGUUCUAAAUUUAGGGAAUCAUAAAUUGAUUUAGACAUCACAUUAAUAGAAAUCUUUAAAUCUAUCAUGGCAUUUUUUAUAUUAGAAUGUCCAAUCUUACAUGAGAUAGUAAACAUACCUAGAUUCUCGCAUUUAGGUGGUAGUUUCCUUUGUAAAAUUGCUGAAACGUUCUCAUCUACCACAAUAUGCUUGUCCUCCUCAAUUUCUUCUUGUUGACACACAAGUUUUUCAAGCAUUUAACGUAUUUUGGAACUUAUUUGAUUUGCGUCCAACAAAGGGAUAUUGAUUGCCACCUUGCGAAAAUCUCUAAAAUCUCCUUUUCUUUAUCUUGUUUCUUUGAUUUCUCUAACCUGCUUGGAAAAGGUGGUGAGUUAGUUCCAACUCUAAUUAUAGAAUCAACAAUUACCUUUGGAUUCACAUUUCUCAUUCCUUCCUCCUCAAGCUCUUUGUCGAUUCGAUCUUCAUUUUUAUCCUUUGGAAUCACAACUUCGGAUCCCUGAAUUUUCUUCUCGCUCCUUAAGGUCAUUACACUUACAUUCUUCAGGUUCAGUUCAGGUUGAGACGACAAUUUUUCAUAGAUUUGGGAUUCCAGGCGGUUGAUUGCUAUUACCAUCUGACUCAUCUGACUCUGCAGUGCUUGCACCUGUCCCAAUUGAUUCCUCAUACUUUGCAAGUCAAAAUCCAUCUUUUGUUGAUUAGCAAUUAAUUGCUUCAUUAUCUCUUCUAUAGAUGGACUUGAGUUUGAAAGAGGUGGUGGCGGGCGAGACUGAUACUGUUAUUGAUACCCUUGCUAUCUAUUUGGUGCAAAAUCUGGCUACCUAUUUCCUCCAUAGCUGAGGUUGGGAUGAUCUCUCCAACCAAUAUUGUACGUAUUCGUGUACGAGUCGUAUGGUUUUCUUGGCACGGCGCGUGACCAGCCAUGUUCACUUGCUCCGUACUUUUCUCUUGAAUCAUUGAGCACAUCUCUGUAGAAUGACCCAUAGCAGUGCAGAUCCCACACAUCUUGACUCGUGAUGCAUUUCCUAUAGCUAAUUGCCUAACAAAGGAUGUUAAUUCGGUCAACUGCUGUUGGAUAGAAUAUGUUUCUACCUCAUUUACUUUGCGUGUUGGGGCAUCCUCCCUCGUACCAAACUGUUGCGAAUUUUCCGCCAUUCCUUCAACUAGCUCCCACGCUUCUCGAGAAGUCUUGUUCACCAAUGCCCUUCUACUUGCAGCAUCAAUUAUACUCCUGUCUCUAAAACGCAGCCCCUCGCAAAAAUAUUGGAUGAGCAAUUGCUCACUUAUUUGGUGUUGAGGGAACUUGAUGCAUAACUUCUUGAAUCGCUCCCAAUAAUCAUAAAGCGACUCUCCUGGAUGCUACUUGAUACCGUAUAUCUCCUUCCUUAGACUUGCAGCUCGAGAUGCAAGAAAAUAUUUGUCCAAGAACUUUUUCUUCAGCUGAUCCCACGUGGUGAUGCUACCUGGUGGUAGAUAGCACAGCCAGUCUUUUGCGGAGUCCUUCAAGGAGAAGGGAAAUGCCCUCAUUUUUAUCUAUUUUUCUGUAAUUCUCGGAGGUUUUAUGCUGUUGCAAACGACAUCAAACUCUUGCAAGUGCUUAUACGGUUCCUCACCUGGUAAACCAUAGAAAGAUGGCAAGAGAUGAAUUAGACCAGAUUUUAACUCAAAUGAAGUGUUAUCAUUUAAAAAUAGAAAAGUAACUGAGAUGCAGCACUGGAAUGUUCUUCUCGAAAUUGUCUGGUCUCUUUCUUUGUUCUACGCGUAGUCUUCUCUACCUUAGGAUCAAAAAUUAAUUUACCUGUACGAGAAGAACGAGGCAUACACUAGAAAAACACUAGAAAAUUAGAACAAAAAUGAACAUAAAAAGAAACAAAUAAACCAACGUCAGUCCCCAGCAACGGCGCUAAAAAUUGACAAGUUGUCGAUGCCUGUGCAAUAAUAAAAAUAAACCUAGUUACCAAUUAAAAUAAUCAGAGCCUAAUUCUGAGUACUAGAGCAGGGACUAUAGGUGUGCAAUGGGUUACUUGAUUCACCCUAUUCCUGAAGUUUGCUUAACCCGAUAUACCAGAAUGAGAUUGCUUAUUCAAAAGGAAUUAUUGAUUUGUAAACAGGGCAAGUAGGGUCGUAUCAUCAGGGAUUGAAAAAAUUUGUUUCUUUUCAAAUCCACAGUAACAAGGGGAUGUUUUUGUAUAAAUGAUAACAAUCUAAGGAGUGCAAAUAGAAAUAAAUAGAUAACUAGAAAUUAAAUGACAAUUCACUAAAAUUAGAGUAAUAAUAAUUAAAGGUCUAGCUAAGAAAUAACUUCAGCAAUGGUUCACCUAAUUGAUCAUCGACGCAAAGGCAAUUCCAAUUAUUUACUAAUAAAUAGGUUAUAACUGCAAAACAAGCAAUGACAGUCAACCCCUCCUUACUGUCGGUCGGUGAUUAAGGUACGCCCAAUCACUGCUCUAGUUGAGAAAUAAUUUUAGGGACGCUCGUAAGAUUUAAUUUUCCAAUUGCCUUACGUAUUAGAGGAGCCAUAAUCUAACCAAAUAACGCUACCAGGAUUAUUUUAAAUUAACCCGUGUAUUCCCUUGAUACAAAUUCAAUCAUGUCAGUUGUCACUAUUUCAAGGUAAUGAAACAAUUACGGAUUUAAUAUCCUAAUUGACAAUAGGUUACUAAAUCAAUUCACUAUUUCGAUCCAAGAUAAUCAAUCAAUUUAACAACUAAUAGCACUGCAAUCGGAGAAUAUGUAAAUACCAAUAAAUAAGAGGAAAAGAUAAAAUUAAAUCGAUCUCACAAUUUUUAAACAAAUCAAAGUAUCCGUUGUUUCUUGACUAGAAAAGAAAAUUUAGUUCAUUCCUAAUGUGAAAGACCCACGUGAGAAUUCAAAAAUAAUAUUCACGGAUAUUGUCUUGAUUCAAUAGAUUCAAUUGCGUUGGAAUAAGGAUAAAAAGCCAAACUAUAGAGAGUGAUUCAAUGUUUUGUUUCGUUUGCAUUUUUUCUACACAUAUGGAAGAAGAAAAACAACUAAAGGACGAAAAAAAAAAGUCAAAGAAAGGCACCCAAAGUAGUGCUUGGUCUCUACCAUCCUAUUUCCUAUCUAAUUACUACUUCCCUUCUGCGGCUGCCUAGAGGAAGAAAGAGAAAGCAGACUUCAGGUCUUGUUCCAUCUCCUCCCUUUUCGGCAAUUCCCCAAAAGUAGAAAAGUUCCUCCGUUUACCAAAAUGCCCCUGGAAUGAGGACUGCUACUUGAACUCAUUUUCUUGAUAACUGUCAAAUUAGCACUUGUUAUGGUAUUUGCGUCUACUUCCUGUAAUAAAUGUAAAUUGCCAAAAGUGAGUAAACUGAUAAUUAAUUUACAUCAGGUCAGGUAAUAGGAAAAAUUAAUUAUAAAAUAAAUGAUAAAAUUGCAACCUAUCACUUAGAAUAACCAGAAAUAAAACAAAACAAGAAAUGAAAGAAAUAAGAGGGUAGCAUAGACAUUUUGGAUUUUUCUGUUAAUUUGGAUGAUUUCCACCUACGGUCUAAUUUAAUCCAAAACACAAAUGGAUUAUGUGGAGAUUUUUAAACAAUGAGGGAGUAUCGUGACCGAAUCCCAAACCACAAAGGGGAUUUACUAUAUUUUACUCUUAAAUUUUGGUUUCAUCUCAUAGCAUACAAGAGUACUAUUUCACUGUCUGUCGACCAGGGAGGAGGGUUGGGUUGGGUGGUACGGGGGAGGGAGUCUAAGUAAGAGGUCUCAGGUUCGAAUCCUCCUGUUUAUACUAAAAAAAAAAAUUUACUAUCUGUCGACAAAGAUUUUCUAUGGUUGAUGUACCAUAGGAAAAAUCUGCCUAUACAAUUAUUUGGAAAAAUUAUCCAUCCAAACAUAGUCACGAUAGCAUUUUUUCAAAAACACUAGAUGCAAAAUUGUCCCCUUAAACGUGGAAAUUCAUGAUCUUUCCUCGACUAGUCUACUUGUCAAUUUUUGAAAAAAGAAUACUCACGCCAAAAACACGGCCUCUUCAUCUGCAGAAUUCUAAAAAGUUACGUAAACUCUAUAAACAAGUUGAUAGGUACAAUCGUACCCAAGAUCAAGUACAGAUAGUUGUACAUUCACUGCUGCAAUAACUAAUCUGAUGACUUACAAACACAUCAUGGUCAAUCGUUGAAUGGUAAUGAGUCUUUUGUUAUGCAUUAGUAUUAGUGUGUACACUCUAAUAGAUUGAUACUUAUACUCUUUAAAUUAUCAUAAUAAUACCCUUAAUUAACUUUAACCCUUAAAAAGAAUACGUGUUAAUACACGAGAGUGUGUAACCUGAAUUGUUACUUAUACAUUAGUGUGUAAUAGAACGGCAAGCAUUAUGGUGGUCAUUGAGCAACUUAUAGGAGAAAUAGUCCUAUAAGCUGUUCAAUGACCAAUCACAACUUGCUAAUUGGAUGACUAAUAUAGCUCUAGCUGUAAUGUUUUAAUUAAAUUCCACACUAACGUUGGGAUGACUUUUUAAUCAAAAAAAAAAAAGCCUUAGUUCAAGCUUUUCCCCUUAUUGUGCAUUUUUUAAAACAUUUGAUAGGCACUGCAAAUCUGUCAUUUUGGACAUUUUAUUAUUAACUAACAAUGAAAGCCGUGGACAUCAACCCAUAUCCAACAAAAUAUUAAAUUAAUAUUAGAAAAAUUAUUAAGUAAUUGGAAAAAAAAAAGAAGAGGCUAAUUUUCAUUGAAACCCACCGACAAACUAUCCGUGUCCAUAGCUUUUGAAUAGUGCAUUCAACGUUUAAUUGUAUGGUCCAGUUCAUUGCCGAUUACAUGGAGUAAAGAUUGUGCUCUUUCCUUUUUCACCCCUUUUGGAAUCGAUACUGUGGAGAAUUGGGUUUUUCCCUCCUUUUUUUCUUUUCUUUCCUUCUGUGCUUUGCAAAACAUACGUAAAAAUAUGAAAUCCGAAGCAUUCUUUAAUUGGGAUUAAGUAUUGUUGUUGAAAUUAAAAAGAAGAAAGAAAGAACAACAAAAAUCCCAAUCUGGGUUGAUUGUUGAGCUCUAGAUUGGCUGCAUCGUGCUUCCAUAGAAGUUCUCUUAGUGUGAUACGCUGCUUUCAAUCAGUUUUAAUAUUUAAGUAGAGUGCAAAAUAACUUUACUAUUUAAUGGGUUAUAAUGCACCAUUUGGUACCUCUCACCCACCUAUGAUUUGAUUUACUACUGGCAUGGUAAUGGACAGAGUUGGGGGAGCAGGAGGAGGGAGAUGGCGGUACCAGUCCGUCAACCACAGCACACCCUCCCUCGGACUUUGCGUGGUAGCGAAGUGGAGGCAGAUCGAGCACACAUGCACUAACGCCUUAAGUAUGUACAAUAUAUGUAUGCCAAAAGCAUAGCCAAGCCUACCAGCGCAUUUCAAUAAUAUAACCCGGAAAUUAAGGGCAUUGAAUUAAGUACGAUGAAUCAUAUUGGUGCACAAUUACAGUUUGAAGCUACCGAUUCGAGUAAAUUUAAGCGUAAGCACAAUCAAUCGCCAGUCAAAUGCUGAAAUAUGCAUAUGCAUGGAUGAAUGUAUGGGUUUCUUAGUUCCAGACCAAAGGCCAACAAUAAGGGAAGGAAGGACAGUUCUCAUUUUUAGCACGGACAAGGAGAUGAAGAAAAGUGUAUGUAGCUUGAGACAGAACAAUGGCAUGUGACCGCUCCUGAGACCACAUAACGUGGGGUGGGGAUGGGACGGCCAAGAAUGAAGAUGCCUGUCGGUCUCUCCGUGCUGCUACCAUAUGAAUCCCCCGUUAACCAAUUCAAGAUAAGCCUGAAGUUCUUUUCAUCCCCAAACCCUGUCCCAUCUGUGUAAAUCCAACAUCAUCAUUUACGACCUGCAACUCAGGUUAAGCAUGUUCUAUUGAGAUUCAGACACCACCCUUCAAAAGAUAUACUACUGUGAAACCAGCAGCUUAAUAUCAUUGUAUAAAAAAAAAAAAAAAAGAAAGAAGAAAAGACAUGAAAAGCAAAUUUUGUGGGGAUAAUUUCAAAAUCUCUCCUAAAGUUUUUUACUAUUUUACUGGCCUCCUUUCAAAUUUUAAAAAUUACACCAGUCUUCCUUGAGAUUAUUUAUCUUGUAACAUUGAGGUCCAAUCAAUAAUUAAAAAAUGAUAUUAUGAGAGAGAAAAAAAAUAAACUUUAACAUCAUAAAUAUUCUUAUCAACAUAUUAAAGUUAGUUACUGAAAUUUUUAUGGUGUUAAACUUCACUCUUUGUAAUAUUUUAGUUACAGAUUUUUUGAUUACUUGUUGUUGAUUUUUUUUUUUUUAGUGUAAACAGGAGGACUCGAACCUAAGACCUCUCACUUACACUCCCUCCCCCCGUACCACCCCAACCCAACCCAACCCUCCCCUCGUUGUUGAUCAUGUUUGACAAUGGAUUUGUAAUUGAAAAGAACAAUUUGGAUCUUACAUUGAGUGAAAUAUAUAGAAUGAUAUACUAUUUUUUAUGGCAUAUGUGAUUCAAUCCUUGAUGAUAAAAGCAAAUUCAAGUGUUUUCUUUAAUGUUUGUGCUGAUAUUAGAUUAAUUAAAUAAUUUAGUAGAUGAAGGAAAAUGGUGAAAUCAUAUUAUCUUCUCUUUCCUAAUAUCACUAUUUAAUUAUUGAUUGAACUUAGAUAUUACAAAUAAUAAAUCUCAAGGGAGAUUAGUAUAAUUUUCAAAUUUUGGAGAGAAGCUAAUGAAAUAGUCAAAAACCUUAAGGGAGGUUUACAAAAUUAUCCCAAAUUUGUGGGAAUUAGAAUAAUUGUACUGGACGGCACUGCCGCAACAGAGGGAAAGAGGAGGAGGUGCAGUUAACUUUUUGUUGUUUGAAAUCCUUGGUGAAAUAUUACAGAAAGACAGAUAAAACAGUUAGUACAUAGAUGUAUAUGACAGGGAAAAUGGUACGUCUGUUAAUCACAUUUGAAACACUUUCAUUGGUGAAUGACGAAAACUAUCAGGCUUGCCCAAUAGUUGAUCAUUGACCAAGACAAAUCUUGCCAUGCUAGAGGUACCAUCUUUUCGUACCUCUUUAGUGCACAGGACAUUCCUUUGUUUCAUCUAGCUAAUAAUCUACCAACUCAUUUCUUUGCAAAUGCACCUUUUAUGGUCACGUCUACGAAAGCUUUACAGGAUCUUUACCCAAAAAAUCAAUUCACCGACUCGCAUUUGAUGUCAAAAUUUCUUUACUUUACUCCAAGAUUGACUGUUAAUAAUAAUGCCACUUUGAAUUAUCACACCAUCCUUCUUGAUAGGAUUUGUGCUAGAGGUAGGGAGGGAGUCGCUGCAGCCGGUCUUCUCUUCAUAGACAGUACAAUAUUGCGAAAUCGAUCGCAUUCACGCAAUAUUAUAUUUCCAAGUCGUUGCAUGGGUAAGCUGCCAAAAAGUACGAACACAUGUUAUUAUAUAGCUUAAGAUUCAAAACUUUCGAGCAUAACCCUCCACCUAACACAAUUGAAUAAUGGAUAUUCACGAUUGUCAAAUCUGUCAAAGUACAGUUUGAGGACAACCCAUUCCAACCUGCAAAAGGUUUUUUUACUUUUCUAAAGUUGUUGAGAGCUGUUAAAAGAUUUACCAUGCUUACAUCUUCCGAGCCUUGGGAGUUAAAAAUGAAGGCACUGAGUGCUAUAAAAAGGGAAUAGAGGCUGCCUAGAAGCAUACCAGCCUAAAACAAGGAUUUGUAGUUAUGAUGGGAAGCAAAGCAAAAGCAAUGGGGUCUGGGCUGACUCCUCUUCUUGCCACUGUUUUAGUGGUGUUUGUUGCUCUUGGCUUGCCCUCAGAAACUGCAGCUGAUGAUCACUACAAGUAUUCAUCUCCUCCUCCUCCUUACACUAUCCCUCACCACCACCUCCAGUGCAUAUACCUCCACCUCAUCCUGUUUACAAGUACAAAUCUCCACCACCCCCACCACCACACCCAGUUUACAAGUAUAAGUCACCACCACCACCUCCUCAUCCGGUACCACACCCAGUUCCUCAUCCGGUGCCACACCCAGUUCCUCAUCCGGUGCCACACCCAGUUUACAAGUAUAAGUCACCACCACCACCUCCUCAUCCGGUACCACACCCAGUUCCUCAUCCGGUACCCACACCCAGUUUACAAGUAUAAGUCACACCACCACCUCCUCAUCCGGUACCACACCCAGUUUACAAGUAUAAGUCACCACCACCACCUCCUCAUCCGGUAUACAAGUAUAAGUCUCUCCGCCACCAACACCCAGUUUACAAGUAUAAGUCACCACCACCACCUCCUCAUCCGGUGCCACACCCAGUUUACCACUACAAGUCACCACCACCACCUCCUCAUCCGGUACCACACCAGUUUACCAUACAAGUCACCACCAAUCCUCACCCAGUUUACAAAUACGAGUCUCCACCACCUCCAGUUUAUAAGUACAAGUCACCACCACCUCCUCCACCAGUUUACAAGUAUAAAUCUCCUCCACCACCACCACCAGUUUACCACUACAAGUCUCCACCACCUCCUCCCCCAGUUUACAAAUACAAGUCUCCACCACCUCCUCACCACUACUAAGCAAUUGCUUCUGAGGUAAUAACACUUGUUCAAUAUACCCACUUCUGCAUGAUAAAGCAUAUCUCUAUCAACACAAACUGUCAUGUCUAUCAUGCUAAGUGCCUUCACUUCAUCCACCAAAAUGACUGCUAGAAAAUUUUUUUUAUGUUACCAAAGAAAGGCAUCAUUUUUUCCCUCUGUUAUCAAGAACUUGUACAG
rnacentral:lncRNA from 1 species